rnacentral:lncRNA from 1 species
UUCUGCCAUAGAAACAAACUCAUUUCGGGGAGAACCAGCUAGCUCUGGGUUCGAGUGGCAUUUCACCCCUAACCACAACUCAUCCGCUGAUUCUUCAACAUCAGUCGGUUCGGACCUCUGCUUAGUUUCAUCCAAGCUUCAUCCUGGUCAUGGAUAGAUCACCCAGGUUCGGGUCCAUAAGCAGUGACAAUCGCCCUAUGAAGACUCGCUUUCGCUACGGCUCCGGUGGGUUCCAUUCCCUUAACCAAGCCACUGCCUAUGAGUCGCCGGCUCAUUCUUCAACAGGCACGCGGUCAGAGAUCACUUUCCCCUCCGGGAGCUCAGCACGGUUUCACGUUCUAUUUCACUACCCACUGGGGGUUCUUUUCACCUUUCCCUCACGGUACUACUUCGCUAUCGGUCACCCAGGAGUAUUUAGCCUUGCAAGGUGGUCCUUUCCUUGCUGAUUCACACGGGAUUCCACGUGCCCCAUGCUACUCGGGUCAGAGCGUAAGCUAGUGAUGCUUUCGGCUACUGGACUUUAGCCAUCUAGGGUGCGGCACUCAACCGCUUCGCCUAGCAGCACAACGCUUGUAUUGCUCUCCCACAACCCCGUUUUCACGGUUUAGGCUGCUCCCAUUUCGCUCGCCGCUACUACGGUACGGGUACGGGAAUCGCUUUUGCUUUCUUUUCCUCUGGCUACUAAGAUGUUUCAGUUCGCCAGGUUGUCUCUUGCCUGCUCAUGGAUUCAGCAGGCAGUUCAAAAGGUUGACCUAUUUGGGAAUCUCCGGAUCUAUGCUUAUUUUCAACUCCCCGAAGCAUUUCGUCGCUUGCUACGCCCUUCCUCGUCUCUGGGUGCCUAGGUAUCCACCGCAAGCCUUUCCUCUUUUGAACCUCGCCAUUAACGUUAAGGCUAUGCCAUCCUAAGGUGCUACUAAAUGGAAGGAUCUUAUCAACGUCCAUGAAUGCGAAAUCAUAGAUCGAACUGACGAAUUGGCAACCUUCGGUGCUAUCAUAGUAUCCGCUAAGUUCACGGGCUGGAGAUAAGCGGACUCGAACCGCUGACAUCCGCCACAGGGUAAACCACCGCCUCUCAGGCCUCCCCGACGGGUUCUACCAUAGAGGACAACGAUAGGCAAUAACUCCCCCCCGAACACAGCUUACAACUUUCAUCGUACUGUGCUCUCCAAAGAGCAACUCUUCUCAAAAUCCCAAAACAAAAGGUGCUGAGUUGGAAUCCCAUUCUAAGGAUUCUUGUGGUUCCGGGGCGAUCCAGUCACCCGGAGAAGAUUUCUUUUCUUUGCUGAUUCCUCUCAAUGAAAUUUGCCAUGUUGCACUAAGUUACUUACGGAUGUAUGCAUGCAGUCCGGGAACACUUUGGGGUGAACACCCAUCCGAACAAGUAGGGUCAAUAGUUCAGCAUUUAGGCCGUAACAUUUAGCAAAAAACUAAUCUUAAACCCAACAAGUGCUCUCCGAACCAAGCUAGAUAGUCUCCUAUCACUAGGCUCACCAACCAACCUGGACUUUGAUUCUUUCUUAUUAUUCUAACCGGAUAUAAAAACCAUAAGGAUUGUUUCCAGCCAAGAGUUCCCAUAUGACAUAAGCGCUCUUGGGUGGGCCCUCAUUCGCCAGGUCUUUGAGUGCCCGUCGUACCACGUGGUUGGUACACUAGGCUGAUCGAUACUUUACGAUACUUAACUUAACUUUACGAUACUUUGAGGAUCUGGCACCUGCGCCCGACUCGGUCUGCCAGUGAAUUUUGGCUCUACGUCCGGUCGUGCGUGGUAUGUUCGCGAUUCGUACAAAUGGAAGGCAUCGCGUACGUUAACCUUCCUUUAUUGGGCUGGGCCAUUCCAUCUUUGAGAAGGGGCCCAAUCUCGUAUUUGAUGGUCGGCGUGGCAAUAUGCUUAGCUUCGUAGACAGGUUUCCCAGCCGUUGCAAAGACUUCGCGAGAACGGUCAGGGGCGCGAUUCGCCAAGCUAGGGCAAACAAAGCCGUCCGGCCCUACCAGAUUAAGAAUGCGAAGGCCUUUCCUUCGAAAGGAGAAAAAAAAAAGAGCUAUGCUAUUGACCGACCCUUUCGUACUUACUUCGAAUCAAUAGGCCUAUCAUUUUUCAUGAGGCGGGCCAAAUAGAGAAUGAAAUGCAAAAAUAGGGGAAGGGGGGGAUGGUCGCGCCUUUUCUUUUGUUUAAGGGCUGCUCGCCUUACUAAAGUACCAAAGGCUUUCACGGCUGACACCCCUACCUUAGAAUCUAAGCCCUUUGAAGCGCCAGUAGUUGUAGCAGUGGGUAAGGCUUUCGUUCAACUCGCUCCGGGUUCCGAUCUAUAUGACCUCUAGACAGUACAAAGUACACCUCUUCCGUAGAGGCAAGCUGGUAGUAACCUAACCUUUUAGAGUCGGGGGAGCCGAGCCCUUAACUCUAUCAAUAGAUAAAUCUUCGUGCGUGGCGUGAGUUGGAAUCCUAGAAAAGAUCGAUUGAGACUCCCUCCCCGGUUCCACGAAGAUCUCUACGUACUUGUCUAGUCCAGGACAACUGAGAUCUUCCGGUCUGCGUGCGUGGGAGCAGCUGAAACAAAGAAGAGUCUGGUCCGCUCUUCAUUCAGGCCCCCCCCCGCCUUACAAAUGGGCCGUCCCCCUUAAUGAAUCGAAUGGUCCUUCGACCCUCGUUUGAGCCGGCAUAGAUGAAAUCUCAUGAGACCCGCCCAGCCCACUAUUACUACAAAAAAGCCCUGCCCUGGCACCUUCGCUAGACGGAGAGUAAGCGACUUCUAUUAGCACCGGACCGUCGAGUCGAAUUGAUCGUGUCAUGUGCAACGCCCAUCAAUGGUGGUUCAUUAAUGUCCAUAGAUUGAGACUCCUUCCCCCUUCCCUUAUACGCAAAAGAUCGAGAGGGGCCCGAACCAAACCGAGAACGUAAACAGAAUUCGACUCACUCUCGUAUGGCUCGCCCUCGAGCCCUGGGCGAGUCGGCCGGGUCUUCCCUUUUGUUCUGUUUCCGCCACGAUAAAGACGCACGGAAGAACUAUGGUAUGCCCAGCGCGUGGAGGAUCCGUUGAGAGUGUCCCUUGUCUCGGUAGGGAACAGUACCUAUUGUCUUGAAAAAGAAAGGUCAGUGCUACGGUCCCCUAUUGUUUGAUCCAAUAUUGACCGGUGCGGAUCACGUUCUACUACCUCCGGUCCGUGGUUCGACCUCCCGUAGUGGUCCUUGCUUUUCUUUUUGAAAGCUCCGCGGGGCCAAUUUUGCGUACUUGCUCAGUGUGCCCCCUUUCGUCGAGUGCCCCGCCCGGUUCACAGGGCUGUUGGCCUACCAAGCAAGCACUUGCCCACAGCUCCUGCCGCCUGCCAAGCGGGCUCCGCGCUCGUUAUCCUGACUGUUCUCUCCGCUGGGCCCUUUCCUAUUGCUCUAACCAUAAGCUAUGGCAAUUCCAGCUCGCACCCACUCUGGCCCGCCCAGCGAGGCCUGAGUGAGCUCAGUGGUCAGCCCCUGACGUUAGGGGUCUUUCGCUUUUGCCAGAUCUAUAGAGAUAUUACGAGUCCUCCGUCCUAGAUUCCCUCGCCGCGGCCAUCUGGUUCACCGGUACUACCAAAAAGUCUCAUGCUUACGUUACUGUGACUGAUAUAUAAGUAUGAUCUCGGACUACGAAGACCCAGUCGUGCUUCUGGUUUCCAUUCUCAUCAUCAUAUUGAAGGAAACUCCUCGUGCUCUGCCAUAAGAACUUGGAGUCCGUAUCAUGGUGAAGGUAAGGUAACGCUGUGAUUCUUGCUCAAAAAACUGACCGAACACGUUCGAGUUAUUGGCUCGUCCGACCCGGCAGCAUUCAUGAGUCGCUCGUUCAACUGUCCCUCGGAGACACGGUCGAGAAGUGCCAUGCAUGGUCGCCCCCCCCCCGUCCUUUCUUUCUCUCGGUCCCACCAGGGCGGGCCCCUCUGGGGUAAUAAAGAAAUGGAUAAAAAAAGGGGACUUCUGCUACGGGCUAUGCCACCCAUUACUUUACUUAUGAGGGAAGUCGCAUCCGUCCCAUCGCAAGCACCUACAAUGUUAUGAUCACAUUGGUUUACCCUUUUUUGGUAGUUCAACGGACGGUCGCCCCUCCAACAAGAAAAGGUAGAAAUAUGGAAACUUCUCUGCCAUUUAGAUCGGAGAAUUUAUAGAGGAAAUCGGGUUUUAAAUUUCCAGAAACCACACGAUUAUAUAGCCAAAGGGAAUACGCCGCGCCUAAAAUCAUCCCAAGCGCUGCUAAUGUGGCUACUAAGCUAUUUCUUUGGAAAGCUCCUACUAAGAUUAGAAAUUCCCCGAUAAAGCUGCUAGUGCCGGGUAAACUCAUAUUGGCUAAAGUGAAAAAGAAGAAAAUGGUAGAGAAAUUCGGCAUGGUGCUCACUAAACCUCCAUAAUAUCUAACAAGUCGAGUCUUAUGUCGGUCAUAUAGAACACCAACACAUAGAAAAAGGGCUGAAGAAACCAGUCCAUGACUUAACAUAAGUAAAAUGCUACCUCCAAUUCCCGGUAUGUUCGAUAGAGCCUAAUAUUCCCCCGGAGUACGCCGCUUACCCCCCGAACCGUACAAGAUAGUUACCACCUAUCAUACGGCUUUCUAACUCCACUUCUUUUUCUGGUUGUUCCGCUCUGUCGGAUCAAUGGUAGUCUCAGAGAUCUGGUAACCUCCGAUAUUUUUUACAACACGCUUCCUGCUUCCGUUUUGAGUUGCGCAUCUUUCUCCCCGGGGCAUACUAUAGUAUCACAUCGUAGACCCCCACCCCAACUCUAUCUUCCUUAUCAGUGAACCGGAACAUAGUGCAUAGGUACUCUUCGAUGCUGCGAGGACGAGACGAGGUGACAUACUACGAUCACGCACUGAAGUUCUGCCCUUCGGCUCGGCAUAUGGAACCUCUCAACUGCUCCCUCGGGAUAGGUAGGCCCAUCCCCCACCCCUCCUUUCCCGAGAGGCGGCCGGGCUGUGUUUCCCCAGCGGCCACCCAGUGGCGGCAGAAAACGAAAAAGGGUGGGCUCCGCGCAGUUCGCGUUUUAUUGUAAUUGUAAAGAGAGAGCUUUUCAUUCUCUUAUAGAAGCCCGCGUCCACGCGGGUAAAGCCCUGCGAAGCUGCAGGGAGCACUGAGCAAUGAGGGGAUGAGGGCGACUCACGGGUUGGACCACAGGCAAAAGUCCUUCCACGGCAAGAGAAGGGUGACCGGAACAAGAAAAGGGAGCUAGUCGUUGGAGGGAAGACAAGGCUCGUUCCGUGCGACUCCACAGAAGAGUACGCGCGCUAGAAAAGGCAGCCAGCUUAAAAACGCUAGCUAGCUACUUUUGUAGCCUUUUUUAGUUUGGUUGCCUACGCUUGCUCUCCGGGGCGCGCUACGGCAACACCCCCUGCUUGCUUCUUUCUGUUCGACGCGGAGCUCGCAGCCUCCCCACCCUUGCUUAGCGUUCCACUUGUGAUCCUGGAGGAUUUGGAGAAAUGCGCCCGACCAUGAAGAAUGGAUUUUAGCUUUUCUUUCAUGUGAACGGCCCUAUCUUGUAAAGAAUGGUUUUUCGUGCUAUAGACCACGUUGAGAAAGACCAACCAACAACACAAAUAAAGACCGUUCCAUUUGGGUACCUCGAAAGGGAGGUGCUCUUUAUGAUGCUACGGACGGCUGUCCGAAGUGCAUGCAAUGACGGGCUCAGAUAGGAUAGGAUUGUGCGCGCCGGGCCCUUCGGGUGUCCAUAUUUUGGCCGACCUUAGCGUAGGCCCGGUUAUGCGGCCGUAAUAUUUUUAUACCUUCCACCGCUGUUACGCCAGAAAUCCAAGGUUCCACACGAGCUCCUGUUCUGCGGCGUGGUGGCAGGACCGCUAGGGGAUUGGCUCCGGGUGUAGGUAGGGUCAAAUCCGCAGGGGUCAUGCAAAUACAUAGGCCCCUUCCCUUCUGCCGAGUUGUUUAGAAGGCGCUUUCCGUUCUACGGUCCCUCGGACCGAAGGGUUAGGCAGGUAGUACGGGCCCUCUGACUUCCAGCUAUGUGCUGUGUGCGACUCCCGCGAAGCGAAUGAAGGGAAGCUCUUCGAGCUUUCUCCGCCAGCGGCUUAUGUAGUGGUCGGCAUUCCUACGUGCUCCGACUGAUCCCCACUGGAGAUGAGGGGUCUUUGAAACUGUCGUGACGCUUUGGUGACGAAGGUCACCGGGGUGACUAUGGAAGGAUUCCGUGGUAGUCUCUGACUCCCUCCAACUCAAUCAAUAUCAAGAACAUGUCGUGAGCAUGGGGGUUUGGCCGACUACUAAACUCUAUACUAUUGGCUAGGGCUAGGCUAGUUAUAGCUUCUAUAGUGAGUGGCCCUUCCGCUUUGAUCUAGUUGUAGUUUGUACUGUACUAAAUUGAACACAUAUCAAAGAAAGGCGAUCAAUCAAUAAAAUAAGUAGUUGCCCUUCUCCGGCCCGGGAAAAGCUGCGAACUCGUUAUAAACUAGGGGCUUUUUUAUUCAUGGUCGCUACUGUUGUAUUGUAUAUUGUCGGGGGAAGCUACUGCUUCUACGACAGCUCCGCUUCCUCGUCUUGCUUCUACUUUGCUUGUUUGCGCGAAGGCUUAGAGUCCUUUUCGCUAGGUCCAAAUUCGUCAAAGCGAAAGAUCUGAUCCAACGGAAAUCCCGCAUAUUAAGCGCUGCUGAUAUGUGGCUACUAGGCGCGAUCAUCUCACAUGCCAUAAAAAAAAUACUUCUUUUUUCGUCAUAUAAAGAUAGAAUAGAUAUGGAUAGAGAGACAUUCUAUUGAUUCGCGAAAUGGCUCGUCGAUCCAAAUGAAUCAUUCUUCUGGUCUCUCUCUGCCCCCCGCCCCAAAACUGACCCACGACACAGCGCCCAUUCGUUUCGCGCGCGGGAAGGCAACGAAGUUCAGUUCAAAAGACCGCAGCGGAGUGGAGCAGCCGCGACACGAAGUUCCUUACCUUAGCUGGAUCUCGCUGGUGCCACCUAAACGGUAGGUAUAGGCGGCGGAUGUAUGACGUUUGGAGUUGUCGUUCGUGCACCUGUCCCCAAUAGAAGAAUGAGUGAUCCCUUCCCCUGCGGAUCAUGGCCUUACCACUAGGUCCCCGAUGGCCUGCGGGGGAUUCGGUAUAGCAGCUUACGUUCGUUUGCGCUGCGCGUUCCCGCUGGACUGGACACGUGUUAGCUGUAGGAAGUAUGGUUACGAAAGUGACUUCGGUUCGCCAGUUCAGGCUCAACUCCUCGCUUUACGUUAGCGGACUUACAGGUCGGGCCGGGGCUCCACGCUCUUUCUUUCUGUGUGGGACGAUGCCGGGGAAUGUGUCGAGGCGGCGAACAACAACAAGACAACUAACUACAUUUGCUUUUUCCCUCCAUGAGAUGAGCCAGUGCAUUGGACCGAUGGAUAAUAGAACUGAGCAGGCCAAAAAAGCGCUUGGGCGCUCUACAUACGAUGUAGACUCCAUCAGAUACAUAUCGAUUUCUUUAUGAUGGAUCCAGAAUAGAUAGAUAUCUUGUAUCAUCAAUAGAUAGAAAGAGGUCAACCCUUAUUAUUGAUAGAUUCCCUUUCGAUCUAUCAGAACAGAUCAGGCCAUCUAUCAAUCGAUUUGAAAGGUUCAUCUCGCUUUUCGUUCAUUUCAGCCACGCGCCGCCACAAUAAGAAAGAAGCAAGCGAAACAGCUAGAAGCGCUCGCUUCGCCGCGCCCAACUAUUCGGAAAGCCAACCGAAAGAUUCGAUUCGGACUUCGUAGAGCCGGUGCUGCUGCUGUCUGCGUGGGGCCCCACUCCCGUCCCGGGGCGCUAAGGGGUUUUGUUUUAGGAACAGACGGCGGUGUUUUGCUGACGCCUCGAAUCGACGCUUUUGUUGCGACAUGCUAAGUUUUCUCCCCUAUUGCUAGUAGGUUGAUGGGUCGCACGCCCGGCACACAUGUUUUGGCCUUGCUUGUGUGUCCAUAACUCAAAAUAGGUGACCUAACGGCCGCCGCCCGACUAAACAUACCAAUAGUCACCAAAUUCAUAUGGGCUACUGAGGAGUAGGCAAUGAUCUUCUUAAGAUCGAUCUGUCUUAAAGUGGUCAAGGAAGUAUAUAUUAUAGCAAUCGCACUUAGAGUAUAAAUGAAAGGAGUGAAACAAAGUGUCGCUUCGGGAAACAUGGGUAUUGAAAAUCUUAAAAACCCGUAGGUUCCCAAUUUUAAAAGAAUUCCUGCCAAGAUGACGGAUCCAGCCGUAGGUGCCUCUACAUGGGCUUCGGGUAACCAAAUAUGAACUGGUACCAUAGGCACUUUGACGGCAAAAGAGGCGAAAAAGGCAAUCCAUAGAAGGAUUUGGCGCCGCUCACUAAAUUCUGUGGUUAAUAAAAUUUGUAAAUCGGUGGUUCCUGUUUGGAGAAGAAUCAACAGAAUAGCUAAUAGCAUAAAAACGGAUCCAAGUAAAGUAUAUAGGAAAAACUGAUAUGCUGCCUUGAUCUUUCUUUGUCUCGAACCCCAUACCCCUAUAAUGAUGGUAGAGUCAGGGGUGGCCCCAAAGCGGAAUUGACCGGUGGUGGUUGGUCGAAGCUCCAGUGGGUAGCCACUCCCUUCUCAGGGAACCGUACGUGAGACUUCCGCAUCAUACGGCUCCGUCCCGAGCUUCCGUCGUCGGCCCUUGUCAUUAGACCACUAUGCUUGUCUUUUCCGCCUUGACUCUCGAAUCUUUUGCUUCUCGGGUGGUGGCGAACAAUGCAGCUUGCGUUGCGGGAGAUGCCCGCCCGUCGGGCCCGGCCUGCUUCCUGCCCGAAGAAGGCUAGCCGGACUAGUGGUAGGGGACCCGACCGUAAAAAACCCUACCUUUCGAACCCGCCCGUUCGUUAUAUCUAUAGAUAGAGAGAGAUCCGUGAAAGUCAUUGCCUUAUGUUAUGGUCGCCCCCCACGGCCUUUACGCAACUACGACUACUGUGAUGUGAGCGGUUCUAUUGGUUUGAUCUUUCCGGCCUCCACUUGUACGAAGAUGCAUGCAUAAAGGGACCCGCCCCUUUAUUUAUCUUUAUUAGGACAGGACCCUACCCUAUUCUCGAACCCUCUGCCGAGCUCUACCCUGCCCGCAUUUAUUUGGAAGGGGGCCAAAGAAAUGUCUCCACCUGCUGCCAACAGUCUUUCUUCGGAAUUCUACUGAACGGGUCGAUCCUCCCCUCCGUUUGUUUUAGCAACUUAUCCUAAGGUCUCUUCGCCAAGAACUCUCCGGCAACGACAGAGGAACUAACCUGCCUGCUGUGGCGGGGCGGCUUUAAACAACAAUAAGACCUGGACGAUUAUCCCUACCCUCGGUAGCUUACGAGUUUACGUCCAUCCCUGGUCGGGUACAGUUUCCUUUAUUUUUAUCCCUUGUAGCCGUUACCCGAAUUCGCGCAAGUGUGUCCACACCCCCCCUGACUUGACGAGGAAUCCAUUCUCGCGAACAAACACACCCCCCUACACACACCUAGGAGCACCCCUUCCUGCAUAUCCAUACAAGACCUGAGUAGGCGGGUCGAGGUCCUACGAGGUACCCACUACUCGGAGUACCCUCCCACCAAAAAAAGAUGUGUGGUUCGGUGGUUCGACCAGAAAUGCUAUGCUUACGCACAAGACUACCCCUCUUCCCGAAAGCUUCGCGGGGACCUUGACUACUUUACGACGACGGGGGACCGCCCGUAGGGGGUUUACUGCACAAGGCCCCUGCAGAGGAAAAGCUUGAUCCCAGCGAAUAGAAGAUGCUCAGCUCCGCACAACAUAGGGAUUGGCACGCUUUCGGAAAGAACAUAGAAUAGUAGAGGAUCCAGCAUGCAGGACACGGCGAUCAUUAGAAAUUCACGAAUUAGAAAUGCUGUAAUAUACUCUUUCCCAAAACUUCUCAUACCAGACCAACCCACUGAAAUGCAAAUAGGGAUCAGAAAUGUGGUCAAUAUCACGAAGAAUAAUGAAAGACCGUCUAUACCCAUAUACAAAUGGAUGUUUUCAUAAGGAAGCCAUCGAAGGCUUUCCACAAAUUGAGAAUUGGCCGUAGAAGGAUCGAAUUGUAUCCGAGGAACAGGGGGAUACAAAAAAGUAAUAAGAGAAACGCACAGACCAAUCAAUCGUAUCGGUCUUAUUGAAGAAUUUGGAAUGAAAAGAGGAGUAAUGCUUCCUAGCACGGGACAGAGAAUAGGACCACUUAGAUCGAAAUAGCAUUCACUGAAAUGUUCUAACAUAGAGUAGAAUCGAACAUUGAAAAGAUUAGUUGACAACAGUCAAUCAGGCGCCAAAUUACUAAACAAUAGGGGUCUUUCUGUGCAAGUCAGCUGAACACCGUAAUUGAUGAGUGAGUAGGUGGGUUAGGUGCACCCCUCGCCCAGUGGGAAGUCAUGAGGCUAGCCCCCCUGAAUGAAGAAGUAGUGGGGCCCCCUGCCCGCCCACGUAUGCGCCUUUAUUUAGAUUCUAACUAAAUAUUAUACUGAACUUUAUCCGGGAAUCUUUCUAAAGAAUCCAUCUGGCAAAACGCAAUUUGUCGAUUUCAAUUUAAGGUACACCUUACCUUGCCUUUUUCAGGUAGCUUUGUUACGCCUAUUCAGCUAGGUGGGGCAUUGGUCAUAGCCGAAGUCGAAGGAAAAAAAUAAGGUAAUGAGAUGAUGGUGUCAUCAAGAAGUUUUCGACGAACGUAGUAGCAAAUGAAACUCUUGCAUGAAAGACCGGAUUUGACGCAAGAUGAAUUUGGGGUUUUAAAAAUGAAACCCGCGAUCAGAAAGUCACCAACGGAGCCAUACAAUCUAUCUAGUAGUGUGCCAUGGCACGGUACUCCGCUUCGGCAGUGGAAGGAGCAACUGUCUAUUGCUUUUAUCUCAUCCAAGAUAAGAUAGUGGAGAGUCUCCCCAAAAAAUAGAGAAGCCUGUAGUUGAGCACCUAUCUGAAGGCCCAAUCGGCAUCAGUAGUUGCACGCAACUCUAAAGAAGACGAUGACGGAAAAAAGGACGGCUCGAGAAAAGGUACCUCGAAUAUAUCUAAGAAUCCGAUGAACUGCUGCAAAGUGAACUGACCGGGGGGCAGCGCAGCCAUGAAAGGCUGACUUUCUUAAGAAAAGCCAUCUGGGCAAGAGAUCGUCAGAUAAACCAAACUGCCGACCUACUGUCUGUACUGCGUCGGAUCAGAUAAUGGUGAGCCAUCAGUCGGACGGAGUUUAACGUAAAGCUCCAAGGGAGUGUCAACAGUCUUCUCAUCAUUGAGUUGAGCUCGAGUGAUCAAGUCAUGACGUUAUUUGAUCUGAGAUACCAAAUAUCCACGAGGAGAAUGUGCGAUGCGACCUCCAAGCCAAGAAAAGGCUUAGGGCGCGUCAGCGCCUUCAUAGCAAAUAAUUGAUGAAGGCGACACUCGAUCAGCGAUAUGGUAACGGAGUAAUCACCAGUCAGUUUGAUAUCAUCAACAUACAACAACAGAAUAGCACGUCCUCGAGGAUAAACUGAUACGAACAUGGCCGAAUCAUGAUCACUCCGAGCAAACCCUGCCUGGAUAACCACUGUGCUGAACUUCAAAAACCGACGCUAUCGGGGCUUGUUGAGACCAUAGAUCGCUUUGCGUAAAGGACAGACAAGAGAAGAAGUCAGAAGGGCAGGUUCUCUUUCAUCCGUCUUUUCUAGGUGCGCAUCUCUAUCUACUAAAAGUAGGGGUGGUUGCCAUAGAUAGAUUGGGUCAUUCGUAACCUGAGCAAUAACCGAUGCUACUACAGCAAUAACGGAAAUAACCGAUGCUACAGCAGAAACUACAGCUAUACGUGGCGGCCCCACACGCAGCUUUGUUUAACAAGCAUCACCCUUCCUUUCUUUUCAAAUGCUUCCUCAGUCAAUCAGCAGCUUAUUCGAUUCCUAUUCUUAUUAAACAUCUGAUAUAGAUGGUGGGAACAAUGAAGCAGAUUCUUCAUCUGUAGGUUGCAAUCCGUAUGAUUUCUUCUCGAUCUCCUGCUUGUGUUUCACCUCGCACCUAAGCAUCACGUUCCUAGGGACAGAGACAUCUGCGCUCUAAGGCAAUCAUAGUAUAGUAUAGUAUAGUAUAGUACUGCCAGCAUGGUUACAUCGUUCUGCGGGCAAGCUAAGCUUCAACUUAAAAGUCACCUGAUUUGGGCCAAAGGAGUAGGAACAGCUGCUGGGGAAGCACCAUUACCAUCUAUGGGAGGUUGAAUAGCUGCAUAAGUAGUAGUAGGAGCAUGGGCACUGGGAAAAGAUGAAAUCGAUCCAGCUCUGGUAACAAAGCAGUAGGCAAGGCGGAACCUCCUCUACUAAAAUACGAAUACGAAUACGAAUACCCUACUUCCGAGGAGAAAGGACAUCCCUCAAUCACGGGACAAUCCUCCACUCCAGGGCAAAGGUACUUCCAAAGCAGACAAGGUUCAUCUGCGCAUGAAAGGAAUGAAACAAAUUCAAUAGAUUCAAUAGGGUCAUCCCCACCGAGAUCGGUACCUAUCUAGAUCCCCAGCUUCGACAAGGCGUCCUCCUUCGCAUUUUGCGACCAUUCCCACGAGGACUACGAUUCGGAUUCUCCAAUUUCAUCCCCAAUUACACCUCUUAAGAGGAAGGGACGGCCCUCUAUCCGGUGUGGGUUCCUACGAAUUAUUGUAUGGUUUCGGAUCCUGGUCCCUCUGCCCUUGCUUUUUGUUAUUCCAUAGGGGUAUGGAUUGAAGUAAUCACUAAUCCAGGAAAGAUGGAUCUUUAGCUAGCUCUACGGCAAAGCCAAUACGCCAUGUAUCAAAACAAUAGGGAUAGGGGUAAUUGUAUACCACCUACGAAUAGGAAUAUCCUGGGUUUAGUAAUAAAUCGAAUUUCAUCAAUUCUAAGCACGGUAACGGCAGUGCUCCUAUCCAACGGCCGGGGAUCUAUUCGAUUUAUCAAUUUGCUAAUGCCGAAAAGCUUAGGUUGUUAUUUCAUCGUCUUGCGCUAAAAAGGCACCCUCCUAUUAUGCUAAGGCCAGGGACGGAUAACGGCAAAGCGGAACAGCAAUAGCGAAAGCAGGUACAGUAACGGCGCUAUCCCUAAGCGGCUAUGGCGAAUCAAAAUAGAUAAAUUUAGAGCGUUGCGAAUUUCCUUCUAAGGAAAGAUCCUACCAAUCACGGCUUCCUAGCUUAGGGCACCUUCCUUGCUACGAAAACGGAUUACUCUACGGGAUUCGGCUCCAAUUGAUCGGCCGAAGACACCUAUUGUUUCGGAUUUUAUAGUUGCCAUUGGAAAAAAAGGAUUGCGCUAGUCUUGCGUCGGAUAAACGGCUCCUCGGUGGAGUAACGGUUCUAAGGUAGCUAAAUACGCCGCUACUGUGUGGUACAGUACUUUACUUUUCUUCCAAGUUUUCUGCUCGUAACGAUUCCUUUGAGGAAAGGAGAGAGAUUCGAGUUGCUUUAACCCUUGGGGAGCAUAGUUCAGGAACGACUGAGUUCGAUCUGAUCAUUUGGUUCGGAAAAACAGAUACGAAUCUUUGAACGGAAGCCGAGUAAAGGCAGUUCAAAGCAAAGGACCUCUCCCUCUGACUAGGAUGGUAGCUAGCUUCACUCCAAAAAGAAAUGUAGUAAAUGUGGGGGCUAAGGUUUCACCGUCGGUAAGAUUGGGCUCGCUGAACCCGUCUCUCCCCCUGAUUGGGAUCUGAAUGGAAGGGUGGGUUAAAAAACCAUGGCCAGCCCCCCUCAAUAAAUAUCGCCAGUAGGUUACUGAUGGGAUGCUAGCUGCCGGUAUACAGGAAAACCGUGGUGCAGAGGACGAGCAAGAAGACUGUGCUAACACAUAUCCCUUCAAUUUAUUGGUUCUACAGAAGAUGUAUGAUAAAGAGCUGGCAUUAAGUCAUCCAACGCGCUCAGGCUUUGUAUUAUAAGAGGAAAGACUCUCGCCAGUAUAGAUUGAACGUAUGGCGCUUGCUUACAAGACAGCUACUGAAAAAGGCUACUUCUUCAAUCUGCUGAAUGCCCUAUUCCAUAUGAAGUCUAUCUUUCCCAAGCGUAUACUUUUGUUCUAUAAGCAAAUAAAGCAUACUUCUUUUGCGGAUCAAGCAGUCUUCUACCUUGGUGGGUAGCGGAGAAUCAAAGAAAGGAAUAACGCUAGCUAGCGUCGAUUAACUCACUUAACUAGAUGCGAUGCGCACAACCAAGAGGUAGGCGUGUUGCUCUCAGAGAUUCACUGAGUCUGGGGCUGGGGUCCUCUUUCUGCUCGUGCUGCUUGCUAAUCAAUCUACUAGUGCAAAUCCACCAGGGCUCUACUUUCUUCUAACUCUACAUGAGACAUGAGCAAAUGUGGGUCAGCUUCCUCAACUAUACUCUAACUUAGAUUCUCUAUUUGCGGAAAUCUAUUCCUUUCUUACUCAGGUGGUACUACUUGAUAAGCAACUCUCAUAUCUUGUCUUCUCUGUUCGAUGAUGCCUGCCGAGGGACUGACUCCUCUUCUCCUUAGCCUGCCGGUACAGCUCCUUCUGUUCUCGUGCAUAAGCUGAGUCUUUGCUUGGGUAGGGCUAUGGAAAUAGGUAAGAUACUAGAUAAGUCAACUCGAUAUUCCUUUCUUUUCUUUCUGAGGGAAGAGUUAAUGAAUGUCAGAAGCUUAUUGCCUUCUGGCUGGAAUAUAGGGAAAGUAAACAUAGGACCACAGAUGAGUACAUAUAGGCAUUGGCAUAGGUACAGUACAGUGGAGAUCAUUGAUUGGGGUCAAGUCUACCAGCACUCACCUAGAAUCUGUCAUAUUAGUUUAUGAAGUAAAGAAAGAAUGAGUUAAAGUAGGUGUACUUUUGACAUAUUCACAAAGAGUAUCAACCAAUAGGAAAGGAAUAGGCGGCUAGGAGUUUGUUGCUUGGGACGACUAUCAUCUAUCUGUCUUAGGUUAUGUAUUCCUUUAGUGAUUGGAAUAGGACGAGGAGUCUAACUAAGGAGUAUAAUGGAAUUGCUUGUCAACCAUAGGCUUCUUCUACGGAGCUUAGGAGAACUAGAAUCUGAGGAAAAGAAGAAAUGUCUAUCCUUGGGGAUAGAGCAAGGUCCUAUAGCGAGACAUUCUUUCUCUUCCGAAAUCGUAAUGGGUUAGAUAAGUUCCUGCCUCAACAGUCCGGAUUGAAGUCUGGUCAAGAGAAGAGGUUCGGUCAAGGGUGAAGGAGUCGAAUUAGAAUACCGUUGAGAUGACUAAGCACCCAUUCCAUGUCAGAGUUUUUUAAGAAAGCUCUAAGCCCAGUUGAAGCUUAAAGCAAAGAUAGGAUUGAGCUAGAAAAGGCUUUUUUGAAUGUAGGGCGAACCCCCCUCCCCUAGUCAUCGAGGAGGGGAGGUAGCUUAUUGACCAACUGUAUAGGGUAGGCAGGCUGAGUUCCCUUUCGCUUGAUGCAAUGUCAAUUCUAAAUCAAGCAAUUGAUGGAAUCAAAAGAGGGAACGAAAGUAAAUGAGAAAUUACUUUUCACUCGGAAUUCUUUAUUCAUUUGAAAAUGAGACUCUCACUCGCCUUUUUCUUUUCUUAUCCCCUAAUCUACUACUUCAAAGCAGUGUUUCUGCAGUGUUCCUAAGAUGAGCUAUGUCUGGUUUAGUGUCAACUAAUCUUUAACCCUUUGAUGGUAGAGGGGAGUAACUCGCUUUUAGCCCUCUACAACUGAAGUUCUCAUGUACUUAAAUAACAAACAAGAUUGAAUAGGCCACAAGGCCAGAGAAAAGGUAGGUUAAUUGUUCUAGGAUUGGUUGUCUCAUUGACAAGUGAUGGGAGUAUCAGGGUUUCGAUACCCAUGGCAACGUGGAACAAGCGAAAGAAAGAGCCAUGAAAGCCUAAACCUGAACUGCAGAUCCUAGAAGAAAGGUAGCGUAGUCUUGUGGAAAUAUGCCCAUAAGAAUUCCAAGAACAAUCAAAUAAGUAGUGAAUUCCCAUAAGGAAGAGAAGACACCCUAAACUCUAAAGUACUAACUAAACUAGAUCUAGAUAAAGUACUGACUAAACUAGAUAGGCCCUAGCCUUCGCUAGGUUAGGGUUGCGAUUGUGAUAAUCCGGGUCAGUCGAGGCUGGUAAAGUAACUAAGUUGCAAAGAAAACCUCAGAUAGACUAGCUUAGGAAAUGGUGAAGCUUUAGAAUUACCAAUGGAUAAACUGAUAUGGGACUGAAACCGAUUUCCAUAGUUCUGAGGCAUGGGAGAAGUGGAUUCAAUGGGGAUGAUGAUGGCCCGAGAUAAGAAUGGGAAGUUGAUCAAGAGUGCUGGCCGUGUUGAUGCCGUUGAGUUGCCAGAGAAGAGUUCAUUGCCCUAACGGGAAUUUGCAGAAAUUCUGCGAUACCUGAUACUUGAAACUCGAUCUAUUUCACCGUACUUCUACUAAUACUAAAGCUAAGCCUAAUAUUGCAAUGAAGCUAAGAAUGAGUCAGUUGUGCUACUGCUUCCAUUCCUCGCAUUCAGCUUGAAGAGCCAUAUUGAACAACUAUAAAGAGCAUCUACCACUGCUCGGAUUAGCCUCCCUCCUAUCAUUCUCAUAAGGAUUGGCUUCCGCUUACUUUAGGUCUUGACUUCCUAUCGGGAUAGACAGCUCAGAUUACAUGCUUUAGAUUGAAGCUACUGCUCCUCUUUCUUUCAUUAUCUCUUAUUCUGCAUCCUAUCCACCAUAGAAUACUCUCUUCCAGUCCUUUGAUCAUAUAGCCAUCCAUCUUUCAUCAAUGAAAUUGUUCCGUAUGGGUAGCAAAUAAACAUAUCAGAAGAGCCAACCCGAAAGCACUUGCUUCAAAGAAGAAGCUGUUACCAAGAAAUUCCUGUUUCAAGUCUGUAUAUCUCGAUAGAACCAAUUCCAAUCCAGGUAGUGUGAACAGAGGAUGUGGAAGUUCUGUUUCCUUGCCUUGGCUCUAGAAGUCAAGUCCUGUCGGCGGACAUAAGACGGAACCCCGGUGGUUUGAAGGCACGUAGCCACUGUGUCUAAGAUUGAGCAGGCGGGUACGGUUUCGGAAAUGACAUAUUGAAUAGGUCUGUAUACCCUCAAGGGAGUUCGUUCCAUAGAGAUCUGCCUUCUAAAAAGCUUUGCUCAUUCUGCAAACUACUCCCACCAGUCACUGAGCUAGAGACUGGCACGAGAUGUUGUGUUGGUUUAUUAGAACCAUACCAAGUUCCUAAGAUUACAAGAUUCAUAACUAGCGUGAUCAACGAGACCUCCUCGACAUUAUAAGGUUCUCAAUCAGUUCAGUAAAGUACGAGCGCCAGGAUAGAUUCCUUCUCACUAAUAAGCUCCUGCGGCCAGAAAACUCAUUUUUGCGGGAUUGUUAACCCCUUUCUGAACCAACCUUUGGAAAGCUCUUCGCAGCAUGGAAAUAUUCACCCGAGACUGAAAUGGAGGCAUAAGUAGGCCAGCUUACACUAAAUGCUCCGGAUAUUCUUAUAUCAAUCCUAAAAACGAACUGUUGAUGUGUAAGCCAACACCUUGUGAACGUCGUAUACUCGGUAGUGACAGUUGGAAAGCUAGCAAGCAAGUCAAUAAAAUAGGAAUGCCCCUUCCAACCUCAAAAACCUUUGAAAGCUGGUGAAUUACAUCUAGCUAGCCGGGAAAGCAUUCCCCUCCUACGACUAGGAUAGUGCUAUUAGUAAGUAUUCGUCCCUCCGCUAACUAAACAGCUCACAGUUCUCUAUCAGUCCCUAAGCCUAUGCCUUCUUCUGUCAAUCUUGUACUUACUGUGAAGUACAGCAAGGCAAGAAGAUUCCCAAUAAAGUCCAAUGCGUCCUCUCAUGCGUGACAUACAUUCCAAGCCCAGACAUGUUGUACCUUAGGGCUGAACAACUAGUAAUGCAAUCAGACUCUUGAGCCCAGUUCCUAGUAAAUGCUUUAGGCCCGGGACCUAAACAAGAUGCCCAAAUAAGAACAUCCACGCCCAUACUUUAUAUAUAUUAUAUAUAUAUAGUGGAAAAAGCCCAUACUUUAGAGUUACUGCUUCAGGAUAGCUAUUCCUCUCCGACUUACUUUUCUGAUCUGAGAUAGGGUUACCCCGGUACUAUCAAUAGCGAAGUAACUGAUUGCUUGGGAGCAUUUGUUGGCAUGUCAUAGAGAGCCAAUCAGAGAGUGCAAGUACGAGUUCAAUUUUCCAUGUGAUGAGUAGCGGCGGUAUCACAUAAAGAGACAGGCUCCACAAGAACAUUCGUUCCUAGGUGCAUGACUUGGAGGGGAGCUCCUUCUUGCUAAGAGUGCCAGUGGAUUCUCCUCCUAUUCCUCGACUCUUUAUUAAGGAGACAGACCGGUAAUCUCGCUUCUGAUAAAAGAUCGGCUAUUCCCCUAAGAAAGCAAAGGGGUAUUCUUCCUUCAUAGAUUCCCGAUGCCGAGCUACUCUUGAUAGGCUUUCCAAGACCAAGUUUAUAGAAUGAUCCCUUGCACAUUGAGCAAGACAGUGUAUUCUUUAGGUUGGAGUAAGAUCAAUGGAGCCGAAAGUAAAGCAUCGGUAGUGAGGCUUUCCUCCAUGAGGAAUUAAUCCUUUGGUCGUCAAUGGGAACUUUAAGACGAGAGCCAAUGUGUCCAAACUUCCGGCUGAAUUGUUGCUUUCUAGUGGCCGACCAUCCUUUCCAGACCUUCUCUAGAGCUCUUCAAUCCUUCCUCCUAAGAUAAGAUAAGAUAAGAUCCAGGCUAACUUUUUCAAGCAAUGGAAUGACUGGUAGGCGAUCUCAGGCUCGCUCGUCGUUGGGUAGUUUCCGAUAGUUCUAUCACCAUUCCAGGCUCUUCGCAUAUAGAGAACUCGAAGGUGGUCGAUGUAAUAGAGCAGGCCUGAGGCCAUUACGUACUUUCUUUGUUUAAGUUAUUAUUGAGAGGGUCUUUCAAUGAUAGCUAUACACAAUGAGCGCUGUUUUCUACAUGCGAGAUGAGAGCGGAUAAGGCUAAAAAGAGAAAAAGCAGGGCUUGGCUUAUUCUAUUCAUCUGCACCACCUGACAGAGAUUCUUUCACAGCCUCGUUCAGCUAGUAGAAUUCUUUAUAGAUCUCGUUCUUUUCACUUUCUGGGCUGAGACCGUCCAAUUUCAUUCUUGCCUGGGAUCGGAACUCACACUCGAUCCCUACUCUUUCCUCGUACUUCACAGGUUUUCGAGGCCGAGGGUGAACUGGACUCGCAUUCACUUGCUGGGAAAAAGAGAGUGGAUCAGGCUACGACUGAGGCUGAGGAUAGGUCACAGGACGGAUGAGGUAAAGUAUUCCAAAACGGAGGAUUCCAACCCGAGGAAGUAGGUCAACCACCUGCUCCGUGGAAGUAGUUAGGGGAUAAGCCCAAGGAGGAUAGGCCUAUGGGAUUUCCACAAUGAGUCCUAGUACCAGGUAGGUUAAGGCGUAAUAAGUCAAAGAGGUCUUAGCGGAACUCGAUAAAAAGGAGGGAUGUGACUCAUCAAAGGAAGUUGCCGACUCGGGUAGGUAAGCAAGAAAGUAGACUCCUUCAUCGGCCAGGGUACUCCUGAAAUCUAUCUCAGUAGGGAAAAGAGGAGUUAUGGUAUAGAGAAUUCUGACCUAAAUGGAUGCAUUGAUUAGGGUCUUUGUCCCGCAUCCUUACGAAUACAAGAGUGGUUUUUUUUGGGUAUAGCAGGACUUGAACCUGCGACCAUUAGGUUAAAAGCCCAAUGCUCUACCAACUGAGCUAUACACCCUAUUUUACAAGAAGGCUUGGUGCGGAAAAGAAAAGAGGGUGGCCUGGCCCCUUUUCUUCUUAUCAUAUCACAAGGGCGCGGCUCUGUAUGGGGCUCGUACUGCGGAGCAAGUCUGGGAGUCCUUUCCACUCAUUGAGGAUUCUAUCUAAAAAAGAAGGUCAACGGGGGAGACUACAGUAGCUCGAACUCAGACUAUCUACGAAAAAGCUAAAACUCCCUUGUCUUCAACUAUGAACUUACAUCUAUCGAUAACACGGGCUUCUUAGGUCAAUCACAUCCCCAGGAACUUCUAACUGGCCUAGCAAGGACGGGCAUCUUUCAUCAAUUGAUUCGAUUUAACGAGAGGCUCGGAGAUGGUAUACGUAGAAUAGGGGAAAGUAAAGACAAACUUCGGUCAAUUUACGUUUUCAAAACUACAGCUAUCUUGCCUAGAGUCCCAGAGCUUAACGGAACUCUUGUUUACUAUAAGAAUAAGAAUAAGAAUAAGAGCCCACCGCUUUAGAAGUGCUUUCCUCUCUCUUUCUUUCGAACCAUAAACUCCGAAGCGGUUUCACUUUACCAUACUGGAGAAGGGCUUCACUCGCGCCUUGGGGACUGAACUAGAGUACAGAACUAGCUUCCUCUGUACAUAUUGUUUUCGGGUAAUAAUACUAUCAUUGAGAAAGAAUAGAUAACGACUAUCAGGCAUAUGACUGAUUUCUAUAUGGGUGUGGGCUCAUACUCUCAUUUUAUCCUUGCUCGCGGAAUACGUCACUUAAAAUAAGCUAUUGACGUCUUAGUUCCGACCUUGUCUCCUUUCUUUCUUUUGUUCACCGGUGCAAGGCAAGGGCGGAGCUCUCUUAUGUUCAUCUUCCACGCCUGUCUGCAUCCCAAGCACUAAAUGAGUGAAAUCCAAUCCCGGAAAAAGGCUCUCUUGCAUCUUUUGCUUCCCCACCCGGCCUCUAUUCUAGAUUCACCGUCUUCGGAUGCAUCAGUUUAUUAUGCUUAUGCCUAAUCUUAAUACUGGCUAGUUACUUCAAUUACCUUACCCCUCCUUUUAAGGAGGUUUCAGAGCACCCAGUCACAGCUCGUCACAAGAAAUGAUGGUCGAGUCCCCGUGCAUGAAGUCAGUGGAUUCGAGUGAACUGACCGUACUACAAAUCGACAUACUUGAGGAAGCUUCUUACUAAACCAAAGAAAGGGCAGCUCCAGUUGUGUUGUCGAUUCCCUUCUCCCGAGAGCUUUCACACUAUACUUCUACGAGUACGAGAAGGUUUUAUUGAAAACGUUCGAAAACCAUAGGGAAAGUAACAAAUCUUUCUUGGCACGUGCCCCUGCUCCUGGUCUUCGAACUAGUCAUUAAUGGUCGGCAACAUAGGUACCCUUUUUCGGUAUGCGUUGCGAACACUUUCAUUUUUAGCGUCUCAUCUUCUCUGGAGAAGCUCAAAUCGAACGGAUAGAGCAGAUGGUCCAACUACAGAACUUCUUCUUUUUCAUUACUUCCAUGGUCGUGCCCCGUGGCACGGCAGCACCCGUACUAUUGAAAUGGUUCGUCAGUAGAGAUGUUCCCACUGGUGCCUCUUCUUCCAAUGGUACUAUAAUUCCUAUUCCUAUCUCUUUAUUCCCUUUUUUGGUCUAUCUACAUUCAAGGAAAUUCAUACGCUCCAUGGACAGAGCAAAAAGUGGAGUGUUGGUCAAAGCAAGCCGCCCUAUUCUAUUACCAGACAAAAUUGGGAGAAGCUCAUCCGCUAGAAAUGCUUUAUUUCGUUUCGUUCCCGUUCUUCAUUUCCUUAUUAUCGAAUCCAUGGGGGACUUGUCAUAUUUAGAAUCUUUCUGCGGUCUGCUCUGUUUACAAUUCUUUCGUACUCUCUUCUCUUUACCACGCGAUAGGUCAGCGAAGCGUGAGCGGGCGCUCCGAAGUAAAGGCCAAACACUUCGGCCUAAGGGGAAUGAGCAACAAAAUGACAAGAUGAGGUGCCCCGGGCACCCCCAUAUAGAAAGAAGGGUCGAAGGUUUUGGGCCUGUAGCUUUCCCCGCCCCCCCCUCGUCGAGUGGUGCUUGUUUGGGGGGUGUGCCACCUGAAAUCGGGCUUGAAGCUCUCGCCUUACCAACGAGCCGACUGUUGAUGGCUGUUGGUCACGACUACUACAAAAAAGUGAAGAUGAAUCUUUCUAUUUCACAUGGAGGAGUGUGCAUCUUUAUGUUGGGUGUUCUUCUGUCGUGCGACCCGAUGGCUUAUGUGCGACCUGUGGCCCACGCCUCCUAUUCUAUUUGUUCAGGGCGGGCGGCGUGAACUCUGAUUCGAUCCGGGUAUUCAAUCCCGCCGCUGAGAUGCUCAGUUGACUCCUUAACCUUGAUAGGAAGAUGGCUUAUUCCUAAAUUCGUGCAUAAGGGUAAGGAACUUUGGAUGAAUUAAUGCGAAUGGGUGUAAGCCUCGCAGCUCGGAAACACCCAGUGCUGACCACACUGAGAGACACGAAAGCGCAGGUAAUGCCAGUUGGCGAAGUGGCGUUAAGCAUCCCUAGCGGUACGCAAAGAGAGGUCGUGAUGAUAUCAUCUACGUCCGUACCGCUCCUCGUGGAGUAGAUCCCGCAUCCAACCAACCCUUUUUUUACCAGGGAACGGGAGAAUUCCCACUACCGCAGGCAGGCCAGCCGGGCCGUGAGCGCGGUGGGAACGGGCUUCCCAAAAAGCGAGCCCCGGCCCGGGUCAGCAUAGAAUGGGGGGGGGGACGGCCCUAAUGUUGUGUUGGCCGGGUUGCGGGCGGAUAAAAGCGGACGUGGGGACUCGGGUCGGGGCACAGCGUAACUAAGAUAAGAGAGCCAUUCCAUUUAGUGCGAGACAGAAUGGGCGGGCACAAGCGGUCUGGUGUCCGAGCCGAUUGGUCAGACGACGACUACUGCACAUAUUAUAUUAGCCGCCUAUCCCGGAAUGGACUGGGAUGGAAACGCGAAGCAACAAGCAAGGGAUGAGCGCUUUGUUGCUAAAGCGCAUACGUUUUCUUGGUUUGUUUUUUGGGGGUGGGGCAAUAAGCUUGCUUCUUCACAAGCUUAUCCCCGCCCCCUUUCCUGUCCGUCCCGACCGGCAGCAGUUGGGUCUCCCCAUCUCUCCUCAACUUCCCCGGUCUUCGGCCCGAGCUGUAUGAGGCAGAAACUCGUCCCACGUACGGUUCGGAGGCCGAGCCCCACCCCUGCAAUAAUGGUGCAGCUUAGGUCAACUAAUACGAAUAAGAUACAGUUCACUCAACGAUUGCCUUUGGGUCCCGAACUCCAUAUGGGGAAGGAACGUUGUUGUUUGCGAGGUCUCGAUCAUUUACAUGGACCCACUUCUCAUUCCAUUUGUGGGAAUUUUAUGAUUUAUAAACCGUCCCCAACGAGCGAAAGGUUCAUGUUUGAACAUGAUGAAUCACUUCGUGCCGACCUGUUGCCCAUAAACUUUCCUGCCUCAUAUGAGAAUGGAAAACUGGAAGAUUUUCUGAUGAAGAAUCACGAACAUAAGAAUUUCUGGUUUAGCAUGUUCCCAGAAAGAAGAUACUACUGGUCGCGAGAAACGAGGAGCACGACUGAAGUGGCUAUACAUACAAAUCCAUUGACGGAUCUAUAUGCUCCGAUUGGAACUGGAAGUUCCAGAACUGGCGGCUGGUAUACCACCAUAAUGAAAUUGCCUUUUAUUUUUAGUAUUCGGAUAGGAUUUCUGUUGGCUUCAUCGGGAGGCUCGCGUAGUUUGUUACGUCAACUCCAAAAGGAUAAGUUGCAUUGGAAUCGAGAAAGUUUCGUUCAUAAUUGCAUAAAAGGAGUCAAAAUAGUGGCUGCGGCGCGUCGAGGGUUGAUAUCGAAUAACCUUUCGAGCCUUCCCCAAUGGAUCUCUAUCCUCCUUUGAAACCAGUAGAAGUUCACUGACCAUCCCUGUCAAACAUAACCCAAGGUAGGAUCGAGAGGAGAAGAAUAGGACUCUUGCUAGUAUCAUAACCUCUCGAUGGGAGAAUGAAACCAUUAGAUUAGUGGAAAGAAGAAAGAAUGGGAAGAAAGCAGCCAUGGGCAAGCUUUAAUUAAUAUAAAUAAGUAGGAGUUACAGCCUUUAAAUUAGAGUGAAACGAGCCUUUGACGUAGUCAGAAAUUCUACUGCCCUUUCUCUUCUUUCUUUUUUAUUUUUUAUUCUAGUUUUUUAUACUAUACGUAUAAUCACCUUUCCGGGGAAGGGGUAACAUAGACGGAGGCACAUGUAGACAGAUACAGACUUUUGAAAUCUUUUGCCUAAGCGAAGUAGAUAAGUAUGAGGGAAGAAGUAUUUUAUUGUCCAGCAUGAUCGGUUUCAUAAGUCCAGUUGUGCCAGAAGCUAGAGUUGCCUUUAUUAGUGGAUAAGGGUGGGUUAGGCAUGACAUUCUUAAUCGUAGACAAGGCGCGCUGCGGAAGAGCUUGAUUGCUAACUAAUUGCUUGCUUUUAACCAGUGACUGACUUACACGGCUACUACUUUCCUGAGUACCGCUUCAGAAUCGUUCCUACUUUCCUUUUUAAAGGUCUUCCUCUCUCUACUAGGAUUGACUCGCUUAGAAGUCGAGGGGGUCCCAUUUCCAUUCCUUUGCCAAAGACCCUAACGACAGCUUGAACUACCUCAAAGAUUUGUCUCAUUGAUCCGAAAAGAAAGGAAAGAAGAGGAUUCCUGGGAAGGAUAGAGUAUAUCAGCAGGUUCAUCGCACAGCUCACUCCAAAAAGGAUUUGAGUGGAAGGUUGAGCGCCCCUUAACGUUUAGAAGUAUCCUUUUUUCAACGGUUAGAAACCUUUCUAUUCUAAGACGGCUAGGCUAAGUCGAGGGCAGACACAACAGGUCACGAAGAGCUAGAGGAUAUAGAAUUCCUAUUUACCGGGAAGAAAAGCGGAAGGAAACAUCGGCUCUUCCGAGAUCUUAUGUAAGGAAUACUAGUUCUCUAAAAAGUAGAGCUAAAAGAUCUUCAAGAAAUGUCUUUCCCGCGGAAGACUCUAACUCCUCAUAGCAUUACGCUAAUCCGCAAAUAUCGAAUGAUGCUUCGACAGAUUCAGUCAUCCAUUCAGCUUUGAAAUCGGAGACAAGGAAAACUACUUCAUAGAAAUAGAAAUAGAAGCGCCGCGGAUCAAUAUAGAGAUGCGAACCAAUAUCCUUUUCCUGGUGGACUCUGAAGUACUCGUCUUUUGCACAAGGCCUCGUGUCAAAUAACAUCCAACCACGUCCACGUCCUCCUACCUCGCCCAUUUGCGGAGAUCAUCUACAUUUUGCUUCGUGUCGAGCUCUAAUCCAAACGUUUUCCUUCGGGAGGGCAUUGCUGCUUUCUUUCUGUAGUGAGGCUGGCUCUUAAAAAUGAGCUAAACUCUGAUAGAUUUAAAGGUAAAUUUAGGUAUUCUUAUCUUAUAUGUAUCGAGUGAUUGUGAAGCGCAUUCAACGCGCUAGAUAUGAACAAGGCUUGUUAGCAUUGGCACGUGCAUAUGUUGGGUAUGAUAUUUACUUUCCAGCAUUGAUUUAUUUUAGAGGGCGCAUCUAUCGUGCAGGAAUACUACACUUUCACGAGCGGGACUUUGCUAAAUGUCUAAUAUCUUUUCCUAUUGGUAGUGGUGAUGUUAAGUUCACAGGAAAAGAAGACAAGGAAGAAGCUACUACUUAUAUGAUUGAGCAAGCUGUGGGUUUCCAUCAUCAUUUGGCUUUGCCCUUCCUCCUCGUUUUUCUUUGAGAUUGGCAAUCUUAUCCACUUUUUUACUUUGCUCCACACAGAUGAAGGCAAGCUUGUCUUCGCUCUAUCUUACCAGGAAAGUAGGAAAUACACACCCCUGUUGGUUAAAGCAGACUCGUAUGCCUAUUCUGAUGCGGAGGGAUCAGCCACCUCUUUCUGUUCGAAAGAUUCCAGACCUGACUUAAAGCCCUCUUUCACAAGACAUUUGGUUGAUCAGGAUUUGGUAAACCUAGAGAUCUGAUUCUGGGAUAGGGUAAAUCUGUUCUUUCUGCUUCUGCCUAUGCUUGUCUUUUAGCAUUCGCCUAUGCGGAUUGAGAUAGAUAUUGAUAUCUAUCUGGGCGAAAGAGCACAAAAGGGAGUGGUUUGGCCGCUAAGAACUUAACUCCUAGGCGAUGGAAAUAUAGAAUCUAUGUAUGGCUCAGCCAUCUCUUCUUGAACUUGCUGUGGAACUUCUCUAUCUUUGUCAUUAAAGGCUAUGUAUCCCUUUCCCUCAUUAGUACUCAAGCACUAGAACCGCUUACUGAUUCAACGACGGUUACUGAUAUGCCAUGUUGAUCGUCAUUUCUCGUUGAAUGGUUCUCCCUCCUGUAGCUCUGUGGGCAUUCAAACCAGAGUUUAUGCGGUUGGCUAUGUCCCUUCUAGAACUGCUGUUUUUAGCAAUUGACAGAAAAAGUUCCGUAAUCGUCCUAUUUUUUCGUCCUUGUGGAAGCGAGAAAUGCGUAAUUAAUAAAUAUAGUGAUGUGAUGAUUCCAUGAAUCUCAGAAAAGGUAGGGGUCAAGGACCUUAUGGGACUGCAAUCGUGCCUGCCAAUUGGGGAAGGACGCGGGCCUGGCAACCGCUCGGCUCUAGUAAGGGAAACAGGUAUGUCUCACAUCAUUGCUCGAAGACUGGAAAAACAGCAAGUUAGCUCAGUUGGGUAGAGUGCUGGUCUGUCACGCCAGAAGUCGCGGGUUCGAACCCCGUUUUCCCCGCACGAUCUGAAACUAAUAGAAUAGAAGGGGCCAUAAACAGGAGAGUCUUGACCAAUUCAUUUGGUGUAGUUGAAAUAACGGAAUUGGAAGUUGUUCGGUCAAGUAUAGGAAAUUAAUAUAAGAAUGAAUAACUUUCUCAAUGGUUUAUUUUUUGUCUUUUAUUUAUCUUAAUAUUCAUUCCAUUCAGGCCAUUCGCAAGCAAGCACGAAAAAGCUUCUAUUUCUAAACGGAAACGCCCAGCCCAAUACAUCGAAACUCAUUACCCAUGGGCAAAGAAAGCCAGUCGAGAAAAAAAAAGAAAACAAACAUGGUUUAGCGGAUUCGGAAUUGUAACCAAGCAUCCUGGGUUCUAUACCCGAUUCAACACUAGAGCAUGCAGCCGAUCCUGGAUACAGAACUAUAGAAAGUGUGCAGUGAGGGAUCUUUAUUGGUAGCCAGUCUUUCACUUCCGCCUCUCCACUCCCAUGCCUUUCUUGGUCGGACCAACCCAACCGGCGAUUUCCGACAAGUCUUUCUGCUUAGAGCAAGAAGCGGAACAAAAAUCAAGCUUUCUUUAUUUUCAUUUAUGGAUAACCAAUCCAUUUUCAAAUAUAGUUGGGAGAUUUUACCCAAGAAAUGGGUACAUAAAAUGAAAAGAUCGGAACAUGGGAAUAGAUCUUAUACCAAUACUGACUACCCAUUUCCAUUGUUGUGCUUUCUAAAAUGGCAUACCUAUACAAGGGUUCAAGUUUCGAUCGAUAUUUGCGGAGUGGAUCAUCCCUCUCGAAAACGCAGAUUUGAAGUUGUCCAUAAUUUACUGAGUACUCGGUAUAACUCACGCAUUCGUGUACAAACAAGUGCGGACGAAGUAACACGAAUAUCUCCGGUAGUCAGUCCAUUUCCAUCAGCCGGCCGGUGGGAGCGAGAAGUAUGGGAUAUGUCUGGUGUUUCUUCCAUCAAUCAUCCGGAUUUACGCCGUAUAUCAACUGAUUAUGGUUUCGAGGGUCAUCCAUUACGAAAAGACUUUCCUCUGAGUGGAUAUGUGGAAGUACGCUAUGAUGAUCCAGAGAAACGUGUGGUUUCUGAACCCAUUGAGAUGACCCAAGAAUUUCGCUAUUUUGAUUUUGCUAGUCCUUGGGAACAGCGUAGCGACGGAUAAUUCCGAAUCUACAUAGGUCUAGUCCAGGGGAGGGGACAAAUCAAUAGGAAAUGCUAUUUGCUUCUUAAUCUUAAGACUUAAGAUAAGAAGAAGAACUUUUUAAAAAUGAAAGAGUCGGAUAUCAUAUCAUUUCUUCAAAUAAGGAAGAAGAAGUGUUAUCGAAGGAUUUCCUUCCAUUCUUCCUAGUAUGGAAGAAGUCAAGAAAAAGUACUGCGUCUCGAUCUAUACGAAAGGGCACAGGUUUUUUCUUUUGGUUUCAUUGAUAGCAGAAGAGUACGCUAGCUAGCGGAGCCUGAAAACGCUUGCUUGCGCCCCACCCCUACGCUACGGAAACUAUUGCCUAUGCUUGCUGCUCGCUCAGUGUCAGUAGAAGGGAAGAAAAGAUGGUCACUCCUUUUAGGAACAUGGCGAGCCUUACUUACGACUGUUGCACUUCACUCGCAGCUCGUUCAUUCACUUGCUCAUGAACUCGCAGCUUCGCCAGAAGCGACUAGUCGCCUCCUUUCCUCCGCCGAAAGAUGCUUAGCUUAGCCAGACGAAGGAGGGGAGCUGGGGAAGGCCGACGAUGGCAAUGAGGGGGAAGCUGUCGUAGAAGCUUUGCCCCUUGCUUUACAUAAAUUGUUAUGAACUUACUAAAUGACCUUAUUUAUUCUCCCGGAACGCUAGCAAAUCUAAUAGUUCCAUCUGCUCUUCUUAACUUAACUUAAGAAUAAGAACGAAGGCCGCCAUCCUUCUUAUUCAGGAACCCUUUGUUUGAGGAGGGCGUAUCCCAGGGAAGGGGAGAGUGGCCGAGCGGUCAAAAGCGACAGACUGUAAAUCUGUUGAAGGUUUUCUACGUAGGUUCGAAUCCUGCCUCUCCCACUUGUUGUAGACUUAAGAGAAGAGAAAGUAGGCGGAAGCCUAGGAGGGCCAACCGAGCGAAGCUCUUUCUUUUUUUGGCCGUGCCGUGAAGUGCAAUUUUAUCGUAUGCGUUUUAGAGAGGUUGUCGAAAAAGACGAUCUAUAGAGAUUCCCCAUCUAUAUCCAAUCGAGAAUAGAAGCGAGUCCAGUUAGUACGGACUUGGGGAAGAGUGGUGGAGCAACUAUUGGUUGGUCGGAGAGGGCGAAGAAAACAUGACUCUGGUGGGCGUAAAAGAGCAAAACCUUAACGAUGUGUGAGCGUUAGCGAGUCUGUCCUUUCUUUCUAUCUAGCUGGUACCAACAAAACAAGUCUGUUCUAGCUUUCUCGUGGACAAGAUGGCAAAAAUUCAUCUUUCCUUUGAUUUCUUGGUGGUACAGACGGCCGAGCUCCUGCGAGGGGUAGGGUAGAUGAGUACCGAGCGGAAGAAGAAACCGGAUUGAUUGAGAAAGCAGACCGUCCAGAAGCAAGGUUAGGAUACCGUCCACCCGAAGAGUACGGGGAUGGAGGGAGGAAAGUGGGAAUAAACCGUCUGUCAGGUAGGACUGGUGGUAGAGAGGGUAUAGAUGGUAGAUCAACUCUGUUUAUGGUGGGGGAAAAGAAACUCUUCUGAUCGGACAGGAGUCGAAUUAGCCCUCUUUCUAUCGCUACGCCCGUUUUGUGCCGUCUAUUUUCUUUGGUAACUCAAUUUAAUUUCUUUUCAGAAACCUAAUAAGCCAUGCCUGCAACUAGUUAUUAAGCAAGGGUAGUCAACUCCACUCUUUUCGCCAGAAGUCUUAUUUUUAAGAUGGAAAAGAAGGACAGAUAUAUCUUGACUAGUACAUCCGCCUUGCCAUCCAAAUCAUUAAUCUAUUUAUUUUAUUAGUAUUCUGCGUGGAUAUCCCGACCUUGUUAAGGAUAGAGGUAGGGGUAGGUGUUGGGCAUGCGGAGACUUAAGACCUUCGUAGGCAAUCAGGUAUGGCUUUGGUUAAGUGAAUUUACGACUCCAUCUUCACCAGUAGCCAAGGUAGGCAUAAUACGCGUGAGCUCUUUCAAGUCUUUCGUGCGGGUAUACGUUGAGCUAGUCCUCGUACUCCUUUUCUUAGCUCUUUUAGAAAGAAUCUUAUUUUUCAUCGUGUCAGGUCCUGGAUGUAGACUCGGCUAUGGUAGGAUCGACCUAAUUGUGAUCAUUCUCCGCUUCGUUCGCUGAUCUCUUGCUAUUGCUUUUUCUCUCUAGCCUUGUCAGGCUGGGCCUAGGGUUUCCAUUCCUAAGGCUUUUUCUGUUUCAAAGUCCGACUGCUAGAAUUCUUAUAAUGAAAGUCUUCCUAGCACGGACUAUGGCUGCUUAUUAAUUAAGUAAGGGAAAACAUCUUACCAUAGGAUCGAUCAUAAGGCCUAGGUCUUUCUUCAAAGAUAAGUACUGACCUUUCCUACUGUGUCAAAGCACUUUUGCUAAGCCUCACGCUUAAGCAAGUAUUUCAUCUGCAUAAAGGAGGAAGUAACUUACCCUUGAACAAUCGCCUGCUCUAGCAUAUUGGAAAAGGCGUGCAUAGGUUGACUAGUCUAAAAAGAGAGGCUUCCUUAUAAGGGCAUUGUCGCUCGCUCGGAUUCAUUUUCCAGGUCCUACAUGUUCUAGGACUAUAGAUGAUCCAACAUGCCUAUAGUUUUCAUUAUUGUUUUAUGCUUUAGCCUCCUUUUAUAAGCACUUACUUGGCCCAUGCGAGUCGAUUUCAAGAUGUCAACUUUGACUAUCUUUCUCUUCUUACUUUACUUAUCCCUUACAUUACUUUACCUAGUAACUUUGAAAUAGGCAUAUCUUGUCUACCUUCCAUAUACCCUAGCAUUUCUACUAGUUGUUUUCUUGCAUAUAUCCAACCUGAAAUACCAUUGCUUCUUGUAGGUUUUUACUUCUACUUUCUUGACUAUAAUUACCUAUACUUGCCAUCCCGUCUUUCUAUUCCUUUUGAAAGUAAACUUGUGACCCUUCGAAGCUAUGAAAAGACCUAUUAUGUAUAGAGCUUGACAUGCCAACUACUAUAGCUAUAGUAAGUACUUCUAGCUAUUCCUACUUGUUUUUUUCCUACUUGACUAGUGCUGACUUACUUCUUUGCCUAUGAGAAUUCUUAUUAUUCUCCAAACUGUGGUAUCUGAAAUGACCCACUUUCCUGAGCAAAAGAAAGCUUACUACAGCACGGUCUUACGUCCAGGAAUGGAACAUUCCAUCUCUUCUUGUCCACUGGUAUAGAAAGAAUAUGCAUUUUCUUGAUGUUUCAAACUAGGACUUUGGAUUUCUCCUAUAUUAAGUUGUUGGGUACGAAGGAGCUUAUGUUGCGUAUAUAGAUAUUUCCUUAUUAUUAAGUUGUUGAGCAGGAAGCAGAAGAACUUUUCUUCUAUAUUCGAUUCGCUAUUUGGCACAAGGCGAGGAGGAAAGAAUAGAAGAAGCAUCUGACUCUUUCAUGCAUACUCCACCUGGAUGAUAUAGAUCAUACUAUUAGGUAGUCUCCGAAUCAGUGAUCUGUCUUUGAUGACAUCUAUCUGGUACCACGCAUGAAGCUUGCUUCGUUCUGGUUUUUUCUGGUGUGUGAAACAUUAUAGGAUGGGGCGAGCCCCAGAAAGAAAUCCUGGGCAGUGGUUUACUUGAUUUUCUAAGAACUAAGACUGGCGAAGGGAAAGGAUGGUAAAGAUAUUGAAGUACUCACCAAAAACUAGGAUGAACCGACAGCUUCGAAAAAAGAAGAAGAUUAACUUCCCCUACUACUUACUACUCGACGAUUCGACCAUUCAUGGUUGGUGUGGCUCCUAUUCCUCGAUAUGCCGGACCUUCUUCUACACUACCACAAGUUCGUAGCUUGCAAACUCCCGAUUUGCCCAUUAUUUAAUCGCGCCUUUGCUUUGAAAAAAGGUGCUUUCACCACAGCACAGACAUGCCAGUAACUGACGAAUUGGAUGCUCCAGCAGUAGUUCCAGUUCCGAAGGGAAAAAAAAAGGGAAAGUCCCGCUUGUCAACCAUGCCUGAGCCCAAAGGAAAAGCAGUACCAAUCCGCUUCAAAGCUUCAGUCCUAGCUAGCCUAUCUUCGACGUCAGAACCAAUUUCUUCAAUUCAAAAGCUUUCUUCAGCUCGCCCUUGUGCUUACGCCAGCCUUUGUUCACUUGUCUCGGGCUUACUUCUAGACUUGGAUGGACUUCGAUCUUCAUCUUUAGUAAUACCUAACGUUGCUAGGGUCUUCCAUGCUUAUAAAGUAUUACUAAAAAGAAUCUUUUUUCCUAGUGUUUAACUUUUUCUCAUUCUAUUUAUACAACCCAUUUUCCUUGAUACUGGAAUCGAGCUACUUCCAUUUUUUUAGGUAAAGAUCAGGCGGGAAAGCUUACACCACCCAUAUUCUUCUUUAUGUGGCUGACCUAUUUGUUCACUUUUCACAAAUCAUGUAGCAAUUUCGAAAGAGAGAUCAGGAUCAGAGCAAAGAAGCUGCGAAAUGAGGGGAGGAGACUCUGCCUCCAUAGUAUAAGUUGCUAUCCACUUAUGCUUGGUUUGUGCUUUACCACGAAAUCUUGCCUCUCACCAUCAUGAAAGACAGAUGAUGAUGUCGAUUUCUUACUGUCGAGACAGCCUGUCCGAAUCCAAAUCAUUCGACUUCCUCCUUUGCAGUGGCGAGGUCGUUGAUUCCUAUAAAUCAAGAUGUUUUGUUGCCUGCUUCUUUUUAUGGGCCUUCUCUCUUGGAUGGUAUUAUCCACUUGGUAUAUUGUGAAAGUCUCUACAAAGACGAAAGGGCCCCAUGCCUUCUUUGAAAACGAUAUCCCUCUUCAACGCUUCCACUAGCCCUAGACUCGGAAUACUCUGCUUAAGAGAUCCCCCUCUCCGGCCAGAGAGGAUUUGAGUACAACAUUGAUUGCGGAAGAUCUUUGUUCCUAUUAUUUUUAAGCCUAACUAGGCGCGCAGCGGUGAGUGCGAGCUGCUUUCCAGAAAUGCUGGAAAAGAGCCAGUAACGCUAUCAGUGAAUAGAGCUGGUGUAAAGUCCAGCUAAAGUACCAUACAGCCCCACAGGUAAAGAGUAUGAGUGGAGGGAAGUGUUCUGCUCUUACAGGUACUACGGAACUAGUUCCAAAGAACUGCUAGUGAGGAAUGAAAGAGUUUCUAGUGAUAGGUGCUGCUAUGAGUUAGCAUAGCCCCAAAGAAAGUAGUCUGCGAUCCCCUUCGAAGUAAGUGAAAGGGCGGAGCGAGCAAACCGGAUAGCCCCACAGAGUAUCGGCGACGAUUUCCCGCAUACACCGAAUUCAACCGGGAUUCAAUUUGGAGAAGAAUUCAGCAUAGAAGCGACUUUGAUCUUCGACGACCGAGGCCGUUGGAAGUGCAUGAAAUAAGAGAAGCGAGCAAGUAUUGUGAAUAUAAAGAAAGUCCGGGUCACACCCAACCCAAAUAGAGUGCUUGCAACUCAAAGAUGAGCUCGAAAGAAGAGCCCGGCUGGGGAAGUUAUAUCAGUUCAUAAAAAAGUAUGUGAAUGGCAAGGGAACAGGAAGGCUGGAUGAAAGAGGCCUGAAGGACCCCCGCAGUGGAAAUAGGGACCCCGGGACAAGGUAGGCCGAAUAAUAAGGUAAGGGAAGGAAAGGAGACGAACAAUAUCCAUAGAGCCCCCCUAUAAUUCACGUAAUCGCUGGGGGAUAGCGUCGGGAGGGGACACGAACAAAGGACGGCGACAGUAUAGCACCAAAAUGAAGUUCCCGAUCAUCCUUCAGGUCGACAAGAAAAGGCCAAGGGAAGGUAGCGUGAUCAGCUUUUCGGAUCAAGAUUCUGAGGGCAUACAGCGACCUCAUGAUGAUGCGAUAGUUCUUGUCCUGAAAAUAGGAGGAAACAGAGUCAAACGUGUUUUGGUUGAUACAGGGAGUUCGGCGGAUAUAUUAUACAAACGAGCAUUCGAUCAAAUGAACCUAGAGCUGCGUCAUCUAGGUCAGGUACGAACACCCCUAGUGGGAUUCACUGGAGAUACUCUGCAACCGUUAGGCAAAAUUCCCCUAAGGGUCGAGUUCGGCCCGGUCUUCGGCAAUGAUAGACUUUCUGGUAGUUGACGCUCCUUCGGCGUAUAAUGCGAUUCUGGGACGAGGAACGUUGAAUGCGAUAGGGGCGGUAGUAUCUACAUCCCAUCUGAUGAUGAAAUUGAUCCCAACGGAAGCAGGAGUGGGAGUAGAGUCCGGUCACCAUAAAAUGGCGAGGGAAUGUUAUUUGAUGUCUCUGAAGGGGAAGAAGGGGCAUGUGGCAGCAGUUGAGAAGGAAGAGGUGAUAUAAGAGGAUCCAUGGGACGAACCAAGAGAAGGCGAAAAGGUAAACCGUUAGACCCCCGAAGCCAAGCAGAAGGAAAAGAAAAUGAGUGAGCCGACUGAAGAAGUGGAAAAGUGGGAGCCGGGAAAAUUCCUAAACAUUGAUUGCGGUGCGGGUAGAAGAAGGGAAAGGCAGAUGAGUGUGAGGGAGCCCUUUUCACCAUUAUUAAUGAAUUUUUUUCCAUUAGACCUAGCUCUUGAAAAAGCAAUGGAACAUGCAAAUGGGCAGCAACUCUUCUUUUACGCUAGGUAUGCCGGUGAUCUAGUGUUUAAGGUUUUGGAUUUAGGACCUAGAUGUCAUCGAAUGAAUGCUCGGUAUACUUGCUUUCAGAAGGAAGCUAAUCUGAACACUGAAUCCAGAAGAAAGAAGCUUUUCUAUUUUGAGAGAUGAAUUCAAAGAGAGAAGGUUGUAGAAGGUAAGUAAUCCGAUGCGCGUUCAAAUCCAACAAGAACGUCUAAUGAAAUGACGGAAGAUGCAUAUUAUUCUCUCGUAGCUGGGGCUAAGAACGAUCCUCUUAUCCAACUUUCUGUCUGUCCCAAAACCGAACCUUGGUACUGCUCUACUUCAGCAUUCUACGACUGAAUCCAUUCUGGAAAUGAUGACUUGCCCACAGUAGAAGUUAGUGUCAUUUUCCGCUUUUUAGGUGAAAUUGGCUUUACUAGUCUCCUCUCUGUCUCUUUCCACUUCUGUCUUUCUAGUGCAAAUCUCAUAAGUAGAAAGAAAGCGGUAGUUUGAAGUGAGCCGCGCUCUCUCUUUCGGAAUUCUGCACCUAGGUACCACUCUAGAUUUCUUACUGGCUGACUCAAGUGCUAACUCAUAGUGCAUAGCAUGUUCAUAAGCCUUGUUCACACUAUUAGGGUAGGGUGUUGAGCAGUGACCAUAUACUUCACUUCCUCCUUUAAACCACUUAGAAAAGAGGAAAAGAAAAACUUCUCAGUAAGAUUAGGGUUUUCCAAGAUCAGUCCAGUCCGGCCUUUACUUUUUCAAACUGGCUCAUAUACUCCCUUACAGAUCCAACCUGAUGUCAUUUUCUUAAUUCAUCAACUGGGUUACAGAUUUGGAUGCACAGAAACCUAUUCUUGACCUCACUAAUCAAGGUGUCCCUAUUAGGAUGAGGGUUACUGACCACAUAACUCCUGUACCACUCACUAGUUUACAACAUUGAAAUAAGCGAUUCUUUUUGCAAUGUGUCUCUCAGCGUUUUUUUUUCUCCUUUUUCAUUACCCUCUCAAAAAAGAUCGAAAGGAUUCACUCCGGUGCUGCUUGCUGGUGGAGGUUGACUAUCUCCACUAUGAAUAAGUCUUUCUCGAGUAACUGAGACUCAACGUGUAGGCGUUGGAAGCAGAAAUAGGAGAUGGGUCGUUCCAGCUCGGCAAGAGGAUUCCGGAACAUCCAAGUCCUAGCUAUAACACAGACAGGAAAGUUUUUUUCUUUCAUUGCAAUGUCUGGCAUCGUUUAAAAUAGGCUCGCUACAUAGUUGCAGGCUCGCUCGCUCCAUUCUUACGCUCGCUGGCUGGUGAGGCAGAGUUGGUAUGGCACUGGCUGGCUGCUAAUGGUCACUCAGGAUCUACUAUGCGCGAUACGCCGACGACAUUUUGUUUGGGAUUCCCCGGGCCAAAGAGAUAUACCUGUUCCAUUCCAAGUGAAAGACCAGCAGCUGCGCAUACUAUUGAACGCGUGCGGCAGGUUUCAAUUCCACUUUUCCUGGGCAAACUAGAAAACAAGUACCGAUGUCAGGAGAUGGAAGUCAGGUUGACGAGGCAGUGACGUAGGAUAAGGCUCUUUGGUGAACCAGACUUUGUCUAUCUUAGAGAUCAAAUUGGAUGAUAGAUUUUGCUUUUUUUUUCUUGGGAAUGGUCAAAGCCUUUCACGGUUGAGCAAAAGGUUCGAAAACAGAGAUCAAAGACUCUGUCCUCGCUUCGAUAUUGUUUUCAUAUUGAGGGAUUAGUCUGCCAUCAGUGGUAGACUGGGGAAGAAGGCCGAGUGGAUGCUUUCCAGCAAAAGAAAACAUGACGUAGUCAUCAUGCCUAACAGAGAGAUUCGCCUUGGUUCUGUCUAUCGCUCUAUAGUAUAGGGAAAAUGACUCCGUUCUGUCUCCAUUAGCUAAUCAGGCUUGCAUAGGAAGGGGAAGGAAGAGAUUUUCUUGCUUCAAUCUCACGUCCUUUAUAUAUGCUAACCUACCCUAUUCCCUGCAUACUGAUGACUCGCGUUGGCUAACAGCACGUCUUUCAGCAGCUCACUAAAGGAUGGGCUAUUCAUCUCAGUCCUCAUGCUUCCGUCUUCAUAUCCCGCCAGAAAAGAAGAAAGGCGAGUCUUUGCUUUGGCAAAAAGAGAAGGAGCUCUUCUUGCCCAUAUGGGAGUGGAAGCUUCAGUGUAAGCGGAAGCUAGACUAGAAGAGAGAUUCAUCCUAGGCUUUGCUUGGCCCUACUCUAGUUUUGGUGCAGCUAACUAAUCUUUGGGUCGAAUUUCGUGACUUGAUGAAGAGGAAGCCGAGUAUCUUUGGUCUUGAAGAGUCAGGCCAAUCCAACCGCUUGCUCCUGCCCAACUCAGUCUCAGUCGUACCAUAAUGCGCCUGGACUCAACACUUUUCUUGCUCCAAGACCACCCUCUAGCCCUCAUGUCAAAUAGAUGACAGAAUUGUAAACAAUCUUAGAAUGAUUUAAGCUGAGGAACAUAGAGGUCUCUCCCACCAUUUUUGUCAUAUACCUCUGGAAUAGUGUUGAAAUCACACGCCACUAAGCAGGAGCCUAAACCAAGUGGUUUAUCUUAGCGUGCUAGCCGCUGCUUCAUUUCGUAUAGCGAUAACGCUUUCUCUUUCUUAGCGCUCCACCCCGCGGGGAACUCUGGUUGCGCUUUGGUUGGCUUUCUCUUUUUUUCUAUUUUCUCUGACUUGACUCAGCUUGACCUACUUGACUCAGCGGUUAGAGUAUCGCUUUCAUACGGCGAGAGUCAUUGGUUCAAAUCCAAUAGUAGGUAAAACCGGCCGAAACCCCCGCUUUUGCCAGCAUGACAGCAAGCACAGACUGGCAUCAAGGAGUCGAAUGACCAAAGCAUCGGUUGCUUCCACGAGACUAAACAAUCAAUGACCAAUAAAAGACCAACGAAACGACGAGUGAGAAAGAUAAAGAACGCGACGUGGUUCAUUGAAGUAGAGGUUUGAUCGAGGAUUGGAGAGGAGAGGUGGAAUAAAAAGCUCGGGAUGGAUUUUUGAGUCUUUGUGCGAGCCGUAUGCGGUGAGAGUCGCACGUACGGUAAGGAGGGGGGUUCGCGUCUAUACGUGUAGUGUGGUGGUUGGGCCUACCCACCCUAUUUGUUCCAUGAUCUAUGGGUCUACUGGAGCUACCCACUUCGAUCAAUUAGCCAAGAUUUUGACCGGAUACGAAAUCACUGGUGCUCGAUCUAGUGGUAUUUUUAUGGGGAUUCUUUUUAUCGCUGUAGGAUCCCUAUUCAAGAUUACUGCAGUUCCUUUUCGGGCGGCUGUAGGACGGACGGCCCCCUAUAGGUAGUAGGGUAGGAUGGGUGGUACCGCUCAGAUAGCGGCCAAUCCUCCUAACUGCGCGCGGGCCGGGCUUAGAGCGCGUGAAACUCAUCACUACCUCGUAAGGGCGUUGAGACCAUAGCAUGUUACACAAAAGCGCCGCUUUCUCUGGAGUGUUGUCACACAGCUGCCCGACUAGAAGAGCUACUCGCUCUGUAGUGUUGUCACACAAGAUAAGCACGCCGCCCGCCUGCUGGCCGGGCGAAUCGAAGUUAUCUUCCGGUCAACUGUCCGCCCAGUCAAGUGCAAAAAACACAGUGGAAUCACGCAACGCACGCAGCUGGUGUGCUUCCUGCCCACGAGGAAAGAAGAGCGGCAAGGUUCAGAUUUGACUGUUUGCAGCAUGGGAGCUGAUUACCCAAAAAAUCCCUGGGAAAAAAGAAAAGAUAUCUCGGUAACGAAAACCAUAGGAGGCUGUAUUGGCGAGAUCCAAGGGUUCACAGCAGCCCAAAAGAAAAACCGCCUGGAAGUCCGAGGACCUUUAGUACCGUACCGAACCAGCAGCCUUCGCGCCAAGCGACGACCGCCCUUGUCCCUUUCCUUUUUCCAUUCAGCCUACUUCUUAGCUUUGUUCCGUCAGUCUAAGGCAAAGUCCGUGACGAAGAUCUUUCUAUCAAUAGAUAGGAAUGAGUGUUCGUUAUAGGGGAUAGGAUCCAUCUGCUCUCUCUCUCUAUUUUCUUUGAUGCAAUUUAGAGAGAAAGAGCAGUGCGAACUAAAAAAAAAAGAGAAUCGGGAGAUUAAAAGAUACAUAGACAUAUACAGUAAAGGGAUGUAUAUAUUAUUCCUAUAUAUAUCAUCUAUCUAUGAAAAAAGUAAACAGAGUUCGUUUUUGGGUUCCCCGAAUGGAUUGGAUCGUUUCUGCUUCUGCCAACGAAAUGAAGGCCUAGCCCCUUCCGAAUGCUUCUCCGAUCCUGAACGCGAAGAGAAUAAGAUGCAGCUCCCCCUCCCUCUGUCUUUUUCCGCUUUGCUAAUCUUCCCCUCUAACGCGGGCCGGGCUUAGGCGGGCGCGGGAGGAAGAAAGAAAGUCGAAGAGCGUCUUCUCCUUUGUCCUUUUUUCAGUGCAACACAGGAAAGCACCCUCUUUUUGUAAUCUCUGCUGCUUCCCAGAGGCUUUUUUUUGUAUUGAACGCAUGGCGUAGCUAGGACCCCCCCAAUCAUGUUUGAGCCUAUGUUCACCCGGGGCUCAAAAAGGAGAAUUCCGGAAUGCCUGCCGACGUUCAGAUAAGGUGCAUAUCCCUUACCACUAAAGGAAAGGCUCGACGAAGGGGGGGAAGGGUAAGGAAAACGCUUUCGGAGAUUGAUUUGUUUUUCAUCGAAAAGGAAGAAGGCCGAGGGGAUAGCAGCCUUCCUUCGGGCUUUGCCUGCCGACGUUCUAAUAAAGAAUUCCGGCUCGGCCCGGGAAAGCGCUGGCAACAACAUAAAGAAAGGGGUCCAUGUAGCUGCUGCGCCCGCCCACUGAGCAGCAGGUUCGGCAUCUACUACAAUACAAAAGAAAAGAAAAGAACUUAACAAAGUGGAAUGUCCGACUACACCCAAAGAAAAGAGAGAAUCCACUUCAGAUAACCACGUCUCUGCUAGGCAGCGUGUGGAAUGGCCGAGAGCGGACCAAAUGGAUAUAUAAUCCAAGCCGAGAGUGGAGUUACGUGAACAGCCGUCUGAUGGAAAACAACUUUCACGUUCGGUUCAGAGAGCACUUUUUUCGUUGAGAAUAAGUCCUUCCCUUUUGUGUGAAUUCCCCAGCGGCGAAUUAACCAACUUGUGGGGCCCUAUCUAUUCAAUCUCUCGAGCCCCAAGAAAACCCCCCUCUCCCUCGGACUCAAUCUCUCUUUUGACUCUAUAUAUGUGGGCACCUGAUAUCUAUGAGGGUUCACCCACCCCGGUGACAGCAUUCCUUUCUAUUGCGCCUAAAAUCUCUAUUUCUGCAAAUAUGUCACGUGUUUCUAUUGUUGCUUCCUAUGGGGGUACAUUACAACAAAUCUUCUUUUUCUGCAGCAUUGCUUCUAUGAUCUUAGGAGCACUGGCCGCCAUGGCCCAAACGAAAGUAAAAAGACCUCUAGCUCAUAGUUCGAUUGGACAUGUAGGUUAUAUUCGUACUGGUUUCUCAUGUGGAACCAUAGAAGGAAUUCAAUCACUACUAAUUGGUAUAUUUAUUUAUGCAUCAAUGACGAUAGAUGCAUUCGCCAUAGUUCCAGCAUUACGGCAAACCCGUGUCAAAUAUAUAGCGGAUUUGGGCGCUCUAGCCAAAACGAAUCCUAUUUUGGCUAUGACCUUCUCCAUUACAAUGUUCUCAUACGCAGGAAUACCCCCGUUAGCCGGCUUUUGUAGCAAAUUCUAUUUGUUCUUCGCCGCUUUGGGUUGUGGGGCUUACUUCCUAGCCCCAGUGGGAGUAGUGACUAGCGUUAUAGGUCGUUGGGCGGCCGGAAGGUUGCCAUGAGUAAGGUUGGGAGACCGAAGGCUGUUUUCCGUGCACCGGACACGUAGCUUACCGAAUCAGUUGCAACACAGAUGGGAAUGCAUGCUACGAAAGACAGGGUCGAGUCUGAUACAUCAACCGUCGACUCCAUAUCCUUGUACGAGUCCACAAUCACUACACGAGAUGAACCUGGGUUUGGUGAAUGGAAGUUGGCCUUAGGUGUAAUAGGACUCCCAGUUACUGCGCGCGAUCGUAUACUGGGGUGCUCCCCGUCGGUUGUUGGAACGACGCGAGCCGGGCCUCGAUUCCUUUCAUAAAGAUGAAGGGACAGAGGUGACUAAUUCCCCAUCUCAUUUGGGGCGGAAAACGAAUCGACAUCUCGAUGUGAUACAGCCCUUUCCAUUUUCGUUGGGAAAGAACGGCGAAGUCCAUCCGAACCCUCCAAUGAAGAAAUAAGAGGAGAGCAAAGCGCCAAUGGCGCGCGAAGGCGGAAGGGGCACGGAGAAAUAAAGAAGUGUGGAGGAGAAGCAGCUUCGCUUCCUGGGCCCAAAGCAGUGCUUUGUUUCCUGGCCAAAUCAAGGAUUUGGGGCUGAUUGCAAAAGAUAUCUGAAUAGAAAGAUAGAUCCAUCCAUCUAUCCAGAUAUCUAAAAAAGAAUCGAUUUUGAUUUCAUGAAACCUUUGAUUCAAAGAACUGCGCUUAGCCCCCCCGCUCAUGAAACGGCUCUGCUGCAAUGGAUGGCAGAGGGUCCGUAGUACCCGAAGCACUGGAGUGAUCCAGUAGCCGGGAAGGGGCCUAGAAGUGCCUACUACUACACCACACUACACUUGGCUCUACACAUUUACAGAGCUUACCCCUGUCCAGUGUCUGGCAGAACGUUGGGGGCUUCAAUCGUCGACUCGUUAUCCCCAUCUCAGCCCAGGCUAACGGAGCCUGACUUAUUCAGGGGAGAGAGUGGAGCCUAUCGAAGCACUCUUGAGAGUAAGAUCCUUGGCUCCUCUUCAUUCUCUACAGGGGUCUCUGCCCACAUGGAAGCGGGGCAGAGAUGGAUAAGAUCAAACACGGGAAUAAGAAGCAUUUAAAAUGCCUUUUUUAUCAUUUUUAUAGAGGGGGAUGGAUAAAGUGGGCAAAACAGACUCACAUUUUUCAAUCGAAAAGAUGGGUUCCUUUUUCGUCUCGACAAAGAAAGAAUCAUCUUGAAAACGCUCCUAACCCCUUCGUAGGGCCGUGUAUAGUAAGUGAUCCGAACCUGCCCGGAGCGAGCCCCCCCUUAGAGGCAAGUGAAGUUGGUGAGCCGUAUGAUGGGCAACUAUCUCCUGCGGUUCGGAGAGGACUCAGCUGUUAGUUAGUACCCCCUUGGUUUCGGGGUGGACCCUUUCACUCUAUUUUAUUAUAUACGCUUAGCGAAAAGAAUGUUUUUUGAUAGACCUAGGACAUGGAUUCUAUAUGAACCAAUGGAUCGUGACAAGUCGUUACUACUAGCAAUGACUUCCUCUUUCAUUACUUCAUCCUUUCCAUAUCCCUCUCCCUUGUUCGAUCUUACUCAUCAAAUGGCACUCAGUUCAUAUCUGUAAAUUCGAUCAUUUACAAGGUUCAAAGAAAGGGUGGACUGCAGGUAAGCACUAAUUAAAACCUCUGCAUUUCCGUGAUUCAAAAACAAGGGCGUACGUAGCCCAUUGUAGAUUCCAGCCGAGAAGAUUAAGGAAUUGUGACAGCAACCAUGUUACUUGCUAAAUUUUGCCUAUAUCUACUCCAAAACUGGAGGCAUUCAUCGAAAGCUAGCAAGAGUAUUUCAUCCUUAGUGAACUGAGAGAUGUUCUAUCGCUCCGCGCCUUAUUUACUUAUUCAGUCUAAAUACGCUCCUUCGGGCAUAAUAAGCAGAGUCUGGGAGUUAUAGAAAGUAGGUCAAGUAGUGAAGAAGUUGGGUCUUGGGUAAGCAUGUUGGACUAGAUAGAAAGACGCAUUACUUCGGACUUGGGUAACUCUUGACGCCGAUAUAGAUGUGUUUUCUUUUUGCCUAUAAGAAAUCCUCCUUUAUGUAUGACUGGGCUUGUGAGAAGUGGUCUAAUACUAUCUAUUCAGAUAUGUCUCUUCUUAUCUUAUGGAUAAGCUAGGGAGGGCAUAGGUAAUUGCUUGGGGGGGCUAGUCAAUGAAGAAUUGAGUAUCUAAUAAUAAUUUCUUGUGGGCAAGAGUAGGGUUGACUUGGUAGGUAGAACUAUUCUUAUGGCUAAGAAGCUAGGCCGAUAUGCUCAUACUAAGUGCUGUAAUCUCUCAUUCAUGCGCAUUAAGGAAAUUGUAAAGAAGAAAGUAAAACGCUCUACGCCUCGUCGAAUAAGAGUGUUUCCGGAUCAUAUCUAUUCUUCUCGGGUACUCUUUCUUAAUGAGAAAAUCAUAACUUGAUCCGAUCUUUAUGUCGCACAGUGGUGUCCCAGGCUAGGGCUGCAGGUCCAGCAUAAGAAUCUAAACUAAAAAAGUAUGUUUACGUGGUCCAUAAAUAAUGGUGACAGAAAUCCCUCCUACUGCGCCUCAACUUGGACUGGAGCUUUCGGGUCUCUAGGUAUUGAAUUAAAGAACGGGUUUAGCUUUGCUUUGGGGGGAGUCCUGGUGGGGAGAUAUGCUAGCAGGUAAUGGCUCAGCUUCUACUUAAAAAGCGUUUUAAGCGGGUUUCCCUAUUUAUUUGCGGGUCUCUCGUACAAGAUUCUAUCAGUUACAGCGGAUUCAAGGGAUGGAGCCAGAUCUACUAUCCGCUUGCUGUCCCUAAGCUGAUAAUUGCCCGAGCCUAUUUGUUUUUUUCCGGGGAGGGGCACAUAGCGAUAGAUACUUUAGAAACCUAUCACUAAGAAUAAGAAGCGGGCUCACUGAAAACCAAACUGUUCGUAUUUCUUUAAAACGCUGCUGCCCUAGCCGGGGGUCUGUCUAUAGAAGAAGGGAAUCAAUAGGAAGGAGUCUAGCCCGAGUGAAGGGUUGAUUCAACCAAAGCAAGAAACAACCCUAUCUUCUGAGUGAAGGGACAACCCAAUCAUUCCUAAGUACCAGAGCCAUGGCGCGGAGUACCAUUACAUUACCGGCACUUUUCUUUGAAUCACUUCUUUGAUCAUUAAGAUCCUGUUCCCCGAGCAACCCGAUCCGAUAUUCCUUAACUGCUAUCUUUCCUUGCUUUUAAAUAAACAACUACUUCAUUUCAAUUCAUUUGCAAGACCAGGCUUGCUCUCCGAGGUGGCAUCCCCUCCUAAGCGAAAUACUAGAGUAGAGGGCUUCCCGUCUUUACUUGCUUCUGGUUGAUGACAGCUACAUCCUUAGCUGGUUUGACAACCCUUGCUAGCUUCUUACUUUCUUACUUCCUCGCUCGCGCUUGGGGUUCCCCCUAAUCCGAGUGUUCUUCCAAAACAGCUAUCCACCGACUAAUACUUACCUGCCUCCUUACCCGCUUUCCAAAAACCCUAUCUGUCAUUGCAUUGCCGUGGUUUCGCACCUCCUACGCCAAUACUUGCUUAAAUAAAUUCUCUAGGGAAGUAGGGCUUCAAGGAAGUAGACAACCACUUAUCGUUAUCGGGGAGGAUGGAUGGUUGUCCCUUCUUCUCAAUAGAAUCCGAUAGACAAGAAUCGAAAGCAGCUGAUUUAUUCCUCAAGUAAGUCAGUUGAUGAUUCAAUUCCUUCAAGGCAAGAGUGGGGCAUCUAGAUCGAUUCGUUUUCCGGUUGUUAUACCGCGAAUAGAAAGAAUUCUGAUUAUCUGUUGAGGCAAGCUAUUCAUCAUUAACAGGAAAGAUCCCAAAGCUGUUAUUGCUAACAUGGGAUAGCCUGACUCUACGCUACAAUCUCUAUUUUCUUAUGAUAUUGAAUCUGGCUUCUAUUAUUCAAUCUCUAGUUACCGUGGGAAAAGAAAGAGACAAGAGCUCUUAGUCCGACAAGACAAGAGAGGAUAUGCCUCCAAAAGCUUCUUCAAUAGCAGUGGAUUGAAUUCAUCUGCACACUGAUAAUUCACCAAAAACAAGAGGAAAGAGAGCAGUGGAUGAUUUAACACUAAGCCAAUCUUGAACAGCAGAGGGUUCAUCUCUAUCUUUAGACUUGGGAUGGGAAAAACUUCAGUUGUUGGUUGGAUUACUGGCUGAAACAAUAGACCUGUUGGUUAGAAAAGCCAUUAUUUCACAACUGUUAAGGAUUACUUCAGGAGGACCUAUUAAUAGUGCUUUGAUCCCUGCUUAGUGUUUUCAAAAGAUAGUUGGAAAGGUAGGUCUAUUUCUUCUUUAUCUUUGUAGAUCAACCUAGCUUUGUACAUGCUAUUGCUUCUACAAUUCACAAGAGUCAUUUCUCCCCAAAAAUAAAUAAGGUUCACUCCAGGUUCUUAAUAGGCAGUAGGCCCCUAAGUCAAAACUACCAUAACUUCUUUCUUACAAUCCGAUUACUAUUUGAUCGAGAGAUAGGCACAUUUCUCCAUGAUAUAAACUAUCCAAUCCACCUCUUCUAUUAUGAAAUAUAAACCAGACAUCGUCGGCGUAAGAACAAGACGGAUACUUCUCCUCCACCCUUGGAACGAGUAGUAGCUUCUAGUUUCGCAGGAAUGACUAGAACGCUCAGAUAUGGAAUUCUUUUAGGCUAGCUCCGGGCUUGCUGUUACAAGCGAUUCGAAUAGUUUUCCUGUGCUAGUUGUGUUGUACAGUACUAUACUACAACUACAUUUCUUUCCUAUUGCUUACCCGGUCUUAUAGCUCUACUUUUGAAACCGAACGAGUAUUGCUAGUUGUUACAAACAAACCCACCAAGCUAUCUCAUCCUCCUCCCCCGGGUUUCCUUCCCGCGACCUGUGCUAGUAGUAUGUCUCCGUUGCUAUUUACUUUCUCGAAUAGACUAGUUGGACAGCUAUCUACGCAUUUACCAGUGCUACUUUAACGAAUCGGGUAGUUGGACAGCAGGAACUCUUUUUUCUUACUACUCGUCCAGUACUAGCAUCCUUUGCCUUCUCUAUCAUUCCAGAGCUUCUCAGCAGACAAUCUCAGCCCCCUAGUUUAAGUCUACGUCCUCAGGGGCGCCCUUUACUUGGUUGAGAUCUAACCACCUUAUGAUAGCACCCCAAUAUUGACGAUCAUAGAUCCAGGCGGGCCCCCCUACCCAGAGACAUUAUAGCUCAUCGGUCUAUCAAGAUAAUAAAAUUCAUUAAUGAAAUUCCUGAGGAGAAAAGCUUUGUCUGGGCUCAAAUUCCAAUACCAUUGAUCGAGGAUAGGGUUUUGAAGGAGGAGAUGCAAGAGGGGUCACCAUUGUUUACUUUUCAUGCCUACUUGCCGGCGGAAGCGAGUUACGGCUUUGCUUCUUUCGUGAUUCACUUGGAAUUCACUUUCUUUCUUUGCAUUCAAUUCUAACUUUGGGAUUCCAGAACAUUCAAGAAAGAAGGUCAAAGGACUCAGGCUUUAAUGCCAAAGUACUGGGCAGAGCGUACUUACCUACUUAGACAAGAGGGAUACUUAUAGAUCUCUAUGAGCGUAAGGCAAAGUGGGCAAGACUACUUCCACAACUACAUUUUCGCCAUUUUUGUUAUAGCCCUUGCGGCUGCUGAAGCAGCUAUUGGACUAUCCAUUCUUUCUUCCAUCCAUCGUAACAGGAAAUCAACUCGUAUCAAUCAAUCCAAUUUUUGGAAUAAUUAGACAUAGAAUCCCCUAAACAAAGGGGCAUAUAUAAUAAUAAGAAACAUUAAGAUGAAUAGAAAUCAAAUCUUAUUUUCUUAUUAGUGUUUAAUAAUAUCCUUUUUUUUAGUAGGUUAUUUCAGAGUAUUGUUUUUUACUUAUUGAAUAUUGCAUUUUUGCAAUUCAUUGAUAUUGCAAUAAUUUAUAUUGAAAAGAUGAUAGCUAAUUUAUUGGCUAAUUCGAAUUAGUAUGUAGAAUUCGUAUAAUUAUAACUGUUGAAGCCUUAAAUUCAAGUCUCUUGGCUUUCUAAGAUCAGAGGAGGAAAAGAAUGAAGGUGUGGGCGGGAAGGAGGAGGCAAGGCCCCCUCAAUGUGUAUUCGACUACUCAUUACGGAACCACCGAUUGAUCCGAUUAGACUUCCCGCGGGGUAGCACGGGGAACUUGCUGAAUCAACUCCUUGGAAUCGGAGGCCUGACUGAGGGUCAAUCCUAUGGUAACCUCAACCUAGGAAUGCCUGUUUCACUUCCUUGACAGAGCCAACUGAGAUGCUCUGUCUCGAUGUUGACCUAACAUGGAUUGAUUAGAAAUUCUGAAGGGUCUCAUCCUGAUCUCGCAAAGGAUCAGCAAUAGCUGUGUGUACUCGAGGACUCUUAGGGAAAGAAAAGCACUUUUCUCUCUCAGCAGUUAGACCGGCUAUGGGCGGGUUGGUUAUAUACUGCGCCUUCCUUCUUUCGAACCUUUUGGUAUGUAUUGCCCCAGAAUAGAAUAGAUCAGAUCCACCGGACCAGAAACUCAAUUCCGCACUGCUGCUGAGUCGUCGGGCUUAUCCACCUCAGGGAUUCGUGGAAUUUCCGUUUUUGAAUUGCGUUGGGGGAAAUCUACCAAAGCUAGGCAGAUAGAUAGACUCCUUUCCCGCUGCUAAGGGAGAGCAAGAAACUAAAUCACAUGACCAGCGCCCUUUUUUUUGCGGGUACUAAGAGUCCUCUCACUACCAACCAGCAGACAUCAUCAUCUGGCUGGGUCUUGCCGGUAUCAACAACGAGAAAGAAGAACCAAAUGGAAACAGCAACUAACUAUGGCUCUUGGCCCAGACAACGUCCUAGGCGUAGGGGAGAUCAAAACAAGAAGUCACGCCUAGACGACGACGCCCGUCCUGGGCUGCAGUAAGUAGAUCGAGAGGUCGUUCCGCCCCUUGUCCCCGAAGAUGGGUAAUAUGUUCUCAUACAAUGUUGCUCCAACUUUUUUCUAGAGGGCCUAGCUGGCGAGCGAUCCCAGUCCGCGGCAGAGAACAAGACAGCAAGCGAGCGUACCUUUGUUCGCUUCUUUUCCACCAAGCACAGAAGUUUAAGGAGAACUGUAGGUCGGUGGCUACCUAAGGAAACUCCGAUUCGAUCCGCCCCCCGGCUGGGAGGCAUCUACCUCAUCCCGAUCACAAGGAGAGGUUCACCAUGAUGGGGGGGUCAGGUACUUGAAUUCUUUUCGUUCCGGAAAGAAUUCAAUGCAUAGGGGACCAUCCUUUUUUUUGCGGCAUGCUCUCUGAUUUACGGAUUCGCAGGGGGCCGAGGGCCAACCUUAGUUGACUGACAAUGACAAAGGCUUGCGAAACAAAGUAGCGCCUUUGAAAUGGAAUCUUAAUUAAGUAGUCGUCUAUCAGUGGUGCGAAGCAGCUUUGCCCCGGGGAGCGAAAGGUUAUACCUUUGUAAGCGAACAGCGGUUCUUCUAUGUAGGGUAUUCCUCCUUUACUCUCUUAAUUAACGUCGAGCUAAGUGACUUUGUGUAGCGUAGUAGAAUGAAGGCUACGUACGCACCGACACUCUCUUAUCCCUAAGCCUCUUCUCUAACUCGCUCGCCUACAAAAAAUAGUAGGCGAGGCACUCAGCCGCUGACUUUGACUGUACUGUAGUGUAGUGUAGUAUACUUUCGUCGCCUUUUCUUUUAGAACCCUUUCUCAUGUUCUUUCAUUCAUCAAGUAGGCGAACCGUCAGGUCCUUAGUAGCGUUGACAAAGAAGAAGAGCCAAAAAGAAAGCUAGAAUUUCCAUUCCAAUAGUGAGACCAGCUUGACAAGCUACCUUUCGGGUGCGAAGAUCAUUUUUUAUGACUUCCACUUCUCGAUCCCGGCCCGGAAAAGUGACCGACCCAAUGAAAGAAAGGGUUUAUGAGCCCUAGCCCUGUAAGCCCACACCUGUGUAGAGUAGAUCGUUCAACACCUGCGGCACAAACCCAUUUUUGACCAAUUGGUCCGUAUAUCAUAGGCGACCGAACGGCCGCCCCCCGUCUUACUAGACCAACCUGCUAUAAUUAUUCCAUAAACACCUAGCGAAGAUAUGGCAAACAAAUAAAGUAGCCCUAUGUUCGGAUCUGACAAUACCAUACCAUAAUCAAAAGGUACAACGGCCCAAGCGACCAGACUUAACAUAAAUGUAGCCACUGGAGCCAUUCUAAAAAGGGAGAAAUUAGCACUACUUGGUGAAAUAGGUUCUUUUAGAAUCAAUUUAAAACCAUCUGCUAGAGGUUGUAACAAUCCGAACGAUCCCACUACAUCAGGACCCUUUCGACGUUGCACAAAAGCCAUUACUUUACGUUCAGCUAGCACUAAAAAGGCUACUCCUAGUAGAAGUGGUAGAAUUAAACAAAGUAUUUCCGCUGGAACAGCUAUGUACGUUUUCGAUUUUCUAUUCACUCAUGAUCGGGCCUGACCUGGUCGACCCGAUCAAACUAUUGAACUUAUGAUCUGGCCUGGUUGACCCAAUCAUGAUAUUGAAGGAUGGGACCUUUUCUCGAUAAACUCCGGAUCCCGAGAAGUUUUGAAGAUGGUGCUCCUGUUACGUUACUUCGAAUGGAAUCCUCACUUGACUAAGCAUAAGCGAAAAACGUGGCUGAGAGUAAGCAAUCCCCUUUCCUAGUGGUUGAGUCAUGAUCAGAAAUAUUGCGAAAGAAAGUGAAAUGUCCUAUCGUCGUCCCAAUUUGGGUAAUCCACGAUGUCUUCAUUUUAUGUACCCAUCUUUACUCGUUUUCGGUGUAUCGAUAGUUCGUUGUACUACACUUUGAACUAACCUAGAGUAGAGGCCGUGCUUAGGAAAAAAUCGAUAUCAGUGAAGUAAUCCCGGAACUCUAGAAAUCGUGAAGAAUUUCUUCCAUUUUGUUCAAUAUCGCGAAUAUAGCGGAAAAGGGCCCCCUCUAGAACAUUCCUUUGAAUGGAAUUGUUCAUUGGGUUCGACUUGUUGUUCGAAAAAAUCGAAAGCAGUCUCUCGUAUGUUAUUGUAAGGUGAUUCAUUCAUAAUAUUUAUUAUGUGCGGUUUCAAGAUGCUAAAAAAGUAUAUUUUGUAAUCGGCUUUUGAGCUCCAUUAUGUGUACUUCAUCAAUUUAGGAAUUAUGGACUUGGCGGUAGUGGUCAAUACUAACUGCACCGUCUAAAUGCUCCCUGACCAAGUUAGCGUACUCGCCAGGGUUGAGUUGAGGGCCCGUGCGCUAAUUGGGCUUCGAGGUUGGCUUGGCUAUACGCGAAAAAAGCUCGCUUUCUACUGAUCUGCGGCCUGUUCUGUCCUAAACAGUUCCUGAAUGUUAUUUGUUUCAUAGGAAGAUUCCAAAAGCACAUUGAUGCCGAAAGAAUCUUCGGAACCGGUGGAGAGGCUAUUCUGAUUGAAGGCUAGACAAAUAACAUGACUGAGGUAUGUAAAUCAAACCAGUGAAAUAGCUUUAUAAUAUUAGAUAGAUAUAGAAUAUCAAAAGCAAAAGCCUGAUAAUGGGUUUCAAACACGAAAGAAGAAAAGAAAAAAAGAAAAUUAUAGCUUUCUUUUUUUUUGGUGCGUGCUUUUCGCCUGCCUUCCCGACCACGGAUAGGCUACGGGGCUUUGCACUUCGGCCCCUGUGAAUACCACAUCAAGGUGACAGGAUUCGAACCUAUGGCCCUCUGUACCCAAAACAGAUGCGCUGACCAGACUGCGCUACACCUCGUCUCCCCCCCGGAACAUAUGGUAUGGAUCUACCCGAUCGAAAAAGACUCGAACCGCAGUCGCCCACCCCGCGGCACAGGGAGGCGAGAACCACCGCUUUUAGGAAAUAAGCCUACAAUUUUAUUUGAUUCUCGUCUCGUUUCACUUGCAUUUUCUUUCGGAAUGACUUGAUCGUUCUGAGAGUGGAAUCGAACCACUCACUCCGGAAGGAUUUAGAGUCCAAAGGGCCCAGCGAAAGAAGUCCCACGCCAGCAGCCUGCCAGAACCAUUAAUACAGGGUUUGAUCCACUGAACACCCACACAAUCUCGAUUUGACAGAUCAUCGCCAUCUCUUUGGACAUGCAUGUGUUAAGCAAAUGGACUGAACUGAAUGAAGAGUGAUGUCACAUCGCAUUUUCGAUCUUAGGCGAACGAUGGGUUACCGGGUCUACGACCUCGCAAGGCACUACUGUAGACCUCUUUGGGCCAGACGCUUUCUCAAUCAAAAAUGGAAAGAAGGAGUGAGUCUAUCACCUACGUCAUUUCUCAAGCAAAAAUGGAAGCAUUAAGUCAUCGUUCCGUCAUACAACAUCUAAGGUCAUCCCUUACGACUUCCCUACAUCACCCUUCUAAGCUCCUUUGCCCUAUGACAAAAGUCUACUUUGAAUGAAUGAUCAUUUUACGGUUCGAUUCCGGCUCGUGACAUGAAGAAGAAGUCCCAAACAGGGAUCAGAUGAGUUUGCACAGCGUUACUUUUUGUUCUUCGUUGACGGAAAAUCAAACGGUUCCCGGUCUUUUCAGAAGACUAUGCUUACUUUCUUUUCUCUUACCGGUCUUUUCAAUCAAGGAAAUGUAUUCCGUUCCUCGAAUCGGGACUUUCUUUGUCGAGGAUCUCUGGUACUCCAUCGAGUUUCCGUUUCUUCUUCUAAUGGCUGUGUCCGUCUAAGGUGGCUGGCUAUUUGAGCGAUUUAAGUAUCGCGGUUGUCUUGAGCUCUGGAUUGAUGGACGGGGCUGGGUUCAAUUUCAACUCGGAGAUAGCCGGGUCUAUAGCUAUAGUAAGAGCCGCUUUGUGAACAGCAUCGGAUAACAUAGCAAGGGUAGCCGCAAUAGAGCAAUUAUGCCUUAAGCCCAAAACUCUUCCUUUCGGGGAAGGAAGAAAAGACUUUUCUUAUUCCAAGCCAGCUACGGGACAAGUGAAACGGGCAGUUAGUUCAGUGAGGACAGCAGUUCCAGCAAAGACAGUGGAAUGGUAAAGCUGUUCAUUCUCAACGGGAAAGGAUUUCUCUAUUGCAACGGGGCUAGUUUCAACAAGGUGAGCAAAGCUAGAUACUUAGGCUUGUCCAGUUGUUCCACCAACCCCUGCUCCCGACCCAGGUACAUUCUUCUUGGCAGCUCAAGACCUUUCUUGUUCCUUGCUCCCGUGGAUCGAUACUAGUUACUUACCUUUAAUCUUAGCUUAGUGUCUUUUACCUAACCUACUCGCUCGCCGAGCUUUUUUUAUCUUGGUUAUUGGCUUUUUUACUCAAGUUAGAGCUUUUCUUUCCUGGCUUUUUCACUCGAGUUGUUCGCUUGGCUUUAGCUCAUUUUUUUGUCCAUUUCUUCUCUUUACAGAUCCCCUCGAAGUAUCCAGAAGAAUGGCAAUGCAAAAUAAUAGCAAUAGUCGUCUCGUAGGUGCUGGUGAAAGAAUAGCUUAUGGGGCUGGAGUCAAAGGAGCUUUCAUAGACAUAGAAAUCAUAAUAGAAAGAGCAGGCCUGCGAGCAGCGAGUGCCCUUUGUAAGUUGCGAGCCUGCCUGUCAAACCAUAGGCGCCUUACCGCCCCCCCUUUCUUUUUUGAAUUAGAAAGAAGGGGAUGAAAGACAAAGAAAGAGAUCAGGUUAUUUAUGAUCGGAGAAAAGGAAGGGGCGUGGUUGAUGUGUCACUGGGAACCCGUAGGAAGGGGAGACGACCGGCCUCAUUCACAUCUGAAAUCGCCAACAUGAACACAAACGAAAUCGUCGAAUUUCGUAUAGAAAGAAAAGGAACCACUUCUAUUCUCUUCUCUUUUCUUAGGUAUAUGAAGAAUUGCUUUUUGGUCCCUUUCGUCCAGUGGUUAGGACAUCGUCUUUUCAUGUCGAAGACACGGGUUCGAUUCCCGUAAGGGAUAUUACUUCAUCCUGGCCUUCAAAUCGUUGGUGCUGAUUAUCAUAUAAUCUCCUUGCUUUGGAGUGAAGAAAAGAAGUUCGAUCAGUUCAUUCAAUUAGGAAGCGUCAGACUAGGCCUUUCUUUCAACGAAUGUCUCAUUCUAAUCUACCUACCCGGAUCCCUUUGCUACUAAGCGAGCCAACUAUCUAUCGACAGACCCAUCAGCUUUGCACUUAACUAACCCAUUUAUUUCCAACAGUUUGACGCCCCAUUCCUCGUUUUCCCACUUGUACUUCUAUGCCUUGCCCCAUAGAGAGGAGUCUUCUUUCUUCGGAAAAACGGCUGAAUUCGAUUAAGUAUUCCCAUAGAGAAAAAAGCCCACUAAUAACUGGAGCUGGAGGUAGUAGCCCUUCCUCUUUGGUCUAGUUGACCGCAGCACCCAUUGCCGAAAGCAGCUCAUACGGGGGUAUUUCCUUGGCCAACGCUUCUAGUAGGAGGCAUAUUCCUUUCUCCCGAGGGUGAGGUUUCUCACUUUUGCCUAUGGCUGGCAUAACCAAAUCUAGAGCGGAGUGAGCCAAUCCAUUUGUAACCGUUUCAAAGUCUUCUGCGGCAUCUUCUGGAUCAGAAUCUCCUGCUCAACCGAGAAUGAAUUCAUUUUCAUUGUAUUAUGUGGCAGUCCCACUACUUUCAACCAUGGAAGCGAAUCGAUGAUCCUGUCCAGAGUAUCUUUAUGAAGAAUAUCCUAGCCUAGUCAUAGCUUUCUUUGUAAAUGAUCUCUCCUCUGCAUCGCUGGAAAAGUUCUCAACCGGAUUAUCGGAGAACAACCGCACUCAACCAAGAACUUCCCCUUCCCCCAUUUCCCUGUCUUCGCUAUUUUGCUUUUCUACUGCUUGCUCCCCGAGCUCCCUAUCCGAGUAAGUCCUACCUUCCUGGUUGGCAAGUAGUAAACCCUACUUCCCUUUCAAAUCCUUGAUUUGAUCAUCUUCAUUCCAUGGUGGACGGAGGAAAACUAGUUACAAAUGUUCUUUGCUCGUGAUACUUUGAAUUGAAAGAGGAACGCUUGCAACGAUAGCCCUUGUCAAGCAAAGCAUCCUAGUGUGAAAAAGCAAGAAAAUGCACUGACUGGCCCUGCCUUCAGCCGUACUCUCCUUUCAUCUGGGUGGGUACUAGUUUGAAAGCAGGAACUCGGAAAGGAGGCACGGUUUUAGCAAGAAGCAAGGAAUUCCAAUUCAUAGGAAAGCCAGCCCUUCGAAGAAAACGGAAGUGCUAGCAACGAAAGCAGCAGGGCCACGAAUCGGAUUAACAGAUAGGGAUCAGGUUGUUGUUGAAGUUCAGUAAAGAGCAGGGCCAAGCCAAGCCGGAUUAGCAGAAGAAAAAAAGAAAGAGAAGGGAUACCCUUGCAUCCCUUCUCUUUCCAUUUUCAAUAUUACAGAUUAUCUAAUCUUUGUUGCUGCUUAGGACUAGGCGAACAUCAGAUGAGAUGAAAGCUAGUACUACCUCAUACGAUACGGUGAAGAAAUUCUAAUCUGCUCUAGAAAACCACUUUUCAUGUUCCAGAUAUAGCACGUAGGUUGUGACUCCACAUGGGGAGCUGAGGGACAUAACAUGAUAAUAGAAGGUCAUCCUAGGUAGAGCUGUAGCACAGAUCCACGGAGCGGGAGGUAAGAGGAAAAGAAAAGAAUACCACCAUAAAAGAAAAUUGUGCCCUCUUGAGCCCUAAACCUAGGAGCAAUGGUUUCUCUCCUUCCCAAACUGCAACCGCAACCAGUUCUAAUUCAAACAGUGUGGUGGAGUUCAAUCAGAAACUCUCCUUCAUCCCUCUUCAAAUGCAUUCCUCACUACGAGAUUGAAUAUGUUUUCCCAGCCUCCCACCAGUAGGCGAAUCCCUCCAACCAAUGACUACACUACCUUGGUUAUCCGCUUUCAUGUCUUGGAUUGAGCUUUCUAACUCUUAUUAUAGUUGGGUGGGCGGAAAGAAAGGACAAGAUUCCUGCUUCGUUCAAAGUCCUAGUCCUGUCUCCUGAUAUCUCGCCCGCUAUUUCUAUCUCCGCUAAACCUAGUCACUUGGCUAGCUAUACUUCUAUAGGAACUAUCUAAGCUAUACUUUACUUGACAUGACUGCCUAUCCUGGAACUAAAAGUCUUAAAUACGUCUCUCUUGGCUACCCGUGACUUGCGUUGACCUAUCCCUACUACUUGGUUAUUAGCUUACCCUUUUAUACCUAUUAGAAACCCUAGCUAGCUUGUAAACACCUAUCUCGUGCUUUACUUCUAUACUGACCUAAACGUGAACUGAACAAUAUGCCUACCUUUUUUAUGUUUCUCAACAAUAAGCAUCCCGUGGUGACAACAAACCAUAUGCCAACAAACAACUCCUUAAAAUGCUUAUAUGUAUACAGCUUGGCCUUGCUAUUCACAAAUGUCUAUCAGCUUCUCCUGCUUCUAUACUUGCCUAUCUGUGACAUGACCUAUUCCUACUUGCUUUGUCAACUACUUUACGAUACUUAACUUAACUUUACGAUACUUUACUUUAUCCCCAGACCUAUAAACAAUGGGUCUCAAUUCGGGAGGAAGAACCGGUAAAUUGUACAUACGAAUGUCAAUCUUCAUUUAAUACACUGGUAGGGGUCGAUCAGGCAAAUCCCAAAGCCCCGAACUGCUCUACUGAUCUUCUCUCUCUUCAGACUCACUGAACCAGACUCCUUUUGCACUGAGAACACAAUUAAGAACCCUCCUUCUCACAUCACAAGAAGGCAAACCUUGUACGUUGAUCGAAUCUUCUUUCGCAUCCAGAAGAGAGGCUGUGGGCUAUCCGAGAGAGUGGUUCAGGUGACUACCGGAGUCAUUGAUUAAGCAGGUCAGAUGGGCUUAGUAGGGCUCGAACCUACAAUAUCACCGUUAUGAGCGGUACGUUUCAACCAAUUAAACUAUAAGCCCAAUCGGAUCUCUACAUGCCGGGAAGAGCGGACAGAAAGAGGAGACCCUUUGCUCUAUCUCCUUCUUCCUCUUCCCGGGGCCCCGGAGGGCAAGCCCUAUUAAAGAAGCUAAGUGACUUUCGUCACUCAAGUAGUGAGUUUGAGAGUGGCCGUUAGGGCGACCACUUGUACUUCUAGGCCUUGGCGACCUAUAGUCUUGUUACGCAACACAGCUUCACUCGAUUCAGUAAAUCAAUAGUUCAAACCAGCCCACUAAUAGCUUAGAUAGUGGCCCUUCCACUUUGGUUUGGUAUAGUUGACCCUACCUAUUGACUCAAGGUAAGACCUCUGACUCAAGGUUCAUAGGAAGGGGGAACCCAGACGUAGUGGGAUGUAGGCUUCAGUUGUUUUGGUACUUUUGCACUACCUACGUCUUAUUAUUUAUUUUGUAACCGGCUUUUCACCGGCAGGUCAGUAGGCCUUUUAGAAGGCGAACAAACGAAAGUUCUCCGCGGGCGCUAGCGCUAUCUUGUUCGCUUUUGUCAACUGAAGUCGCGCGUAGCGCCAACUAACUGAUAGCUGAUAGAGCGCGGAGCCCCGAGUCUAAGCGAGCAGAGCCAUUUCUUUGUCGUCAAAAGAAAAAAAAAGUACUAAAGGCGAAGGGCAUUCUGUUGUACAGCUACUUUGGUUUUGGUAUAGUUACAAAGGUAACCGGUAGGUGACUGUUGAAUCGACAGUAGUUACGAAAGGGGGAAAUAGCUCAGUUGGUUAGAGUGCUGGUCUGUCACGCCAGAAGUCGCGGGUUCGAACCCCGUUUUCCCCGCACGAUCUUCCUCUUCCUGCCCGACUCAUUUUGUCUUCACUGGAAGCUGCUGAUCCCAGCGUAGCAUUCAAGACAAUUGUUCCUUCUUCGGUCUCCCUCCACCCCCUUCGUUUGUUGUGGGUCGCGUCUCACCGCAGGCACUUAAUGAAAAUGAAUGAGUGAAGAUCUUCCUUCCCCCCUUGUGUCUUACCAAGGACUGAGUUCCCACUUGUGGCGAAAAAAAAGUAUACCAUCCCACCCGGCCUCCCCCCGGGGGGUUAAGGUUCCUCUCGGAGACUGCCAGUCUACAAGAAGCUGGCAGAGCUUUAGCCAUUGGACCACAUCCAUCCAUCCUCCUACCUAAACAGUGACGCCUUUUCUUGUUCGUUCUUCGAAUUACGCUAGUGGAGACUAAUUCCUUCCGGCUAAUGAAGAUACUACCCCAGUCUUCCCAUUCAUUCCCAGUGGAUCCUUUUCAUUGAACGAACCAAGUUCACCUAUACGAGAGUGAGGAAUAGAAAUCCUACAAUCAACUUCCCACUUUUUAUGUCCCGUUUGACGAUUCUGCUGCGUCUUUAGAAAAGAAAAAGGAGAAGGACAGGGUCAGAAAAGCGAUAACUAUCAAUUCGAAUUCAGAAUGAAUCAAAUCUCCCCAAGUAGGAUUCGAACCUACGACCAGUCAGUUAACAGCCGACCGCUCUACCACUGAGCUACUGAGGAAGAACGGACUUAAGGAAGCUGACUCUCGUUCUUUGGACCAACCAACCGAAAAGAAAAAAAGUUAGUCACUUUUUCUCUUUUCCGGGAGAAAGGGUGACGAUAGCAAUCCCCUUUGCCUCCCCGGCCGGGGAGCCCCCAGGACAGGACAAGGGGGGCGGCGGGGAUUAAUAAAGAAUGGGUUGGCAAAUAUCUCACUUAAUGGUGGGAGGGGAGUAUUUAGUCUUAGUCUGCCUUUAGGUUAGGGUUUUAUUUGAAAUCUAAAUAGAAAUGCCUCCUAGAAAUGAAAUAGCUGAAUUCUUUAUCCUUAAAAGACUGGAAUCCCUCCAACCAAUGACUACUCAACCUUUAUCACAAUCUCAACUGCUUUCCACAGAAAGUAUUACCUGAGGUUGAACAUUUAUCCCUUCAACCUGAUUGCCUUAAACAUUCAUAGCUAACAGUUGACAUCGUCUUUCCUUAAUAAAAGAAGUAAACUAUUUAACGGUUUUAGUUUGUCAGCUUUCACCACUUCUGUUUUGUCUUCCUCGACUAUACAUUCUCUUACUCCAAAAGGGUCUAACCCAGACAGAGAUUACUUUUCGAUAACACACCUAGUUCGGGGGUUGAUUAACAGGAAAGCCCGCGGCCUACCACUACGAAUUUAUAGCUAUAAAGGGUCACAGUAUGAAACUGCUACCCAUUUGAUGCACAAGGAUGCUAUGGUUAAAGCUAAUAUCUACUCAGCUGUUCCCCGACUUAGGCUAUAUAAUCCAUCUUAGGUACAGUAACCUAGACUCGAACUCACUAUACAGGAAACCAACCGUUCAACGAAAUGUGUGCUCAAUUUAUUAGAAUACGCUUGUAAAUCCUCUUCUAAAUUCUUACUGUAAAAGAAUAAGGGAAACAGUCAUUGUUGAAUCUGCAUGGAACCCUAUAUGAAUAAUCAUUAUUGUAUUCUACCAAACAUCUUAUGGGGUUGGUAAAACCAACGCAUUGGUAGCUAUAAAGCUUGCUACCAUGAUGGCAGUGCCGACACUCGCUUCAUAGCAACAUUAUUAUCCAUGUUCUCGGCUUGGUUAACGUUAAAAACCUCCGUAAAGGAAAGGUUGGAUCAUUCAUAAAUGUACUAAGAUAAGAACAGUAUUCACUAUGUCUUUAUUGAUCAAGAAAGUCACCCUCUUGUAACCAUUAAUAACGGCUUCUGGGUUCUUAAAAGCAUUCAAAUUUGCCAAUGGGUGAGCUAUUUCUUGGGGGAUAAUAAAAGGGUUAUCACACUGAACAUACCUGUACCAAACUACAACUCCUAUCCCCAUUAAUACAAGGAUAUUAAACAUACCCCAGACAAACUUAUUGUUUGAUUUGUUAAAAGUGCAAGUUCUAACUUGCGUUAUAGCACUAGAAAAUACUGUAUUGUAUCCAACAAAAUACCUUUCAAUCCUCGGCCCACUUCAGUUUUCGUGAUAAAAACUCAUUAUGGGGAUAGUCUGCCCCUUCAUAUAUAGUAUCAAUAACAGGAUCUCUUAUUGGAUCGUCUCUAAGAUCUCCUAACCUCUCCCAUGCAUUUUUAGCUACUAAACGAAUGUUUGUAUUUUUUUGAGAUAAUAUCUCACCGUCGUAAAUAAGGGUUUGACCGCAGCAUGUUAAAACAUGAGGCAAUUCAUGAAACUCUUCUAUCAAAUCAUAUACAUUCGAGACUCCAUAUAGGUCUAUCUAUAUAGUAUAGUAACUGAAAGCAGUCUCAUUGGUGUAUUCCAUUUGUGGUAAUACUUUAUAUUCAUUAUGGAAAACUCUAUCGCACAGCUUCUUAGCAAGUAAAGAUUGCUUAUACAUGUUGAUUUUAGCAAAGCUGUUAAGAAUGCUCUCUUCAUCAGUUUGCAACAUAUGUUUGAUAUUGCUGUAGUUUUGGGUAAGUCCGACCUUGAAGAAUAAUCCGACCAUGAGGAGUAUGGAGUGUUUGCCAUGUUUUGUAUCUUUUCAGUUGUUCUAUUUAUGGAUUUAUUGGGAUUUUCCAUGAGUUUAGUUGUAUCUACCCGAUUGUGGUAUCCCCACCUCUAUCCUUGUAAUUGGUCAGAGAGAUACAACUCUAUUAAAAGAAAAUAACCCGAGAUUUUGACCCUAAAGAAAAAGAAGUGUCUCUAUUUAGAGAUUUAUCUACUUAGAUUUAGAUUUAGAUUAAAAAAUAAUACUCCUUCUAUAUUAUUCUAGAAUAUGUAUCCCAAUCCAUCUCGAGUAAUUUGUAUCAAUACCUAUUCGGUAGAUCCUUUUUUCUGUGCCAGGAACCAGAUUUGAACUGGUGACACGAGGAUUUUCAGUCCUCUGCUCUACCAACUGAGCUAUCCUGACCAUUUCUUGUGCAUCAUCCUAGUAGAGUACGUACUUGUAUCUAUGUGGGACUAAAAAAGAAAAAAGUAUUCUAAAAUUGGACUUAGUAAAUGUCAGGAUAAUGAUAAUGACUUACUUAAUAAUAGGGAUUACUUGCCUAUACUAUACUAUAAUAUGUUCAUUUGUAUGAAUGGGAUAAGAUCCAAAGAAGUAAGUUCGGAUCCGUUUGUGAAAGAGUAGAAUAAGAAAGAUAGUGAAUCUUGUUUGAACCAUUAAUGAAAAAUAGAGGUUGGUACAAUAGUAUAGUAUAGUUAGGAAGUAAAAUGGGCUUUUUAUUGGGGAUAGAGGGACUUGACUUGAACCCUCACGAUUUUGAAUAGAAAGUCGACGGAUUUUCCUCUUACUAUAAAUUUCAUUGUUGUCGGUAUUGACAUGUAGAAUGGGAUUCUCUCUUUAUUCUCGUCAGACUUGAACCUAACGAAGAAAGAAUGAGGAAGAAAAAGAUAUCGUGAUGUACGUCUAAAAACGGAAACUUAAGAACGCUUUUACCAAACCAAGAAAGCGUAUCACUUUUCAAUUGAUUGGAUCAUCAUAAGAUCGACUGUGUUUCACCUCCCAACCCACACCGGGUUAUGUUCCUCAAUUCCAACAAGGGUAUAAUCAGCCGCCCCGGCACAUCGACCGGCUCAACCCAUGACGAGCCACCUUCACCAAAGCAGCUACAACCUCCCUAUUAAAGUGACCCCCGGACCUAUACCAUACCCUUUUAGAAUCUCCGCAAAUUGCCAAUUACCAUUCCCAGGCUAGACCGAUUAAAGAAACUAAAUUCAUACCCAUCCUCUGGUCUAAAGAAGAGUUUUUUUUACUUUACUUAACUUUACAUUAGAGACCUAAUUCAAGGCGCCGCAUCUCAGCCCUUCUCAAUAGAAUCCAUGUGCCAUUGCCUGAAUGUCAAUCAGCCCCUCCUGUCCGAAAAGAAGCAUAUCCGAAUAAAGCAAGGUAACCCACAAAGCAUUUUUAGCUAUUAAGGACUGACUUCAAAAGGCUCAAAAAAACUGGAAUCAGUUGGAGGAAACUAAGGGCCAGGUUCACAUUAUCAGUGAGCGCGGAUAAGAACGUUUCCUGGAAUUCCACAUCCCAUAUUGACUCUACCAUCCCGGCACGUUGGCCACUAAGUCCAAUCUGACCUAUCUCAAAUAAGAUCUUUUAGGAUAAAUUUUAUAGGCAUCCCUCGCACUUUGUUUCGCUAGCAGCAGCCCGGACUCGUAUGCCAGUGCUCGCUAUCCAGCCAGUCUAAAGAGUUCGCCUAGAAAGAACUUCUCACUUCCAGGCUUAGCGGCUGACCUAUGAACCACUUCUACUGGUGGCUGCUACUGCUAUCAAUCGUAUAAUAGACUGACUCCUUUUUCGCAAAGCGGAAAGAAACAUCCCAAGUCAACAUUGCCAAAAGUGGACCACUUCUGCUUGAUACUUGCUUGCCAAUCCUUUACUCUUUUUGUUCCGCCCUGGCAUCUUUACCCGCCUACCAGAAAUGUGUAUCACAAGGUAUGAUGGGAUUAGAACAGUUCCAUGUCCAUGCAUUAAAUUAAAUGCCGCUCCAAUCGAUGAAGGGCACAAGAUCUCGUCCUUGACAUAGGAAAGCUCAAUCUCUUAAAGACAUAGCAUUGAAAGAGUGAGUAAGAAGCAUGAAAUCCAGGCUUAUCCUUUCUAUGACUAUGAACCAAGACUUAUUUAUAAAAUAAAUAGGUUUCUAAAAUCAAUAGGUGAGCUCCCUAGAGGAGUAUUUUCUGUCCCUCGACCUUUGUCUUCAGACUACUUUUUCUAUUUCAUACAGACGACGAAAAAGAACUCGAUUUUCCAGGGAAGGACAGCUGGAGGAUAGGAUCCUUUUUUCCGACAUUUAGACGAUAAAGUAACUGCUUUUCUCACUAUUCUCAGAAUGAGGGAUUGGGAUUGACCGGGACCUAUUCUCUGGGAACUUCCGCCUCCUUAGCCAAUCCACCUUAUUCUUGAUAGUUCGGUAUGAAUGGUAUUCUUUUUAGUCUUAAUCCUAAUACUUCUAUCAUGGUAUUAAAUACCCUAGUACUGUUAGGAGAAUGCCCAAUAGCCCUUGAGCAUGGAAGGAAUGAUACGAAAAUAGCGAAUUUGCUUAUUAGGAGUAGAAGCACUUUUCGAUAGUAAGAUAGAUAUAGAUCUAAAGGGCCUAGCAGUUCUUACAAUACCAGUAGUAAUAGAUAGGAUACCUUAUGGAGAUACCUUGAAAAAAAAAGACUAGUUAGAGUUUCUCAAAAAAGCUUAGGAAAGCAGGUUUAGGAAAGGAAGUUUCACCAGUGUCUAAGUAAGAAAAGUCAAGUUAGUCAUCUAAGGAAAGCCUUGGGCGAAAGAAAAACCCUUUUCUCUGCGCAUAUUCCCUUUCUAGAGUAUUAUACUGUCAAUAACUAUCCUUUAGUUUCCUAAAUCCCUUUUGCCUAAAGUAUAAUAUCUGAAGUAGUAGAUGCUACUGAAAGAGGUAUGUCAUAAUCAUAAGUAGUUACUUCUUCCAUUUUGACUGUAAUAGAGUUCAAGUAGUUGAUAGCGCCAGUCUAAGUAGUUAUCUCUGUUCUCUUUUGGAGAUGUAGUAAACUAUGCGUAAGCUGUAUUUGACUAUGGAUAAGGAAUAGUUCUUGCCUAUCUAUCCGGAGUAUUUGCCUAUUCCUAAGUAGUUAUUCACUAUCCAUAACCUUUAUCAGUAUCUGACCUCUUGGGCAAGCCAAAAUCAGUAAUUCUUAAAAGCUAGUAUCUUUACCUCUUUCUUUCCUCCGUCUAAGGCCAGUCAUUUUCCUUCUCUGCGGUUGCUUAUGGUGAGUGCUAAUUCCUUCCAAUUGCAGUCCUUCGAGGUUAUAUCCUAUCCUGGUAUAUGAAAGAGAAGAUCAAUUCCUUAGGAGACAGGUAUCGAUGCUUGCCAGCAGGAGAAAGAUCACUAGGUUCAGUCUCUGAUCUGAUCAAUAGGGUUCCCUAGGUACAUUCCGUUUUCUGGAAAUCCUGCAGGGAUAGUAGCUCCCUUUUCGAGGGCAAAAAAACUCGUUAGGCUAUCCGAGAUUUUCUCUUUUUUCCAGCUUUUUGGAGUUCAAAUAAGGAGUGCCCGGCCAUCUAAAGUGCCAGUAGUCUAAGUUCCCCUCCAGGCUGCAGGGUAAAGGGCAGACACAGGUUCAGAGCGAGGGGAAAGGAUCAAGGGUGCGUAGUAUGCUUCUUACCCGCCUUAUCUGCUAGGUCUAGGAUUGGUUUUGUUAACUAGAGAUCUUUUCCUGGACGUUUACACCUAUUCCAUUUUUAAGCUAAGCUCAUUUUCGAGUACUAAGCAUAGCAUAUAUAUUACUUGCUACUUGCCAAUAUGUAGAUAAGUGAGUGUAAAAAGUCAAUGUCCGACCGUGGCUAUUGAAUCGUCGAGGUUGUGUUAGUGAGCUGCUCUUUGAGUCUACCUUUUACCCAAGGAUGUAGUUGUCUAUGCAUAAAGAUUGGAAUUUCCCAUCUUUUUCAGCUCUGCUCCCAAAAGAGAAAGGAGACUGAACACAUUUCUAUACCCGGACGAUCAAUUCAAUUUAAGUAUACGCAUACCUUUUCCCACGAUUCAGGAAUAGCCAUAGAGGACUACGUUUUAUAGACGUACGAAUCCUACGAUACGCGCAAAAGCUAUGAAACCAUUAGGAAGGGCACAGCAGCCCCAGGCCGGCUCCUUCUUUUACCUUGAAAAACAGAUAGGAACGGCAAAUCCUUGUUGAAGAAGAGAGGUGAGCAAGAGUGAAGAGUAGAGCGCGCAUGGGAAGUGCGGUCGCUAUGAACGAAGUGGGAUUAGAUAUGGAUCUUCGAAAUAAGAGUCUUUCUACUUUCUAUAAGCUAUAAGUGAAUUAUUGAUCAAGAGAUAUGUGAAACUAUGCUCUUAGAACACCUUCUUCCAUGCUAUUGAAGCAGGCGAACAGGCGAGUGAGUGAAGAGAGAAGCCAUGCCUCUUUCGAGGUGAGGCAAGCGAUGAACGAGUAGAUGCUGCCCUUAGACCUAUUCUCUCUUUCGGUAGCAGACACCGUGAUGGGCUAGGCUAGGAAACCUUAUUCGAUACGAUAGGACAGGUAAACAAAGCAAGGCCUGGGUCGAGAGCCAAUUUCAUAUUCUCCGGUUCCAUUCCUGAUCUUCCUGUCAUCGUAUCUUGUGUAAGAAUCGCUUUCAGGCUUCUUAUCGCUUUCUCAUCAGUGGCAGUUUUGUCUCCCGUCCCUACCGAACUAUACUAUUAGUAACUGAUCAACUUACUGUUGGAGUUCUUAAGCAUAUCUUUUUCCAUUAUUAGUUCUAUCUUCCGAGUGGACUAAGGCAUCAAUCUGAACUAUAAGCCCUAUCGCUUGGGAAUAAAUGCUUCCCUAGCUGCUUGCCGGAGAAAAACGAAGCCUUAGAAAUUGUAAAUGAAUCCCUAAAAGCGGAGAAAGGCUUAAACCUAUUCAUCUAUCCUAUCCCUCGCUUGACUCUUCUCGGAAAAGGUUCUCGUUCCCAUGAAUCUUGAUCUGCCUCCUGGCAUUGAUAGCGAUUGAUCGAAUUCCUACUCUGGUUUGAGAAGCUUUUCAGUUUUCCUUAUCACUGAAAAGAAUUCAAAAUACGUAUAUUUGGUACUAAAUAAACCGCCUUCGCUGGCUAAUCCCUAUGUCUUGGUACUCUACCCUCCCAUUCAUAAGAGAGUGGUAGUUGUCACCGGAAGCAGGUGUGAGUUGAGUAAGUCUUGUCAACAACGCUUCGCACAACUAAAUACUAACACACUGUUUACUUCUGUACUUCUCCACCGCCAAAACACAAUGACUGAUGCAAUUCAUACAGGCACGAGCGAAAAACGAGCUGAACGAGUGAUCAGGUGCUUCGACCUCUCUUUCUACGGUUGGUUUCUGACAUCGAUCGAGAUUCAACAUUCAGUAGGUUUGCUUUGACGAGUUAAAGGUGGAAGCUUCGAAGCAUCAGUGAAGAGAGUGACCCGGAGCCCAUCCUUCCUGUACGCAUUUCUGCCUUAUUUUGAAAAGCAGCACGGGGACUUCAUCUGCCCAUGAUUGAUUCCCGGCUAUGAUUUAUAAAAAAUCUUCGCUUCAAAAGCUUUCAUUUCAUUUUCUUCAAAGGCACAUGCACUAGGUUACUUACGGAAUCUCAAAGAAAGAGUCGUCCAGGAGCACUUCGUUAGAUUUGCAUGUGUUAAGCAUAUAGCUGAAGUAGCCUAAGCGCUUCAACCUGCUCGCUCUUACAAGACGAAUCUCUUUCUAUACGCAAUUGAAACUAGAGUCUACUCCUUUCUGGUCUGAAAUCUCAGUGGAGACGGUAAAGAUUAGGUGCCUUUUUUCUUGACUAUCCAUCCCAUUCAAAGCUUAUCACACUUCUCCUUCCGAUUCUUUUUCUUUUACUCCGCACUUUUGCUCUUUCGAGCCAAAAUGAAUGGGUCUUAGGGUGACUCCUCUUCUCCAUGAGUAGGUAAACUCAUGUACCACGCAGAGCCCCAACAGUUUACCCUCUUUUCUAUUAUUUUCCUCCACUAAUUUUAGAAUCCGCACAUAAUUGCGGAGUAUUUGUAGUAGGUAGAUAGAGGCAACGACACUUAUACUCAGUAAUAUAGAAAAAAACUUAGCAUUAUCCGUCGCUGUCUGGUACACAUAAUGAAGAAACUCGAUCAUGGAAAAGAUUGAUUGAUUUUGAAGCUCUGCUCCCAAAAGAGAAAGGGAGACUUAAAGAUUGUGGGUUUGGUUUUUCCAAACAAAAGAUAAAUAUUGGAUAAGAAGUUCAACAAUAAAACUUUCCUUCAGUAGGCUCGCUCCCGGUGGAGCCGCCAGCCCGCUCAGAAGUGGAUUCGAACCCCCGACACCGUGGUUCGUAGCCACGUGCUCUAAUCCUCAGAGCUACAGGCCCACCCCGUCUCCACAGGUCCCGGGGAUACCCCCCACCCUCACCUUUCUGAGGACUAUAAAGCCUUCUCGAAUUAGGUCUCUGGGUUCUAAUAAGAAGGCCUCUCGAAUUUGUUCUACGGUAGAAGCUUCUACCAAAGUUGUAGACCCGGAUACUAAUCUUUCACUCACUGAAAAGUGAAAACCUGUGACUAUAUCGUCCUGAAGACGGAUGCGACGGGAAGAAGUGGCAUUUAGAAGUGUUGCUGACUUGACAUUUAGGUUUCGGCAUAACAAAGCUUGCACUGUCUUUUCGCACUUAGGCGCACAGCGUGCCGCUGGUAAUGAUUCUACUACUUUUACGGUGCUGCAAAUUCGCAAGCUGAUCCGUAGAUUAAGUAAUCGUUGUUGUUCAUUGGAUUCCUCCAGAAUGACUUCGUUAGGAUUGAAGAAUUGCUGCAAUGAUUCCUGAAUAGACUCGAUUCUCCCGUCGAGAGUUUCUUUGAAAGUCUUACCUAAACUCUUCCGACUUAAUAUGAGAAAGCCUAUAAAACAACGAGCUACUAUCAUUUCUUCAUUAUAGAUUGAGAUCUUCUUCGGACUUGAUGCACAAAUAGAUGGAAUAGCAGCAAAUAGCAUAUUUAUACCCUUCAUAUCCAUUCCACUAAAUCUCAUUGUGACUCUCCACUUUUAUGAUGAAGCUCUGCUCCAAGAGAAAGGGAGACUUUUUUUGUGGUUGGUUUUUCCAAAAAAAGAACAUUCGAACAAAUAGACUUGAUUCCAUGACAAGCAAAAAUGCUAGCUUCCCAGUAACUGUAACGCAUACACUGGAGCGUUUGUCCCAUUGACGAAGGCCAAUGAAACUAUUCUACUAAUUUUCUGAGGAGCAACUUGACAUUUCUUCAUGCAGCUCAAAAGCUCUAGCGGAAUCGCCGCAGCAUCCUGAUAUUUUCAUAUUCUAUAUGUGACCACAUCAGGGAUUAACCCUGGAUCUCUUAGCCCACUGAAGAUUUCCUCAGCUGAAGAUAUGCGUCCUUGCCCACAAAUUCAAUAAGCGAAUUGAAAGAUAGGACAGUUGGAUCAACUCGGAAAUCUCCUCACCUCAAAUGAGUUCCUUAUCACUGCAUCAGAUGCCACGCAUGAGAUUGUCCUUACCAAUAUCUUUACGCGCACCCAGCUUUGGUUACCCACACCACCAAUGCAACUAAUUUCUGAUCCCAACUUCAUUCCUUUUAUUUAUCCGCGUUAUAUCAUUCGGGUAAUCUUAUCUCCACCUUCGUCAGAAGGCUUUGAAGUCGUGUUCCAACUGAACGGACCCACAUUCGGAUAUUGCAAAGUACACGGCAAUGCUUGGGCUGGCUACUAAUUCAAGGAUGAUGAGUAGGAUAUUCACUCCAUGCUCUUAGGGAGUUCUUUAUGCUGUGCGGUUACCGCCUUGCCACUAUAGAUCUCGUUCCUGAGAUGAAAUUCACUGUUCUCAGUGUAGACUAUGACACUGCCCCAUAAUGACCAAGGGAUGAAACCGGCUUUUACAUAACUCAGCAGUUCCUUUGUGUACUUGCAGACGCUGGUGACGAUCUGUUGUUAGUUCUCAUGAGCACAGAAACUGAUAAAGUAAUAAUUUACCGCGGGGUUAUAAAAUGGGUGAAGCCCUCAAGCCUGGGAUUCAGUGGAAGAAGUGAAAUCAGUUCUCGCUUUGAGACUUCCAGAUUGCACCGCAAGUAACGAUGGAAUGCAAGAAAGAAGACUCAGGAAUGAAAUCAAUCAAACCUCCUACUCAUACUACCCCCUCUUCCCGAUAAGCCCUGUCUUCUUCUUCGCCAUCGACUUUAACACGUAGUCCUGCCCGUGUGAAAGCUGUCAACACACCCCGCUCACUACGACGGUUCGACAACCCUACUACCAUUCCCGUAAGGUGGGCGGGCUUCAUGUAAGGUGGCCCUCUUCCGUAUUGAUAACGUAGAUUUGAAGCACCUAGAAGGAGGAAAGUCACGAAGUCAUCAGUAGGAGUAGUGAAAGCAAUACGAAUCAAUGAAUUGAGGGCAGUCGAAGCAGACAGUAAAUUACUUGAAAUAAAGAUAAAUAAGUGCUCGAGCAAUUGAUUAUUAAGUAAGUAGGCGGCGUAGAAGGGGCGGUUCUACUUAAAUGAAAUGAAUGGCUCGUUCAUAAAUCCACUCGCUUGGCAGCAGUCCAUUCCUACCGUACUCCGGCUAUUCUAUCUGUCUGUGUAUCGCGUAGAGCACGUACUAUGAAUCCAAGUUCCCUAGUGUCAGACUCAACUCAGUCUGGUAGUGUCCCUGGUCCUAUCGAAGCAGCUACUUCAUCCCUGGUGUAAGGGCUUGUAGCUUUCAAUGUGUUCUUUCUUGCAGUAAAGUAAGGAACGAUUGAUCUCUCUUUUUUGAGGGACCAUAGGCCUUAGGCUUAGUCCUAGAAGGUUGAAUGCUUUCGCUACGCCCCGCAUAAUGAAACCUAUGUCUUAGAAUUUUGAAUUCGCUUAUAUAAGCAAUUAUAAGAUCCUUCCUCUAUCUCAUAGUCAAGUACGGAGUAGGAAUCAAUAACAAUUGAAUAAGACAUAAUUAUUGCUGCAUGCAUGUUCACCUAAAGCAUUUCUUACCACUUAAGUGAACGAGGGGGAUAUCAGUAUUUUGACUGACGGCUGUUGUCUAAUUAUUGAAAUAGAAACACUCCCUUCCAAAUGCUAUUGCCAUUCUCCAUUCCGGUCUGUAGCAACGUACUUAGCGCACUAGUUCAAUUUUUUGAUUCACUCUUCGCAUUGAUAAAUCAAACAAACUAUGACAAAUUAAAGGAGAGGGAGGGCACUCUAACCAGGCUAUAUUUUCACUGCUUCAUGGAUUUUCGUUAUUGGGUCUCACCCCGGGAGAGAUUUUCUGCAUCAGCGAUCAUGCCCCCCUUAUUCUAGCGGAGGAACAGCUUCAUCAGAUUCAUUCCCUUGCUAAUCCGCCUUCAAGUACAGGAAAGGCUCCUGAAUUGCUACCUAAUAAUAGAUGACUUCAUUUUACGGAAUACCUGCAACGAGGUUAAGGCGUUAACAAAGAGAGGCCAUAGAUAGGCACAGUCUUCCCAUCCCAUACUGGGAGUCAACAGCUUAGAUGAAAUCCAAAGGCUUCUUAUUAUUCACCGCUAGGAUCUCUACCCGUUAUCCAGGAUGGGCAAAUGAAUGGACUCUCCCUCCCCUCAAUAAUAGUCGUAUCAAGAGACAGAGGUGAGUUAGCAAUUUCAGAUAGCUCGGUUGCGGGUACAGUUGCACUGAAUACUCCUCUGCUUCCCCAAGGGAAUCGAGUGGAUUAAAGCACUCCACUCCGUAGUACAAAGAAAUUCACAGCACUGAUUUGUGACAGUACCAUGCUAGCACAGUGAAUUUUGUGCUUCCAUUCUAAUCUAAUUACAGAAGAAAUGAUGCUGGAAGAAAUGAGCUUUUCUGCUGUAGUUUAUUGAACUAAGGCACUCUGCACAUAAGUCACACCUAACCGGCUAUAUGUUUCUUGAUCGCCGAUAUCUCCUCCCCACCCAGCAUUUGCUAGCUUGCCAAGCUUCCCUCACGAGACUGUGAAAAGCAUAUAGGAAGGCAGAACAAAGACAGGUGGGACCUCAAUGAUGAGUAUGCUUGCUUCGCCUCCACUGCAAGACAAUAGCUUGGGCCAUAGCCAAUAACCAGUUUCCAUCCUAGCUUUUCGCGACAAUCCAUGAUAUCUUGCUGAAUGCAUUGCUUCGGAUCUCUAUGCUCUGCUACAGUGCUCUUCCGUCCAUUCGAUUCUUUUCCUGCCAGUCAGACCCCCCAUUUCAUGUAGUCAAGGACUCAAGGGAGUUAGUUCUAGGUGGGCCGCCCCAAGAGAACCAUUCGCAGCAACGAUGGUCAUAUAGGAUUUCCGGUACCAAAGGUGACAUCGGCGACUGAAGAAAGACUAUUUAGCAAAGGAUUGACGGGGCUAGUCUACAGAACAGAUUCAGACCCAAUGAGGUAUAAUUCAUAGAAUAAAAGAGCUUUGAUUGUCUUGCCUAUGAAACAACCUAGGAUUCUCUUUUCAUUUGAUGUCAUAGACUCUACUCGAGCCAGGAAUCGAUUUGUAAUUUCAGUGAAGUUCAAAGCUGUAUUGUAUGGAGAAAUGGUGAAUUCCCAGUGGUAAGCCCAAGUUAUGAUAAAUAGAAAAUCAAUGCGCUGGUUUAUUCCAAUAUUUAAGACGUGGAUGAGGGCGCGCGAAUAUCGAAAGUUCUUCGAGGGAAGAGUUCGGAGAACAACAACAUGCUUUCUUUGAAAAUCCAAAAGCCCAUAUAUAUCAUAUCUUCUUUGCAUUUAGAUCGCUGUGUGUUUCGCGUGUGGCAGGGUUGGGGUUCAUUGGCAUCAUGACUCCCUUUUUGGAUAGGGGAAUAAGAGAAUUUCCAGGUCGUAGUGAGACUGCAUCGUUCGAAGACGCAUGUUCCUCUAUUUCUUCUAAUCUAAAGAGGUCAUUCAUUAGUGUGGCGUGGGUUCUCCCAAUCAUUAGAAGAAGAAUCCAACAAUGUAUGUUCAAAAGGGGGCUGGGAUUAGGUCUCAUUUAAGACAGAUCCUUAAACAGAUAUGGCUAUAACCCUUCCUUAGACUUAGAGUGACUUGAGUGAAAGUGAUAGCUUCUCCUACUUUCGAAACAGAACGACUAGGUGGAGUAUAUUGCCUAUCUUUUGUGUAUUCUCCCGCAUAUCGAUUUCAUGAUUGUCGUCUACUUCCCUCUCCUGACUUGAUUCUCUAAUGCGAGUAUGGCGCUUCUCUCUCCCGUCCGGUCUACCUUAUUUUAGCGCAUCCUCUCUCUCCCCUUCUUGGCUCUUUCGAGUUGCGACUCUUCUCCAAAAAACCCAAGGAUAUGCAAUUCCCAUUAUGUGUGAGCAUGCGUCCUUCAUAGAGAUAAUUAGGUGGUUUGGCAAUCAGUAAAUUCUCAUUCGGAUGAGGAAGAUGACUUGUUCGGAGGAAGGAAAAGAAAGAGAAAAAGGGUUUUUCUUAAAAGAGAAAGUCUGGCACAUGCAUAUGCAUAAGAAAAGCGGGGCUAUUCUCUAGAAUGCCUAUUCCGUCCUGUUCUGCAAAUCGAUUUCUCAAAUCUCCCCCGCUACUUUAAUCCGAUGCUUGACCUGCUUCCUGAAACGAAAGACUGCUCCACGAACAUCUCAACAAAGCUUGCCCAAAGGACGAGAACCCCUUGACUGGCACUGCUGACCUUCCACCGGCGUAUCCACGAACAGAAGCUGCUGUUGGUACCUUGCAAUCGUAUCCCGGCACCUUGACUGUCCUAUCUGCUUGCCAAAUAGAACUUUCCGAUGGCCAACUCCAAUUAUUUUAUUGAGUUCGCACCUCCAACCUCACCGGAAUCAGUGGUAGCUGCUCCAAAGUAGUUCUGAAAGCGAAAGAAGAAUCGGCUUCUGUGUCAGGGUCAUCUAGAGAGUCGAAAGUAGAGUUUCAAGCAAGAGUGCGGCGCGAACCGGCAGAUCUUAUGAGAUGAGAAUCGAAGAAUUUCAUAGUUAGUGGGGCCAGGAAAACAUUCCUUGUAAUAGGUUACCCGAAGUAGAAGUGCCAGCUAGAAUAGAAAUCACUCGUAUAAUAUAAGAGUUCUGUUCUCACUUCCUGAUACGACCGAUACGAAAGAAAGCAUCUUCGUCAGAAACCCCGUUUGGAUGAUAGCUGAUUUGACCUCGAGAGAAAGGGGGAAGAUUUGAUCCAUUUGAAAGCCAGCGCAGCGCUAUCUCAGUGAAUGGGAUUCGCUUAGGCAAAUAGGCUCCUCAAUCCAUUACGAAGCCAGCAAAGAAAACGCUAUUGGAGAGUUCCAAAGCAAUCCAAUUCUCACUUCUGCUGCUCUGCAGCUUACCUAAGAGUUCUCACGCCUAGUGAAGAUCGGAAUCGGAAAGGGAAGAACGUUAUUCUAUGUUCCAGGCAGAACGUCUGUAGAUGCUAGGUCAAUUCCAGAGCCAGAGAUAGAAAGACAGCUUGAUUCGAACCAACCAAUAGCCUGCCUCUACUCACUGUUGACAAAGGAGGAAGGUUUUCCCUCGGUCCAGUAGAUUGCCGUAGUCAAAAGUCCAUCUCGCUAUAUGGCAAAAGUCGUGUUUUUCUAUUUCCCUUGACAAGAAUCCAGGCAGUAAUCACAUCAUUAGCAUUGAUCUACGCAUUUCGAGAAAAUAAGACGGGGCUACUUCACUUCCUAAUUAAUAAAGUAGGAGCGAGUACGGAGGUACUAGACCGUGAUUCUGGUCCUGAUGCGGACACACCUGUCGACAACAGAGAAGGGAUUCAAUUGAGAGCGGAUAGCAAGAUCGAAUGAAUGGAUACUCUGAGAUAGAACGAUAAAAAGAAAAUUUGAUUAAUCCUACAAAAGCCUUACAAGGCAGGUAAACUUUAUGCAGUAUCUGCUACAAAAAGAAGGUUAGAGAACAGGUUCCAUCUACUUUAUCCGCUUUUGGGCAUGAAGAACAUGCUUCUUUCUCAAUUUAUAGGAAUCGUUAACCUUUUCAUUGGAUUGGUUUUUUUAUGCAGUAGAGAAGCCGUUUCCUUUGAACUUGCUUGGUCCAUCGGACAGAUAUAGACAUGGAGAAGCUUUUCAAUGUAAAUCUUUCACUACUUUGUUUGGACCUUGCUUCUUCACUUAAUGCUUGCUUUCCGUCUUGCCUUUGCUGGGCCUACGAUAGGCUGUACUCCAAUACGAAAUAAGAUUGUACAUGAAGGUUGGUGAAAAGCAAAAGAAGCAAUUGGUUCUCAAAUGCCGUGACGUCACCUAGCUUUAUUCUAAAUUUAUCAUUCUAUUGGUAUGUAUAGUGUCUUUCAUCUGCUUUUUCAUUCAUUCUGCCCACAGCCGUUAGGUAUUAUGACAAAAGGAACCAGCAUGUUGCGGAGCAGCCAAGUAAACCAAGAAAUGACUCAAGUAAUCCAAGGGCAGAGCAACGUAAUCCAACGGAGGGGCUACGUGAUCCAACAGAAGAGCUACGUAAACAAGGAACACAUGAACCUGCUAAGGAUCCAUUCCACCUGCCAAGUAGACCAAUCACAAGAGCUCGGGCCAAGAAAUUCAAUGAAGUAAUCCAUAUCCAUAUGCUGAUUCAGCAAGCCAAGCAAGAUGUGGUGGAGAAUGCGCUAACGCGCAACGGCUUUCGCGCUAGUUGCUCAAUCCGUUGCUUGUUUGGUAAGAUUACCUUGGGAAGUCUCAGGGACUGACUGAACCGAAUGUAUAGCGUCAAGAUAAGAAGCACGCACUCCUACUAGACAUGGAAGGAGUAAACCUCAAAUAUGCUUUCUUCCCUUAGGUAUGUUUCUAGAUUCUAGUCCGAAGUCGGUCGUUGAUAGAUUUAUUUCUUUUGCUUGCUCUCCGUUACUUUCCCUUCCUAUAUUUAGAAAUCGAUGUAAAGACAAUAAGAAAGUGGUUGAGACAGAAGAUUCUUGGUAGUUUAUUGGCUCUAAGUACAAUGGGUACGUAAGUUAUGUGUUUUGUUUCAUGCUCCUUGGUGAUUUUUCAUCAAUAUGAUUUAUUGCCCAUCGAGAACUAACUCUUAGUAGGUACUCAACGUUGAAAUCACACCAUCCGAAAGCAGAAAAUCCAUCCCAUUAACGGAAUAUAUGUGACACAGCUACCUUGUUCAAGGAGAUACCAUUCCCAAACCAUAAGCAAGGAAGGGAAAAUGGUGGGUUGUGGCUCCUAAAGUUUGGGUAUGACUCCACUCCAUUACAGGUACUGGUACUGGCUGCAAACUGGUUCUUGGGUUAAUUAUGAUAGUUGUUGACGACAUAGAAGGUUUUUCACACCAGUAUCUACAGUACUUGAUGCUAGGAUGACUGGAGUCAUGGAGCUUGUCAGGUUUCCAGAUCCAGGUGCCUAUCUUAUUUAGAUACUUCAGCUUAUGCGGCACAUCUCUUGCAGCCUAUGCCGGCCUCAGAUCUAACUAAAUCUAAAUGAGCCAAUGUUUCUAAAUCAAAAUGCAAGGUUGAAGGAAGGGGAAAGUAGAGCAUAAUAUGCAAGCGCCGCUUAUGGGAAUAUCUUAGCCAGUUGAAAGAAGUGCCAGAAAGUAUCUUCUAGUGACUUCCUUUGAUCUUCACUAAAAAACAAGCUUCUUAAGUAUUUAUUUCAAAGAAGCAAGCAAUAUGACAUUUUCUGUGUCUUCCAUUGGCAGCACUAUGGAAGAAUGAAGUAUUUGCAUCUCCCUUAUAGAGAUUGGCUUCAAGCAAGGCAGUGAACCCGCACUGAUCGAAUGAAUUCUUCUUUAAAAGCUCAAAUCCAAUGCUUUCAUGCCCCAUCCUGUGAUCUAGUUGCCCUUUCUCGUCACUAUUCUAUUCUAUAUCGAAUCGAGAAAGCUUUACUUCACUUCUAUUUGCUUUGCUUUGCCUAAGAGAAAAAGAGAUUCCCAUUGGCCCCGGGCCUAUAUCACUAUAUCAUGUUUGCUUUCAAGCAAGAGUUCAACGAGAAAACGAAUCUAUAGAUGAAGCGGAAGAUCCUCCUACGAGAAAAGAGAUCGAAUCCUGCAUAGUGCCAGGCCAUGAAGUAAAAGAAUGCUUUCCCUUGGGCCCAUUUCAUCCUAUUUAUCUAUGUCAAAUCAAGGCAGAACGUCCGUAGAUGCUAGUGCAUUAGUAUUAGUUGGGCAAGGCAGCUCAGGGCUAGCAACUGAGCGAAAGACACCGGAAAGUGCUUUAAAGGUGCCGGGAUACGAUUGCAAGGUACCAGCAGUAGCAAGUUGCAAGUAGAUCAUCUCUCUUUCUUUCUACUCGCGGGAGUGGUGUUUCGGGUCAGGCUAAAGACAUCGAACUGCGGAUCAGUCGUGAUAGAAACCCCUUUCUAGAAUAGAAAGCGGAAAGGAUGCGCCGGCUCGCCCCGCCGGGAGAGGCUGAAAGGCAGAAAGGAAACAUAGGAACCACCAAUCUAGUCAUUGCUUCUCUUCUCCCAACUCCUGAGAACUAAUAACAGGAUGAAACCGGAGCCAGACCCAGUUUAGAUAAGGUAUGUCUCUGCUCGACCAUACUUCUGGAUCCCUUCUGCCCUUGCACUCGAGGACCAUUUCCUGGCGCAGAGAGACCUGAUUGACUGCAUUUCCAGCUGGGCAAGCAAUUCCAUGAAAAGAAGAGAUGACCGGUUGCGGGGAGGCCAAGGCCAGAGGAUUGUGCAGUGCCGGAUCUAUCUCUUUCCAAAAUAUCAUAGAGAAAUAAAAGAAAUGAGGUGUUAGAUCUUGAUUCUCCGCAAAAGUUAGGGGACCAAUAGAGGUCCGCAAUAGUGCCCCGAAAUGGGAGCCGCAGACCCCGCAACCUGUCCAGCUGUAGUAGGAGAUUCCAGUAUGAAGCACAUCAUUGCGUUGAUUCUACGAUUCCAUGAUUCAAACAUGACUGAUGUUCAGUCAUUCGCUACUCAAUAAAUUGUGGGGCUUCAUGGUUGCAACUAUGAGAGUGGAGAAGAUCCCAGUUAUGGACUUUUUUAAUAUGUCUAGGUUUCACGGUAUUCUUAUGAUGAAACAUAUUAUUGCCAAUAGGCAUGAAUGAGUACUGAAGCUAUUAAAGAGAAAAGUUUACGUUUAUGAGUUUUAAGUUCUGAUACCCGGUCUUUCCUACUUUUGUGAUCUGGUGUGAUCGACUUGUGGAGGGAAGUACUUAAUACGCGUUUCAAGAACAACCCAGGGAAAGAAGACUGGUGAGAUAUGGAAUGGAAAAGGUUGGAAAAAGGGGUACUAAUAAAAGUGAAAGGCCAGGCUUAUAGCUAAGAAAUUUACUUAAUAACACGACCCCUUACUCAGUUUGCCUUACUCGAAAGAAGCACGAGCGUCACCCUAGCCAGCAUUCUUUUUAUUUGGAUUUGGAUUUAGUAGAAUCCAAGCCAUCUUACUCAUUGAUUAGUAGAGGUCAAUUCAAUGCUCUAAUAAGCUUGCGAGAAAGCCUAAGUGAAGUUCAGUCUCUUUUUUAGUCUGUCUCUUUUCAGUUUUUAAGCAAGUGACCAUAGGGCAAUGGAAAGAUCUGAUACGGCCGGCGUUAUAGGCCUUGUAGGUUGCAACUCCUUCUAAGAUAAUAAAACGUAACCACGAGGGAGAUUACGAAUAUUCCAAGCAUAUACAUCUUAGGCCAGUAAGCUAAGGAUAGAUGAAAUCCAGUAAGACAGCCAAGCCAGAAGCAAACGAGUUAUCAAGUGGCGAGAUAAAGCUUUGUAUAGCUGCUGUCUUUUUCAUAUAUACAUAUGUAGAAAGGGGUAUAGCUGAGGAGUUUUGAAUUCGAAGAGCAGGCAUAUUGAGAAUAAGCGAGUAGUUUUAUUUCUUACCUCACUACUGUUUCAAGUGCUUUUGCCUUCUAGCGAGUGUGAGUUCCCCCUAGGUAGGGCGGGCUAUAGACUAAAAGAUAUCUGUCAAUGAUAGAGCAGUAGAUUUCUUUCUUUUAAGAGUUCUCUUGCUUGUUUUGAUUCUGUUUAUUGUAUUCUGAAGUUCGUUCAUCACCUUACUUUUCGUGUCCAUCUAGGACUGUUGGUUUAUACAUGGAUCCUAUUCUAGACUAGAAUAGAACGCGUAUCUACGACUUUCCCAUCCAAGUAAGCCACGGUGAAGGAAGGUUAAAUCUUGUCUAAUAUAUAUAAACUUGACCUUUGUUGGUUCAUACAUACCUUUUCAUUCCUGCUAGUAAGGCAUUCCAGGUUUGAUCAGUGCUUUUCUCGAGGAAGAUCAAGAUCCAGCUCUAACCAUAGUCGGUUCUGCCGGUUUAAGUUUCAGGGCAAGUUUCUUGUGUGGGUGGAUACGGUUUCAUUCUGACCUUUGAUUGUUGACUUCGGGCAAGGUCAAGUCAUGGGAUAUAGUUCAAAAAGUGCCAGAAGGCAGCUACGUCUGAGUUGGAUAUGGAAGCUGGGUGAAGUAAGACCAAUAGAGAUGAACUAUUGAUAUUGACCUGGCUAGCGCUAACGCUUUGCAAGGGAGAUGGGUCCGCUUGAAAUCGCUAGAGUGAGAAGAUCUGCUAAUGCAUAUGCUAAUAGGCCUGGUUCAACCAAAGCAUUUCUUCAUGCCCGAUUCUACUUAUGAUUUUUCUGAGUGCUAAUACUUCAACUACUAUUGUGGCCGGGUCUAGUUCUGCUUGAAUCGAAAUAGCAUCGAAUGACGUUCUGCCUGGAAUUGACCUUGCUUCUACUUCUUCCGCACCUGCGACUGUAUGCGAACGUAAACCGGCACGGGAUUCUUUUCCACCCGCUUCUAACUUCUUCCUUGAAUCGAACUAGUUUUUAUUCCUGAACUCCGGAAAUCGUAUCCCUUGGGCAACCCAUUUAUGUAAAGUAAAUAUUCUACAUCUGACUUGAUACAAACCUGCACCACCAGCUUCUUCCUUUAUACCAGUUCGAGGCGAGGAUUGAUUGCUUGAUCUCAAAAACUCCUAGUUAAUGUGCAUCAACAUUGGAGUCGGUAGCUUCGUCUUCUGCCUCAGGUUUAAAAUCACUUAUUCCUAGCCGCCUAUCCUAUCCAUGCGCCGCAAUAGAGGAAAGAGCAGCAAAGAAAUCAAAAGCGUGAAAAUGUCUCGAUAUCGAUAUGUUAGAUGGAGCUCAAUCAAUAGGUGCCGGAUUUCUUAUUUCUCAGAGCUGAGGUCAACCUUGCCAACUCUAGUUCUUCCUCGGCCAAGUAAUGUAGAUUUCCUUGGGAAUUCUAGUGAUCUCUUUCUUCUUCAGCUACUGCUACGAACGUAUUUAGUUUAGAACGAGUAACUACUCGAGGAACUAGGCCAUGGUUUCCGUUAGUCUAAGUAGAUCAAAUCUUGUUGGCAAGAGGACUACUACUGGGAUGGGAUUAUUCUAUUACUAAUUGAUGACCUGGGGGGCUACUCUUCUUUCUCCACUACAUAUAUUUAUUUACUGACCUGUUGAUAGCGGGGGCAGUAAAGAGGAGAGGAGGAAAAAGAAGUAGAGUUAGGUUCUGUUCUUGUGUGUAAGCCCUCGGUCGAUUCGUCUGCUCAUUCACAGCGUAUGAUUCUUAUCCAAUUGCUUCUUCUGAAAACGCGGCGUCGGUUAAUCUUUCUUAUUCUCCCUUCGGGGCUCCUCAUGUUGCUACUAAUAGAAACAGUUCGGACCUUGCUCAUACAAUCCUCGGGACUACUAUUGGUUAAUCUUUGUCCUCCCUAGGGAAAGACGAUACUUUUUGGGAAAGACAGGGUUAGCGCUGCCUGGGUUGAGCCAUUCCUAACAACUCAUCCAGCUUGACUAGCUUGCAUUAAGAGUAGUUCAUUUCCUAUAAAGUGUAGCGAGUUUUCUACCUUUUCACAUAACCGAGAAAAAAGGCAAAGUUACCCUACUACAUGUAUUAGCUAGUUUUGUCUAGUCAACAUCUAACGCUCAUUUCACUAUGGGAUUUAUUUACUCCGAUUGCUUCUACUCUCUUACAGCUGGGUGCGCCUAUAAGGAAGACUUUUCAUAGAUUGACUUUGGACAGGCAAGUUGAACUAUCAGGCUUCACUAACACAAGUAAGAACAAGUAGAAAACUCCGUAUUAAGGGCUGACUUUCCUUUUGACCUAGUUCUUAGCACUAGUGAUUAGCACAAAGGAGGAGAGAAAAAAGGAUUGAAUAAGCGAGCACCAGCAUUGACUUUCUUGCUUUAACUAACCUGACGCCUGGCCCUUUUGCUCUAGGCUCUACUCCUUGUCAUUGAUUUCUAGCUAGCUUUCCCACUCGCAUAAAAGGAAUGAAUCGAGGGUAUUUACUUGCAUUUCUUUGUCCUACUUGGGUUGGGCUUUAAGAAGAGAGGAUUUAUUAGCACGACGAGCAUCGCAUGCUAACCGGGGGAUUGAAUAGGAUAUCAUAGAAUGUAGCAUAUUGUCUUAACUUAUAGGGUAGGGUCUUUCCUAUAGCAAAUCCUCAGUUUCUGUCCAGAGUCCGCCCUUUAGGUGAUGGAUCAUCUUUAUAGAGAGACUAACAAUAAGACUAGAUUAGAUCGUGUGCUUCUUUAUAGACGGUGGGCUUAGGUGGAUCUCCCUCAUCUACCUAGACUAGAUUAGAGUGCUCUUAUCCUAACCUUAGAGCCUAGUUUUUUACGUGAACUCUUGGGCAUUAUCGCAUUCAUGAUGACUUAUGGGCAUAACCAGACGAAGUUAAGAGCUACCUAUUGUGCAUUAGGUUUUCCUCUAGGAUCCGGUUGUAGGGAAAAAGCAUUGGUGUAUGAGCCUACUGUACCGACUCUCCUCAUACUUAUGGAGCAAGAUCCUGUCCCUUUCUUAUAACAGCUCAAGUCAGGAGGGGGAGUAUAACACAUACCCCUCGUAGGCGGUGGCUAGUUUGAGAACUAAUUGCUCAUGGCGAGCUUGUUGGAUCUUCUUAUCCAAUCUAUCUACAAGAUCGGUCAAUCUAAACUUUGUCUUAUAUUCCUAUCUCUUGAAUUCAACUCUGAGCAGAUCGUAGACAGCAUGAGGAUUAACAUUUAGGAACGAUGGCAUUAAAAGACCGGUUGAAUUCACCCUUUCCUCCUUCCAUCAAACUCUGGAUCCGGGCUCUCCUCCACUAUCGUUCCGGGUUGAUGAAAGCUCCAACUCCCUAUCCUAUUUCACCUCGCUUCGGGUUUGCUUUCUUGUUAGCAUGUUUGAAUCAGCAUAAGUGGAGUGCAUUGUUUCUUCAGCGUUUUUCACAAUUUUAUGUUGUGUGAAAGUGCAGAAAGAGAUUGAGAAUUUCCAACUGUGCUUGGCUUAUUUCUUAUUUGAAAGUGAGAGUGCUUACUCUUCAAACUCAGACUCACUCAGACCAAGCCUACAAAAAAACAGGGAUCUCACCUCUCCCCAAAAAGACAUCAACUAUAUGAAUGCAUUCUUUGCCACCAAGACACACACCAAGGGUAGCGAGAACUCCUGGUGGACACAGGAAAAAAAUAUGCAACCAACCCGAAGAUGAGGAUGUGAACCGCAUUACUUCGAUCAAUAGACUUUGAAGUAAAGUGAAGCGAAGUGACUUUGUGAAUUCCACUCGUCUAUAUAUGAGAUUUGUGGGUAGCCUUCAAUCUCUUCAACUAUAUAGGCUCACAUCAAUAGAGAAAAUCUCUAUCUUCUCUACUAAGAGACUUCUUUUUCUUUCUAGAGAUUCCUCUUUCCUAUAUAUAUAGAAUAUACAAGUUGGGUUCGAACCAACGACUCCACCCUCAUAUGGAUUGUGAUGCGCGCUCCUUGCUUAUCCCAGGCUAGGCUACCAAUGAGAUCCCACUCACUGGCUUUGGUUAGUUAUAGUCAAUCCAUACCGCCUUCCUAAGGUUAGAUCAGAUGGCUUGGUUUCAUUUCUGAAUAAAGAGGAGGCUCGGGAGAGUGAAUCUCGUACCUGGCUGGCUUUGAUGCGGGUUCCAGGUCAUUCAGCUGCUGCUACUUACUUGAUGCGUGUACUUCCAGGUUGGAGUUCUUUUACUUUCAAGUUAAUCUACUUAUUGGACUGGACUGAGUUCUUCGAAUAGUUUAUUUAUGCGAGUUCAUUGAAAGACUUAGUGGACCCAGUGAAUUAACUUACUCAUCGGGAUUUUUAUAUUGAACCGGUGUGUUGAGUAAAUGACUAGUUUAGUUGGGUAGAAAGGAAUGGUAGCACAGUGCUACAUGAACGACUAUAACAAGUAGCUUUUUCUGGUGAUAAGGAAGGCACUAGUUGGCUCAGCAGUAGUUAGUUAAGCAGGUUCCAAGGCAGGCGAGACAGUGGAAUGCCUAGGGACAGCUUGAUAUGCACCAAGGAAAGUUGGAGCGAAAUGGGCUGGUGGCUCAGUUGCUACAGGACUAGUGAAACGAACAGUCAGCUCAGUCAAGAGCAGGUAAUUUGUUGGGACAGCCAAGCAAACAGAUGUGCUAUUUUGUUUUUCCCUUGCAUCAACAACUAUCCCUAGCUUUCCUGGACCGGGUAUAUACUCCUCUUUGUCCAGUAGCUCAGUAAGUUGGAACGCGUAUUCCAAUCCAAGGAAGAAAAGCAGUGACUCUCUGAAACUAGUCAGUGCUCGCUACAGUUGCUUACUACUUGCUCGGGUCAGGCAACAGUGGAGAUUCCAGAGAAUCUUAUGAUUUUGGGCCCUAUAUAUUUCUUUCAGGGUUCGGCCAAAUAUUACGAAGGAAACGGAGAACUAUUGCUCGCCUAGAUGGCAUUCCAAAAUGAAUGGCGAGGAGACACUCAACCUUUUUGGUAUACCUUGAGUAAUCCCAACCAAUAGGUGCUGGCUGGUCACAUUGAAUUACUAGGGCUUCUCUCUCUCAAUCAUUUCAUUUCCGUCUCGUAGAUCUGCUUCCAGAGGCCACAGGCACGAAGUGUUUGUACAACUAUUUAAAUGCUAUUAAACUCUUUCUUCAUGCAUGUUGGGUACAAGACAAUGAUUAGAAUCGACUACUGUUAGGCGUGCACGUAUCAUUCCUGUCAACUUAUUCCAUAAGGGUAGCUUCACCAGCAAGCACGGGUGAGAAUGGGUGUAUAAAGUCAUUGACAAGGAGAAGAAGCCGCUUCUGUCAGGGGAUUGGAUUACCCAUGAGUCCAUCUAUGCGGAAAUGCAAUAUUUUAAGCGAUCCUCUACUCUCUAAAGCAAGCCACUGAGCUCUGUCAGGUCAGGUAACAUAAGACUAACUAGCAAAUGCGAUACAAAUCUAUGCACCAACGAUUCGAACUUAAAAUCUUAGACGUAUGUUAACAUGAAAGGAGGGGCCUGCCUAUUAAGCAUUCUAUUCCAUUUCGUGGAAAUGCAUGCCAGGGAUUGGCCACCCACAAGCACUUCUCCUCCAUUGGCGAUGUGGGUGAGUUGAGACUGAAAAAAGGGGCUCUUAAGGGUUCCAAUUCAGAUUUAAGGUCUACGGCUGAAUAGAAAUAGCAGUAUAACUCCCUAUAAUCCGUGCUGUAUUUCCCGUCAGUUUCUUUCUGUCCUACGGAACAUGAGUUUUGUAUGGAAAAAGGGCUUGCUUGCCCAUAGGUAAAAAGACUCAAGGUAUACUUUAGGCGUUAAAAGCUGGCUUAUUACUUGGAAGAAUGACAUAAGCUAAUAAGAUGGGCUUACAAAUUUCAUUGUAGUGAUAGAAAUCUUCCUUUCAGUGAUUCACCUACCUGGAUUUCCCGCCCUGUCAUCUCACUAGUCAAUGGAAAGAAACCUUUGUCAAGAGUCUGCAAGCACAAGAGUGACUACAACUUUUACUUUACCUUAUAAUUUAAACUUUGACUUAUAAAUAACUCUUAGGAAAGCCAGCCCCUUAUUAGUACUCCAGAGAGCUACUUCACCCAGAAUAAAGAGAAGGUUCGAAGAAACUAAUGCAUAAAGACCAGGGGCAGGAGUAUAGAGAGUACAGCGAAGAAGCGUGUGAGUGGUUUGGACGGAGUGGCAGAAAGGAAGAACCCUCAUCUCUUGGACUAAACUCGUACUUUGCGAGAGGCAAUACGCAGGAGUAGGAAUUCCGAUCGGACUUGCUUCUGGGAUGGGAGUGCGGACUGCUUUUCUUAGUUACUUUCUUUUUGGUAUUUCGUAUUUUCAGAUGCGUCUUCUUCUUUCUCAGAUGGCCCGCAUGUAGGUCCAGUGUGCUGCUUUCUUAAGCUGAGUCGUAGCCCUUGACCAACCAGUUAGCCUGUCCCUGCCUUCUCACAGUGGAUUUCUCAACAAUCUCUUCUCUCAAAGAAGGAAUGGAGAGCUCUGUCCUCUCCCUUUUCCUAUGCGCGCGUUCAUAGUGAUAUGAGUGAAUCGAUGUGUAUUUAUGAGGAUCAAACCCUAGAGUGAUUCUAUCGUAGAUUAGGUCUCUGGAUCCGGUGUGCCUUGGCCUGACAGCAAGCUGAACAACUUUGCUGAUCAUCUGGCUUGACUGGGAUUCUCCUCUCAUAGAACAGAUGACUGAUGACUUUGUUGGAGGGAUGGCCUAAACAAACGUUUAUGCCAGAGUGCUUCGGUUGAAGAAAAAACAGAAGGUGAAGCUUGCUCUGUGAUGAAUUGGGCCUUCCUUCAGCUUCCACAUCCUGCUUUGAAUUCAAGAGUCCUUCUUUUCUUGAAUUGGUCUGGUCGGUCAGUGGUUUGUUUUCUGGGCCUGAAUCCCGAUCCCCUAUUAGAACCUUCUCAAGCAAACCCUCGUAAUCCUUUUACAUCUCUUAGUCUAGCCCAUGCAUACCUUGCUUUACCCAUCGUUACUUAUCGUUCAACUUAGAGCUCGAUAGCAAAUUCUUCGAGAGUCUCUUGUUCCAUCUACUAUCCUUUCUGAAGAUAAUAGAGUAACAGUGCUCCAUAGAGAGAGAAAGAAGACACAGUAAUGGUAAGCCAUUGUAGGGAUCAGCCUAGAAGGAGAAUCAUUAAUUCUUGUUUUCAUGAUAUGAUGAAACGAUUCAAUCAUGAUUGGGGUGUGGGUAAUUAUCUUCUUUUUUUUUUCAUAAGAUGCGGUAUUCUUGUAGUGGUUCUCGAGGGCAAAGGGGGGGAUUUGGGUAAAGCCAGUGGUGGUGAUUGUGUCAUCCGUUCUCUUCUUAAUAACUCCCAUCUCCCGAGGCCUAGCUUCGUAUUAUUUUCUUCAUUCAAAGCAACCCAUUACUUUUGCUACUACUACCACUAGUCUAGCUGUUGUCUAUUUGCAACCAUAUAAUUUUUCUAAGAGUACAUGAGAUCGUAUUGUAUUUUGGGUUUGCACUAGCGAUAAGGUAAAUCAAAAUUCUGGCUGGGGGCUGGUUUGAGAGAAGUUUGCUACUCCGGCAGCCUUCCAAUGACCUUAAUGAAACGGGACGAGUCGCAAUGAAUCACUACGAAAAUAGAAAUAUAUGCACUAAUAAAAUAUAGUCAAGCGAGGAGCCUACGAGUUGAUUGAAGAAAGGCACGAGGCGCGGAGCGUCAGGCUUUUGAGAAGUAGUGGAAUUGCUUACCUAGGAAGAAGUAGUAGUAGGAGAAGUCAGAUCUCUUUGAAUAGGUGGUCCGCUUGCUUGGAAAGAAAAGCAAAGUAAGACGCCCUACUUGUACUAAUAACUAGAAGAAAUCAAUGGAUUGAAGAACAAAGCAAAACACUGAUAGUAGAACUAUGGGAGAAAGAAAAGAAGCUUGGUUCACAUCUGGUAAGCGAAAGAGUGAAGUGAACUAGGCGUUGAGUUCACUAUACGGAUUAGCUCAUUCGAAAUCUAUAUAGAGUAUCUCAAUUCAGCUCACUUGGUAGAGUUUUGAGUGAGGGAACCCCGGGGCUGUAGUCAUCCAGUUCACAAAGUCUUGAGUUUCUCCAAAUGAUAUAGAUAGAAAGAAUGGCGAUCUACUAAUAUAUUAUACUUACUCUAUAUAAGGGAUUUCUACUAGGAAAAUCCUCUUUUCAUUCCAAAAUAUAUACUUGAUUCAGAGAUGAUCAAAGACUCCUACCCUAACGCGUGACUCUAAAAAAUCCAACUGAUCUGAGGGUUUUUUCUCCAGUACAAGCAACACAUUGGUAAUAGCAUACUUCCUGCAAUACGAAGGGAAUGAUAAAAAUACCUCACCAACCAAUAAAAAUCCCUAACCUAAUUGGGAAUACUCUCAAAGGACGGACAAUCCGAGUUAAGACGGCCUUCCGAGAAGCACUAUUAGGGAAUACGCGGGAGGGACAUAUGUCGUAGUUCCACAACGCGGAGUUCUAAUGUGGGGAUUGGUCGAAGAGGUUUUAUUAGCUAGAAAGGCGCAAGUCUCAGAGCUGAGCUCACCGCUUCGCGCCUCAGAGGGUGUCCAGACCCGGCAGAAGAUAUAGGCAAUGUGAAAUGUUCGGCUACUAAAUGAAGGAGUUCAGGCUAAGAUAUUAUCGGUUCAGAAGCGCCUGGGUAUGGGUAGAUCAGCAAGCCCGCUUACCGAACUGUUUCAAAAGAACUCGUAAGAAGCUUUACAGCAGCUCAAAGAACCUAUGUAUACGGCCCAGUCCUUGCCAUGCCCGAUCUUCACCCUUAACCAUUUAAUAAGCUUAUGCCAGUGAGGUGUGGAUGCAAUGGAAAGACCCAUAUCGACCGUCUUACGACAAAGAAAAUCUUGCUAUUAAGAGGAAAAGAAAUGGAGCUAGGGUCAAGUUCCAGAGGGGUCUCCAAACAGCCUCACACUACACCAUCACGUGGGAGCUCCUCCACUCCUGUGGAAAGGGCAUGUCUUACUAUAGAUAGUAGGUCAGCUCAAUCACUUUCAUCAAAUUCCCUUGCUUAAGUACAAAAGCAAACUCCCCAGGUUCAAAAGCAACGGCCAUGGGGUCAGGUCACUAUACUCGUCAAGGUUGUCGGAGGUCUGUGAGUCAUACGACUGUGGUACUGGCACUUUUCAAACUGAGACUCACUAAAUAUUACGCUUCUGCUCGCAAAGUAGGCCAGCCAAUAAAACCCAUCUCGUAGGACUCGCUUAGCUAAGGUUCUGGCUCCUUGAUGGCUGCCACAAAUCCCUUCGUGAAUCUCAUUUUCAUUCAUAUUUUGCAAAUACUUCAUUCGAUAUAUUUUUUUAGCUAGCGAUGACAAUGUCAAACAUACCCCGAUAUCCACAUUGUAUCUAGUCCAAUAAAUUGAUUUAGCCCGAAGCAUCACAUCACCUAAAAGACUGAUAUCCAGCUCCAUAUAAUCCAACAAUUGGGCUCUAUUCUCCUGAAGAGAAGACACUUGAACUUCGUCAUGUGCUAUUGAGCCUUUUGAACCUAAGUGCGGACAUAAAGUCUUAGCCAAUGUUUCUAGACUAUUAGGGAGUUGAGUGUAUGAAUCUCGUAGAUGGAACACCAAUUUCUUAUUCCCCCUUUUUUUCCUAUAAAUUGAUAACUGGUAAAGCUUCUUGUUCCUCAUCAGCGGUUUGAUGGUGUACUCGACCAUAUGACUGGCUAAAAACUUCAUUAAGUCGAUCGGAUCGAGAAAUUAGAUUCGAAAAGUAAACUGUUUUCACGCCCUUGUGAGUAGAUCCCAGUUUGGCUAUACGCUCUAUAAAAUCUACCAACAUUUUAGUACUCCUUUCUUCAAGGGAAGGUAUUAUCAAAUUGUAAUCUUCAAAAAAAUAUGUGUCUAUUUGAUCAUCCAUGGCAGCCACAUCAUCCCCCGGAUUCACCACUAAGAGCCCCGCAGCAUAAGGUACAAGCACAUUAUUUAGUAUAACAGUCUCUAUAUCGGCUACAAUGAAAGGAAAACAUUUCUGUUUCUUCUGCUUCAAUGCCGUGAUACACUCAGGAUGUUUACGAUACCUACCCGGAGCUCUUGCUCUAACUUCUCGUGGUUCACCCCUAGCUAUGCCCGCUUCUAUUAAAUUCCAAAUUAUGCUUGCAAUUUCAUCGGAGCUAGGCAACUCUUUGUCAGUGAUUUCAUGCCUACCAAGCAGGUACACUCUAAUGUAUACACCCUUUCAGAAAAUAAAUCCUUCUCGUAUUCUGCUGCUUUUUUGAUUCAUUUUUUCUCAAUAAUAGCAUAGACAUCCAUGUUGGGCGCAGCAUUCCCACUUGAAUCUUCCAAAGAGAAAUAGCAUGACCUAUGAUAAAGGGCACAGGUUCUCCGCUUGCUCUUCUCAUGUUAUAUCCAAUAGUAAACUUCCCAUAUAACAAUUCUGUAUUGUACACGUACUUUUUUAUUUGAGUAGUUUCAUUAGGAACGGAACUUGUAAUUGUAAUAGAAGCCAGAUUUUCUAGUCAGAAUACGGUCGGGGGAAGACUAUCACUGACCGAGCUUCUCUACACUGACCUUUCUUCUGGUCAAGUUCGCAGCUCUUCGAAGAAAUCCGAUUCUUUUCCUAGGAGAAGAGAUUGAUUCUAGUUAUCUUUCUUUCAAAGCCAUCCAUGCAUAGAGAAGACUGGGCCCAAAGCAUUGUAGGUGAGCGAGUAAUCUCUGGAAUAUAAGAAGAGAUAGAGAUGGUUCUUUUGGCUCAUCAAAUGGGACUCGGACUUUGCAGAAAGAGAGUAAUGUUUCCUCCUUUCUCACUCGCCUGGCUGGUCUAUUUAUUGCUAUUAGGUCCUAAUAGAGAAGAAGCUUUUUCCUGCGAAGAUCAAGUUGAACGGUGAGUUCUAAAGGUUUUCCUGAUGUACCAGUGUCUGUGUCACUUUCCAAGUAGUCCUUUCUUAUUUCUUCAAAGAAAGAUUCCCAUUUAGAAUAAGGAAAGUCAAAUAGGGAAGGAAAGGCUAAAAGAACCAAUUUUUCUUGUUUUACCACUUCAGCUACAGCGAUCAAGGGUUCGUGUUAAGUUUCGAACUUGUGAAGAAUUGCCAGUGGGAGACUGUUUCUUUCUCUAAUUCCAUAGUCUUUCAGCCAACAAAGCACUCUAAUUUAUGUAUUAGAAAUACUAUUUGCUCGUAGCCUAGAGGUGUAGACAGGAAUGCUAUGUCAAGGCUAGGUUAGGUGCCUGGGAAAGCCUAGGAUAGGAGCUCUUGGGCACAUUACCCCUGCUACAGUUGAGACGGUCCCAGUCUUUUCUCUUUUUAGGUAAUUAGGAUCAUUAAGAGGUGCUUAGAGGGGUGAUACCAGAACGAAUAGUUAUUCUCACUUUAGGUCAUAUGGUGUAGCUGAAAGAUCUACAAGUGUUUACCGUGAUUCAUCUUGAAUUCCAAUUAUGUCCCUGCAUUUCUGGUGUCCUUCUUGCUUCACUUCUUCUACUUGGACGGGGGAAGCCACUGGAGUCCCCGCCUCUAGUUGAGGGGCUUCCGGGACCCCCUCGAUUUGUGGGGCUUCCGGGUUGACCGGAGGAUGAUGACUCCCCCGUUUCCAAAUUCGCUUUUGGGGUAAGUCAAGAAUUUCAUCUUCCCUCGGUCGUUUACCAAGUGAGGUCUGUUCCCCCCUUAAUCUUCUGCACGUGGCCGUGCCUACUAAAAUAAUAGUACAAAUAGCACAGAGUAGUACUGACGUUUCAAAUGAACUAAGUAAAAUAUUGUUCUCCAUACUUAAGAAAGCAUGAUUGUAGCUCCGCUUCUUGCUUUGCUCUAAGCAGAAAGACUUAUCUGAAAUCGCAGGUUGGGUUUUCCAACCAAAAGAAAGACAUGGGAGUCUUUGUGCAUCUUCUUCUUCGUAACCCAAGGACCGACGAACAGAAAUUGAAACAACGCAACCGUACUAUACUAUCUAUUUACGAUAAUUUGAUUGCUGACAACAUCACGCUUCUCUUUCUUAUUCUUUUUUAUAUAACUGUCACUUUACCGGGCCGGAAAAGUGACACCGUCACGUCUCAGGGUCGUAUGCCUGGAACAAGAAGGGUCGUCGUACAAUUUCCAUUUCGGCGAUUACAAAAAAGAAGGAGGCGAGCUCCCUAUCCCUCUUUGUCUUUCCACUUCCGGAACAAACACUUCGUAAAAUUAUUUUGAGUCCCGGCCCGGUUUUUCCCCACUAACCAAUUACGUUACGACCACUGAACAAACUUGGUUGACGAACAUGGUUUAUGCGCCGCUAAUCUAGCGGCUUGUCGAGCAUUUGACAAACUCACACCAUCCAUUUCAAAUGGGAUUUGUCCCGUGGACACACGAGCAAUCCAACCCGUAGGAUUUCCUUUUCCUCUUCCCAUUCGAACUUCUGCGGGUUUCCCCGUAAUAGGAAGAUCUGCGAGAACUCUUACCCAUAUCUUACAAUUUCUUCGGAAUUGUCCGCUCAUAGCACGACGGAAUUGUCCGAUUGUAGCCCGACGCGCUGCUUCAAUGGCUCGAUAUGAAAGACGACCAGCUCUACUACUUUUGGUGCCAUAUCUUCCAAAACCAAGUUGUGUACCAUCCGGUUCGCGACCCCUACUACAUCUGCAUUUACUAUAUUUACUAUAUUUCGUACGUUUCGGAUAUAGCACGUCCCUUCUUAUUUUGACUAUAUGAGAUCCGCACUUUGACACCUGAAAUUCCGUCACGAGUAGAUACUUCCGCAGGAGCAUAAUCGAUUUUCUGGUUAAAUACAUUACAAGAUGUUUUUCCAUACUUUCCGCAUUCAGUUCUAGCUAUUUCCGCACCCCCUAAUCGACCAGAACAACAAAUACGUAUCCCCUCCACCCCUUUUGGCAUUAUUAAUGGAAUAUCCUUAACUAUUUUACUAAAAAUGGAACGAAAUGAGAUUGGAUUGUUCCUCAGUUGAAAAGAGAUGUCUUGAGCAAUCAGAGAAGCACUUUGAUAAACUGAUUUGAUCUUUACCGACUCAAUUAAGGUAUUAGUGUUUGUUCUAUUAGACAAAAAAGAUCGCAUUUUUUGCACUUCGUUCAAAUAAGAGUUGUACCCGUACGGAAUUCUCCUCUUUCUCAGUAUGAUCUCUAUCAUCAUCUCUAUUCCCUUUAUCAAUUUGCCUAUCCUACCUAGGUCUAUGAAUUUCUCUAUCAAUUCCAUUACCUUAUCCUUACCCAUGAGGUUCCUACAUUUGAUCCUUAAUUGACCUAGGAGUUGUUCCCGGGCAUACUCAUAAAAUGGGUUAUUAUACACCCCAACCCCAUCCCUUGAAAAAAAAAAGGUAGCACCGAAGAAAGGAAAGAGCGAGAUGGUGGUUUUUGUUGUUCCCGCGAAGCGAAGAUCAUUCGCUUGGCGAAUGAAGUGGAUCAACCUCUUUUUGGCUCGGGCCAAACACUUUUUAUCGCUGGUCGAGCUUUCUACAAAAAAAGCGAUGCGAGAGCGUAUUCUCUUAUCUAAGCUUCCUCCCUUCGCUCCCCCCAUCGUAGAUGGUUCAGCCACACCCGGUGCCACGAAAUGAUUGAGAACUACGACGGGGUCGAAAUGCAUUUUGUUCUUUGUAUUAAAAAAGUAUUGCAUGACCGAAUAAUUCAAGGAGGGGCGCACAGCGGGGAGGGUCCUUUUUAGUAGAUGACUCGUCGGGCCGUCAGAGCGGGACUUCUUUGGUAAAAAAAAGAACUUGAAUAACUUUGUUUUUAUGAAGGAGUCGUCAUUUUCUAUCAGGAAGGCUAUGUCAUUUACAACCCCGGCGUAUUUCGGAUGCUUGAAGGCCCCGCUCACCCGAAGUGAUUUAGAAAAAUUCUUCUUUCUCGAUGGUGAUCGGUCAUGGUAUCCAUAACGUUGCAUCUUUUUCGGCCAAAUCCUGAUUUCGUUUUGCUUCUCCCGGUCGAUCGACUCGACUCUUUUCCCUGCCCCCCGGCCUCUCACUUCGUUUCGUUCUUCCUCUGUACCCUCGCUUGAAUGAAGACACCCGAUCGGCCCGACUUUCCCAAAUGCCCACCACCGGCCCUUAUCCUUUCCGGGUCUUGAUUUGUCGCGUCGUUUUAGUCGUAGUGGUCGACGGGGAAGAAAGAAAUGAAUGAAUGUCCUUUUGGGAAAAUGUAGAAUAAUACACCUACCGAGACGAAAGCCAAAGGUGAGUCUCGUAGGUGGACGUAUCGAACUGAAAUAAGAUCUAAGAUUGACAUCUUGAUACAAUGAUUUACCAUAAUAAUAAAUAGAGUCAAUGGUGACAGAGCCGUGGGAAAAGCCGCUUCUUUUUUGCGGCGGGGGCUUCCAUUCACCAGCGCAGACUACAUACACGUGCUCUCUGAACCGUGCUAGAUAGUCACCCAUCACACGGCUCUCAAACCCAACCUGUGGUGGAUCCCGGGGGACAAAGCAAAGUAAAAGCGCUUGAUCCUUUGCCCCAUACUUGGAGAUCUUCCUCCCCGCCGAUCAAGCAGCAACGCUGCUCGUGAUAGGCUUAGCUUAAGCCGCUAACGUUCGGUUCGGAUAAGUAAGAAAGUCCCUUCGGUCGGUUCGCUCAGGUGGUCUUCCCUUAUUUUCCCUAACGUUCAGAGUUGUUCUGGUUUUAGAAAGGAGCACCGCCAAGUCCACUAGGGGCGCCCUGAAUGAAUAAGAAAUGGACAGCUGAGGCAUAUCUCAGUAGCUUGCAUGAAAAAUAGAAGAUAAUAAGUUAGAUGUCGAUUACACACCUGAGGUUGGUAAGAACUGAGGGACAAUGCCCCCCUCGCAGGGCCCAUCAGCGAAGCAACUGCUACUUAAUCGGGCGGUUUGCUUUCGUGCAAGGCCCCCGCUGCUGGAACAGGCGGUUGUCAUUUUCAAGUAAACGCCCCACCCCAGAAGGACGCCCUCGCUCUAUUGGCAAAACGCUUCGAAAGAAGAACGUAUCGCCAAGGCCCCGACCGGCCGGCCCGCCCCCUUUCUUUGCCCGCCGGCCGCCUAGCUCGUUAUUCUUUGAGAUCUGGAUAGAGUCUCGCUUCGGGGCGGGGGAAGCAUGGAUUCGAUAGAUCUAUCGAAUCCAUGCUGCAAGCAGCAAGCGUAGGCUAAAAAGGCAAUAGUCUAACGUUGGGGUAGGGCGCGCCAAAACAACCGGGGGCCCCGGAGGGGUCAGUACAAAAGUACUAUAUUCUUUCCACUUACUUUCAUUGGCUAGCUGCCUUUUGUAGCGCGCGUACUCUGAUCCUCUUCUACGAAUCUACAACUCUCUUUACUGAGCGAGACUUCAUCUAUAUCCCUAAAAGUGGAUUUUGAUUCCCAUUUUUUCUUUGAAUGACAGCUUCAACUAGGCUCCACCUUAGAGAGGGUUUUCGGUUUUUUUUAAUCAAGAUAGGGUCAGGGGCGCGUCGGAACGGUAGCUGCAAGGUCUCAUCCGAGAGUCCAAUCUCUUUGUACUGUGCUUUUAUGUCUUUGAAUAAAAAAGAAAGAAGGGGGUCGAUUUAGGCUCCUUCCCUUCCACUGCAUAGCUGCGCUAUCAGGUACUACGAGCCCUCUGCCCCACGCAUCUAACCAGCUCGCGUGGUUCACCGGUUCCACCGAAAACUCUCAUUUGUUGAAGCGGAGCAUAGUGCGGCGCCGAGCGAAAAAGGUCUCUUUUUUCGGUUUAUUCACUGAUCUGAAAUGAAACUUAGCACUUGUUUUUUUCUUGAUUCCUGGGGCUAGGCGUUCGCAGAAUCAGUCUAUCCGAACCGCAGACGCACUUUUAAGAUCAGUGACGGCCUCUCCAGCGGAGCUGGGCGCCGGGGCCCUGGAUGCGCUAGCGAUCGGCACAUUAGGGGAGUAGAGUACUUGCCCGGGUUUCUCGGCCUGGUAUCCUUAUCCUCGCGUUCAUGAUAUCUACAUUCAACUGUGCCCCGGAGACACGGUCGAAGCACGCCCGCCCCGUGUGCGUCUUUCACGACAUGCUCUGGUCCCGGGUUUCUUCCUGUGGUCUUCUAGCGUUAGAAGAAGUCGUGUCCGUCCCGGACAUCUGCAACGUCCUCUCACGCCUUUGGGGGGACAAACAAAGAUCAGGAAAAGACGGACCGAACCCAUUCGGUGACUUUCGCGGUCGCCCUCACUGAACCGACUUGGAUCUGAACUACGAUUCAGAUCAAGUCUUACCGAAAUUGGAUUUCCUUUUCGUGCCAUAUGUCGCUUAGACUUUACUUUUGCCCCUUUCUGCCCUUUCCUCUAUUUGUUCGAUAGGGUCCUCGUUCUAUUCUAAUUCUAAACCCAUUGUCGUCCACAGUUUCCUUGUCGACGCGAAGGGGCAAGCAGCCCCCAAACAAAGUCUGAGAUCAGAACUCAUACCGCGGUUGUGGCCGCAUGCAAGUUCUUCAAUAUUUAGAGAGUAUGUGUUAGUACGAGAUCGCGCUAUCAACUUAUUUAAUCUUUCUCGAUGAAGCAAGAAAACGGAUGCGCCUAGCGCUAGUUGCUCAAUCCGUUGCUUGUUUGGUUGAUUAGGACAAAAUUGUAUCCCUUAGGAACCGUACAUGCACCUUUGUUUGGAUGCCGAUUGAAUAUUGUUACAAUACGAAAUACUUGAAGGCCACACGCAAUUGACUCACCUACAUUUUAUGCUCCCACCUUUUUGUAGACUCAGCUUCUGCCUCUGGGGAAGCACUCACAUUAUGAUCGAAUUACAAUGUGCAGGUUUUGUGACCACCACUGAUGCUUGCUGUGGGCUGGGCAAGUAUGGAGGCCUAUUCUAUUCAUGUGUGUUCUUCCACGGAUGGCGUGCUGCGACGCAUCGAGCCAUGUCGGGUGCAAUUCAUCUAACUAACUCCACCUUCCUCCUACGGGUCUGCAGUCAAAAGAGUUGUUCAGUCAUAUGGUAUGUAUACAUAAAUCUGCUUUUCACUCUUCUGCAAUGGGAUUCGGACAUGAUCCAAUCGACCUUCCUCUACUUGUUGAUGGCCUGUACUGUAAAGAAGAGCCCAGCGGAUGGAAGCUGUUGAGUGGAGCUUCACCUGGCUGGAUAAAAGCACUCUACCUAGGCUUGUAAUAACUAGUACUUUCUAUAAUGCUUGGUUCCAACUAAUAAUACAUCAUGGUACCUUAUAUUCUUUAACUACUAACGGAACUGAGAUAGGCCUGCCUGGGUAAAGAAUAAGAAAAAACGUUCCGGUAAUAGAGAUUGCCUUUAGCAGGAAGAUGAGUAGAUCGCUCACCUGGAACUUCUUAGCCCUCUUUCCUUUAGAAGAAAAACCUUUGUGAAUGCUCGCCCUGGACCAAGGCUGGCUAUAGGCGGAUCGCCCAACCGAUCAUAAUCAUAGGUUCAACCACACCAGAAAAGUGUUUAUACAUUUGGAAGACUUACUACACUGGAACCUAGAUAUCAACUAAACUAGGAAGUAGAAGCUAGGGCAGAGCCGUUUGUUUACCAAACGAACUUAUCGCCGUGCUCGUGGGCUAUGCUUCAAGUGCGGGGAACUACCCUGUAUGCGGUCCAUGUACCCUCGCCUGCGGCUCCUGUGCUCAUGGUCCCGUUUUUUCUCUUCGCUUCGCCAAAAAGAAAGGAAGAGAAGAGGUCGGAAAGAUCACACACAGUACGAAAGCAAGCAUAAACCAAACGAAAACCGAUGUAGCGAGAAAGAGGGCACCGUCCUUCCUUUUUGGAGCCAAGGGAGCCUUUGGCCUAUCUGUCAGUAUGUUGUGCAUUCUCUCACUUCCAAAAUAGCAUAUAAUGGAUGUCAUGUACCAGCUAUCUCUGAAAAGGUAGAAGGGCCCUUUAGGGACAGCAAGAGUUGCUUAGUGCUCAAUAGUGCUUGCAAAGAACGUUCAAGAUAGCUGACUGACUGAGCUACUUCCGUAAUAGGGGUCCUUUCUUUUCAAAUCCGACCCACCCCCAUCGAUUUUAAAAUAUGCAUUGAGAAAGAGCUUACCGGUAAAUACCCUAUCCCCUGUCUGAACUCUUGGAAGAACUUAGACUUGGGCACUUGUAACAUGGUUGGAGGCAUAGACUUGGAGUCCAAACGCCAUUCCCUAAAACCUUAUGAGUAGCUUACUAUCCUGCCUGGGUACUUCGCAAGUCCUGCUGCUAUCCAAUUAGGCUGGCUUCAUUACGUAGAGCGGAUCCACCCAUACAUAAUAGGAGUACUCUUAAAGUAAGACCUUUAGAGCCUAUAUAUAGUAUAGCUUAGUAGCGGCCGGCUGUUCAAUUUGAGAAAGGCCCAUCUCCUGAUUGUCUCAAAUCGAAUAAAACUCUUUAGCAAUUGGUCUGACAGAACGGAUGGUAAGGUGGGGGACCCAUACCUUUAUUCUAUUCCCGUGCUUAGAGCGAGUGAAUGAAAAGCUACGCCUGCUGCUUGUGUUGAUUGAAAAGAAACCUGUCUAAUUGAAUAUGCUAGUAAUCAAUCGCUGCGCGCCUCUCAUCAUUUCCUGUGCUUCUGCUCGUAUGCCAAUAAGUAAGUUUAAGCUUUAUGCAUAUGGCUCAAAUCUCUUUGCUUUUAUUUAUCAAUUAACAACUUCUUUUUAGCUCUGACAUGGCCUAGAAAAAGGUGGUGUCAAAGCCUGGAAUGCUUGGAAAUCUCAUUAUUGGCAAAGCAGAUGCAUACAUAGUUAGGGUCAAAGAGUUAUUGAAGAAGUCAUCAUGUGAUCGAUUGACCAGGAAAUAACCUUAUUUGGACUUAGAAGCUACUGGUGCGGAAGAAGGAAGCGUAGCUGAGUCAUUCCUUAUAUCGAAUCUUAUUACCAGCUUUCAUAGUGAGCAAAGCACCCGGCGCAGUACAAGGCUAAGAUGUAAGUAGGUGCACAGUACCCUCACGCAAUAGCAUUUAGUGGAGCUAUUAAAAAGUAGAUGGAGUAUGCUUUUCCGAAGAAGAGUGAUCCUGGGUAAAGGCAAAGUGUGUCAAGCAGGAAUAUCGUUUUUGGAUCCAUGCAUAAGUUGGCGAAGAUGGUCUAACUUAAGACUUUUCAACCUGAGCAUGCGUGCUGUGGAUUUGAUGUGGAAAGAAGGAAGAAAAGGUUGGAUAGCUCUAUAAUUAAUAAGAAUCUCAAGUGAAAGGGAUCUAUCCUGUUGCAGUGAAGGUUAUUAAAAAAUAGCUUGAACAGAAGUUCGGUAUUCAAAUAACAUACCGAAAUAAAAACUUUGGCAAGGAAACUAAUUAGCAAUGUGGGGGAUAUAUGGCUUAAAGUGGGAUGAUUCUCUCAUAGAAGUAGGGGCAGGAGGAGAUAAUGAGUCUCAAUCCAGGCAGUGUUGUGGACGUCAGCGGUAGAGAUAAACUCAAAGACAAAGGAUGAGAUUUGCAUCCAUUAGCCAACAUUUCCAACGCUUUCUUAUUGCUCUUGGUGCCUAACUCGCAGACAUUAAUUGGUGUACUCUCUGCAUUUCACCUCAAAGUAAAAUGGAAGGGUCUUCUUUCCGUUCCGCUGCGAACGCAGUUUCUGGAUUUUGAGCUUGCUUUUGCUCUUAUGGAAAAUGAGAGGAUGAAUGGUAAUGCUUUUUUAGAGCAUAGCAUGAAGCAAUAGGGAUGAAGGAGGGUCUUGUUCGUAAUCCAUGCAAAAAGGCUUAGUAGAAGCAGUGAAAAAGGUGCACACAUCGGACGCUUUAGUAGCCUGCCUUUUACCACUUACUAUACCACACCACAAGUACACACAGGUACUGGCCUUAAUCUUUGUCAUUAAGUCCGCACACCCUUCAAUUUUCCAUAGUAUGCUACGAUAGGUUCUUCUUGUAGUAGGUAGAGCAAGCAAUUCUUCACUGAAACUAGGGAGAGGGCGAAUAAACGACCGAACUACCAUCUAUCAUAAGGAAAGUACCAGGGCAAGGGACUUGAAUCUCAUUUUGCUGGAUAACUCUUUCCAAAGCUGCAAGAAAGGUAAAGAAUGAAAACAAAUACUUUAAAGAAUACAAGCCUUAGCCUAGUUUCAAAGAAGAAGUUUGUUCCGUCUUAUCUUCUAUGAAGGCGGGUAGGGCUCUUUUCACAUUACCAGUGGAGUUUCUCUUUAUUCGACCCAGACUUUGAAGCUAAGGAAACACCUUCUAGUUUCAAAAUGUAUAUAUUAACUGGUCCCUAUUCAAAUAGAAAGUUUGACCUCAACCCUAUUAUAAUCAUGCUACUACACCAUGGCUAGCAUCCCUAUGACAAUGACCAGUUCGUGCCCAUUCUAGCCAUGCCCGUGCCAGAGACGGAUCAUACCCUAUUGACUUAGGCUGAGCGAAGCUUUCUUCUUAUGCUGUGUCAUAGCCUAUGGGAAAGGCCAGUUGCCCACUAGCAUAACUAUCCUACGCACGAUUUUGAGUUGUCUGCUCUAAUAUUCGCACUGAAGAUCUGUGGGUGCCGACUUUUCAAAAUCACCAGACAAUAAAAGAAAAAUGCAUCAGGAAUGAAAUCUGACACAGCGUGGCUGGAACUAAUUAAACAUUACGAUCUCGUCAAGGAUUAUGCAGCUAAGGAGUGGUGGCUGAGGCAGUGGAAAGAGAAAAGCCAAUAUGGCGUGGUGACGAGUGAGGUGCAACUCUUGAAAUAGAUGCAGCAGAUUUGUGCCUUGGUAAGAAGAAUUAGUGGACAAACUGACAACGAGAGAGGGGGGACCGAGCCAACGAGGAAGAGCACUGUUCUUAUGCUAAAAUCCAUUAUGGUACAUACACCGGGGCAGGAUACCCGAUAGGCAUAGGCAAGGUGGAAGAGAUCAAAUAAGACAUUGAGAAAAGGAUGCAAAAAAGAAAAGAACGAAGUUGCAAGAAAGAGAGAAAAGAGCAUACUAUAGACUCCGCGAAUACAAGUCAGUAGACUCAGCGAUUACAAGUCAGUAUUUGUCUCACCGUACGUCUUCUUCACCCCGACUUGCUUCUUUCUGCUCUUUUCAUUCAAAUAAGCUCUUCCCACAACCUUUCAUUGCCAUUUGUCUUCGAAUCCUCUUCGGCAACGCUGGGCCGGUCGAAGGGCGCUUCCAGCUCGUUAAAGCAACCACAGGAGAAGAACCACAAGGAACGGCACUACAGGUAUGGUACGAACCAUGCUCUAAGAUUGAUAAACUACAUCAUCCAAGACUUCAAUACGAAUCCAUAGGUGAGGAGAGCAAGCCAAUGAAGUCAGCCCAUUAGCUAGAUUGGCAAUAAGCAUUACAGGAGUCAGUCUGUCCAGUAUGUAAGCCAUGAGUCUACUACUUAAGCCUAUGCAGUCUGUCCAGUAUGCCUCAUGCUGUAGUAUGUCCGAUAUGUCAUGUAAGCCAUGGAGUGUAUGGACUAAGUAAAAGCAAUGGGCUAGGAUUGGGACUGCCUACCUUCUACAACCAUUCCUACAGGACACCAACUAUGCUGCCUAGGGCUAUCAUGAACACAAGGACAGAGUGAGGAUUUGAUUCACCUUAAUCGCUACGCGCCUUGAUUAAUGAUAUUUAAUUCAUCCUUUCUAUAUGAUAUUGAAAGAGUCUAGUGGGUGAGAAAGAUCAAGUAAAAUAAAACUCCAAGACUUCAAUACGAGUCCUAUAAACAAUAAAGGGACAGUUAAAGAGAACAGACUAAACAGUAGCGGAAGGUAGUCCAUUACAGAUGCCGCAGUGCCUUUAUUAAUUAUAAAAGCAGUUAUGACUAAACAGAUGUCACAGUAGCCCAAGCCAUAGGCCCUUACUUAAUAUAAUAUAAUAGGCUUUCUUAUCCACGGAAGAAAAUGUGUGGUACUGGAUGUGGCCUCCCUAAUAUUUGAAUCGCAUCAUCCCCGGUGCCAUGAUCUAUCACUUCCUUCGCAGUUUUCUUCUCCUCAACGAAUGAUAAAAUAGGAUCACCUCUUGCACCAAAGCAACACACUAAUAGGUAGUCUCAUCAUAGGUCUAAUCUUGCCCCACUUUCACUAAGGGAGAAGAAUCAAAGGCUUUGACUUAGGCACUGCUGGCCCGUACGGAAGUGCUGCGAGCAGAAGUGAAAUGAAUGGGCAACGAGUCCAGAUGUAUGAAUUCCCUAAAUGGAUGGAGACGAUAUUCUUCAACAACAAGAUGAAGAAGGAAAAGCCGAAGUAGAUGACCUAUGAAUGGGGGAAAACCUACAGAUGAAAAGCAGGAUAUAAGUUUGUUUGAUAGUAAGCUAAGCUCGUAGGAGCCGCAAGAGGCCAUGUUGGAGGAGCUAAGAGCACUUGAAAAGAAUCAAACUUGGGAUCUUGUCAAACUCCCUAAGACAGCCUGCUACGAGCCCACUAUUUGCACUACACUACUAGUUAUCUCACUUGAAACCCUUUGGAAAGGACCCACAAAUAGCAAGAACCAUAGGGCGGAAAGGGGCAAAAGUAAAGUAAAGUUGUGGCAGAGAGUAUGACCACACAUAGUUUUUUUCCUGGGUGGGGGGUUAGGUAUCCCCUUUCCUAUCUGUCUUACUUUCAUGUCCUGGCUUUCUAUUUGCAAAUUCCUAGUAGGCCAGUGUCCCUUUCAAAUUGGUUACGGGGGCCUACCUCUUUCAUAAAGCUGGAGUCUUUCCCAAGCACGCUUAAUGGGGCAGGGAUACGGUUUUCUAACCAGUUGUUUACCAGAAAGUAUAAGUUUCUACUUUUUGACCAUCCCCGCUUAGCGCCCUUCGCUUCUUUGCAAUGGCUUUCGUUCUAAGCACUAGGCUAAAAAGAAGCUUCUUCCUCUGUGAAAAUAAGUCAGAUUUAGUUGAGAUUCGGCUUUGCCUUAGCUUGGCCAACAGUCCAUCCGCUUUCAGUAUUGAUGAAGAACGCAGGUACCCUAUAAGCAGAAGUACAAGCCAACGCCGAGAAGAUAGGAAUCAGUAAGAAGUCGUACAAGCAUAGCAUGAAGCAAUAGGGAUGAAGGAGGGAUAAGAUAAGACUCAAGAGCUAUAAGCUAACCUUGGGGUUCCUUAUAAGCAUAAGCACUUGUCUUCUUUCUAACAUCACCAGGUGUCAAGCCACCCGGUUCUCUUCCUCUAUCCUUCUGUACGAGUUAUCCGGUGCUUAGGCUUGGAUUCCUCCCACCUGAGCAUUCUACUUCCCCCUAUUGGCUUACAACUCUCGCCCUCUAGUUACAUACUAUCUUCUUACUGUGGAUCACCAUCUUGUUAGGCAUUCCACGAAUUCCAAAUUUCUUUAAUGCGACUCAAAAAUUAUUGCGAUAAGUUAGACCUGCUGGGAGGAGAUUACCUCUGAGAAACUUCUCAUUUUUCUUGGUGGGACAGGGUUGCUUGUCUCUUUUACAGAUAGUGGGGGCAUCAAAGUUAGGAUUCCUUUAAAGAUGUGGGGGAAAAGUAUUAGCACUGGUAGACUGGUCCAGGAGUUUAGGGGUGGCCUUAACCGUCUCACAAUGGCAAACUUCCUCAAGCUACUCAAUGAACACGUUGAGGCCUACCUACGCACUUCUUUCCAAUAUCCUCUAUCUAAAAAUCAAGUCGUUACGCAUUUCUCGCUUCCACAAGGACGAAAAAAUAGGACGAUUACGGAACUUUUUCUGUCCCCAACUUUUCCCACAUUUAUUCGUUUACUUUUUCGUAUCACUAAUUCAGGAAAGUCCCUCUAUGGACUGAUGUUCUCCGUUUUACGGAUCCAAAAGUGGGUAACGCAUUGCGAUCUCUAGAUUUUAUGGCUGAUGCUUAUAAUAUGCCCGCUGCAGAAGCGAAACCUGUUGCCAUCGUCAUUUCAAUCACAAUUAAGGGAGACCGAACGGGUUCAAGGCAUUGGGCAGAAUGAACGCUUUUUCCUCUCCUUUAUCCUUGGAUUUCUACCCUUAACCAGUACGACGAUAGGAAAGAUAAGUUGAUAAGCGAACUCAGAAAAGGAUCAAUUCCAGAAGAAGAGACCUCGACUCUGAGUUUAGUAGAGUAUAGUCCACGGUGAACGAACGAGUCCCUAGGAUAAGUUAAAUUGGUAGGUCGAGCUAAGCCAGAUGAUUAGUAAUCAAGAUUAGACCAAAACAACUACCGGGGAAAUCCUCAACGUGAUAAAAUACUAUUUCAUUGAGAUGAAAGAUGCAAAUGGCAAGUCCUCAAUGUGGACGAUCCCCAGAUAUACUUCUGCUCUUCUGGGAAAUUAGAUGGCAAAUAAGCAUUCGUCAGGAAGGAGGGACGGACUUUGCUUUGGCGGGAUCAGGAAUUUCCAAAUCCUACUCUUUAUCACCUUAGAUUAUAUAUAAUGAAGAAGAAAGGAGUGAUUCCUCGAGUAGAUUUAUGUUUCUGCUGAAUGAAUAAAUAUGAGAUGGAGGGUCACACUUACGAUGGCACGCACCGCACUUCGAGAGGAAGGGGUCUUCGGUUCGCAUUCUUUUCAUCGUCGACAACGCGCUAGUUUGCGAAAAAUCCCUUGCCUUGCUUCUUAGGAGGAGAGGAGUACGCAUCCCGUGCCAACUACAUAAUGCCUGAUGGCCAAACAAGGCUUCUGACUACGAAAGACACCACCCCAGCAGGGAAAGGCGUGAAGCGUAAAAAGCAGCUAAUCUGGAAGUCCGGUAGUAAUCGAAGUAAUCCGUCAAGGCGAGCCAAAGAAGGAACCGAGAAAUCUGAGAAUUGGCAAUCCAGAAGUGGGUGUCGGAAAAGAAGAGACAAGACUUUCCCUCAUUCAUUCCUUAGAUUAGGACGGGGAAGCUUCCUAGAGAGUAGUUAACCCGGGUUAGCUUUGAUGGACUACUUACUGGCGCACGGUAUUCAUAUGAGAAAAGGUUGUUCGUGGAUAACAGUUGUAUUUCUUUACUUGACCCGUACUUCCUUCCCUUAACCUGAUCCAGCUAGUCUUUCCUAAGAGAUAGGAAGCCGAGAAACUAAACAGGGGAUAGCUAUCGAGAGAAGCAUCGAAAGUAUAGAACCCCGGAGCGAGGGGAAGGUCGGAUCCUUGACCGAGAGGAGGCCAUCCCGAGUUGGUAAGAGGUUGGAAAAGAGGAAAGCAGCUACCCGACCGCGCUAGUUGCUCAAUCCGUGGCUUGUGAUACUAAAGAAACCAAGCAAGAAAACGGAUGCUAUGCUAGUUAGCGCUACGAGCAAUCAAACGGAUAUGCUCAAAGGAAAGAACGGACAUUUCUACGAGUGAACUCUUCAUUCAAUAAACAAAGCAUGAUUGGAGCAAGCUGCCUUGACCAAUAUACUGGACCAUCUGAGAAGAAAGGGGUGAUUCCUACUAUGACACCAGAUAAUCCACCAGAGAAUAGUCAAUCCUAAACUAGAUAAAGCCGAGUAUGCGAGGAAGCCUAGGUAGCUGUUUGAUCGGAGGAAGCACGGCGGAAGGAGGCGGCUAGAACAUUCCCUCAAGGAAGAAGCCAUAUGUUGUCUUACCAUGAGCUGUAUCCAUUGGUCAAAAUGGAAAUCAUUGGUUAUUAGUUCGGAAAAGAGUAUCAGUCCCGGAUAAAUCCACUUAAGAAGCUGCUUCUUUUGCUGGGAGCAAGGAACGAACAAGAAAGGUCUUGAGCUGCCAAGAAGAAUUCAAAGCGUAGGGUGCACUGCACCCUGGCGGCUACUCUGGUUAAUCGCAUUACGGUGAUCGUUCUUUCCUUCUGGUCUCGUAUCCAUGCCCAUGCUUUCUUCUUUGCGCACUGUUCGUUAUGUCCUUAGCCUCCGCUUUGCAAUCAUUAAAUGAACUAGUACACUCAAUCGCUGGUUCGACAUCUGCCUUCCCUUCUCUGGAGCAGUUAUGUAGAUAGGAGUGGUAGGAAUCAGCGAGCAUGUUGCCAUUCGAGGUAGUCCAACCUUCCUAUUAAUUAGAAUUCUGGGUAACCCUAUCGUUGAUUGACGGAUCGGAGGGACUAAACUGUUCCCUUUCCUUGCGGUUAUCUAUUUCCUGUUCGUGCUGCGCCAUCAGAUUAAUCGUAUCGUGAUCCUGGUAUCGCUCGAGCAUCUCUUUCUGAUGAAACCUUUGCCCUUGCUUUCUCCACUACACCUGGUAACGCACAGUGCUUCUUUCUUCGAUCUAUCCAAGGGAGGCUUAUUCCUUUAAGCAGAGUAUCCAGUUCGGCAUUCCCCUUUUCUUUCUGAUCGUGGUCCUUCUCCUUUAUCCGAAUCCGAGUGACUUCCUAUUCGAAAAGAAACAACUACUGUCACUCAAGAAAGCAGAUCAAGAAAGCUGAGCCAUAACUUCACCUCCAACCCAACCCUAUGCUAAAGAAGGUGCAAGAAAAGCUUAUGCUGGUGCAAGAACUUACCCUCUCUACGAAAGAGACCUUGCCACAGCCCACUUCCUCGGACGAGUUAUAUUCCUUUUUUGCUAUUACCCCACUCUCUGCUUCUUCUAUAUCUGAUGAUACCUUAGCCGAGGACGAAAACGACUACGACGAAGAAAAACGAAUGAAGGCCGAUUUCCUUUUCCCGGUGGUGGGUACCUCGACUCCAAUAACAAAAGAAGAACAGUCUCCCGUACUGCCAAUCUACACUACACGAAGAAGGGAGGAAAGCCGUUGAUUGAUUGCAGCCUCGGUUCAAAUCUCUUGUCUGUUCUCUAGUCUCUAGCAGCAAGGAAUGAUUGCCCCGGCCCACGCUUGGAAUAAUAGGGUUGCCUACUUGAAUGCUGGACACACUUUUUCUGAUCUGCUGGCAGCCGAAUUGGAAACAAGGUCAGAUAUCAAGAGAUCCAAUCUUAGGCUGUAUCAAACUUCCGACUUCAUGAACUCCCCUUCCACCUAUCAAGGUCCAAAGGACCGAUAUCAGCUCCCAUCCCAUCCCGACAAACAGAAAUGAUCUCAUUCAUUCACAUCUGGUACCAAUACCAAUCAAUGUGUCAGUUCACUCAAUGCGAGUAGAAUACGAAAGACAGAACAGGGACCUGGCCAAUGGAUAAGAAAUGGGUAGAUUCACACCGGCCUCAAAGAGUUGUCAGUCCCUUUCGAGUAAGCAGCCUAGCCGGCGAUUGUGACAGAACUCGGCUAAGAGGUCAAUGCUAAGAAGCAGUCAACUCAAUUCAAGUCAAGGUGCCGGGAUAGCCACUAUUUAUCCGGCCAGUGGAAUAGCUUUCCACCGAGCCCCAAGCAAGUAAGUAAUUCGCUUUCCUCCGUUCGUGUAAGCACUCAUGCUUCCACUUCACUCCAGAAAGGAAGCUAAGCUCAUUUCUGCCAUAGAAACAAACUCAUUUCGGGGCGGGGUUCUUCCCUAAUUGGAUGCUGAACCAAGCAAGAAAACUUAGGAUGUGCUAGACUCGCGAUAGUGAGUAAGAGGAAAGCGUUAGCGCAACUGCUUUCCAGCUAGAAAACAUCAUUUCAAGCACUGGCCUUCCUAAAAUACGGACUAGAACUCAUCUCAUCCAUUCCCAAGGCUAGCUCUGUUUUGGUGCGGGUCUAGUAGACAGUUCCCUCUCGUGGUUUCAUACAUCCAUAGAUUUGCAUUCAGGAUAUCAUCCGUGGGUACAGGAAAGGUUGACUUCUCUCCUUCCAUCAAGUCCAGAAGCAAGGUCAAUCAAGUGCAGGAUCAGCAGGAGCGCGCCCAUUCACUAAUCGAAAUCGUCUUUUCUAACGAUUUAUGGUAUGGCCCGAGACCAGAAAAAGAGUAGGAAUGAUAGAUUCCGCUUCCAAAACAAGGGUUCAUGAGCCUGUUUCAGAUGAUUCCUGUGUUCGAUUCGAAAGGUGACGGGCCUAUUCCGUCCAAUGACCACAAAUACAAUCGUACUUUUGAUUCUCUUAAAGCACUGAAGAAGCACUGAAGUCUAUGGCACGCUUUGGUUGAGCUGGCCUUGGUUCUCACAUGAAUCACGUAAGCAGAUUUGACCUCUGGAAACCACAAUAUGGAUUUCGAAAACUGCAUUUCCCCGUGAUUUUAGGCAUCACUCUUGCCCUCUAUGGACGGUACGAGGAAAAGAAGAAAGUGUGUUUCGUUUUGCACAAUCAAUGGACUUCAACCGAUUCUUCAGUUGGCUAAGAAGAAGGCAGCCAACAGGAUGGGAAACUUAAAAUGGAUAAUGCCCCGGCAGGCUCGGCACUCAUGCUUUCAGGCAGGCGCGGAGUUCAUCCCACUAUACUAGACUAGGUUCGCGAGCCCUGUCCGAUUGGACGAUAAAUCUUAUUUUUUCAUAGUUUCUUUCGAAACAGCCCGCAUUCCCACUCUUCCUUUUAGGAAAAAAAAUAAACAUGUGAAGAAAGCCCGCUAACCCACUCUUCCUUCCCUUGCCUAGGUAGGGAUAUGCAAGAAUAAGCAGGACAACCUACCUUAUGAAUUCAGUAAUAUGACGCUAGCUUAGCUAAAAUAGCAAAAAAUAAACUCAUCUUAGUUGGCAAUAUGUCUUCUUUCUUUGUUCGUAACUUUAAACUCAUUGAACUAGCGCUAAAGCACUCGCAUCUCUGAAAUUCUAGGCCAAAAGCUAUGCUGACCGAUCCAUAAAUCUAUAAACAGAGUUUAGAGAGCCAUUACUUCUUUCUUCCCUUGGAUCUGGAGGCAGACUUGAGUAUUAAAUAAUAGAACGCAGCAUGGACAACGAAUAAAGAGAAUGUACGGAACAACGCCUUCUUCUUUUUCCGGCCUGGCAAAUCCCUGACCAAAGACAGUGCCAGAAGAUAGCCAACACAGGACAGAAUACUCUCUAGAAAACAGAUCGCCAAUUGGCGACUUGGUUCAUCGUCCCACGAGUCGGUGACUCAUCUCUACUUUUUAGUUCGUAACAGUCAUAUGCCAGACGACUUUCUACUUUCCUCCUGAUGAAGAACCCCCGCAGACUCUGAUUCCUCUGGCGAACAACUUCCUUCUUUUGGGAGAUAUUAUUGAUAUGGAAAUCCAAUACUUUCCACUGUUCGACCUGACCUCUUCGCGACUAAAGACCCGCCUGUUCUAAGAGGAUACUACUUACUUAAGAAUAAGCCUCAACUCUCAGAUAGAAUAGAUCUCUUUUCAAGCUCCUAUUUAAGUGUAAGUGCCAGGACUGGACUUCCCACACGUAUUAUAUACCUGCCGAUGUCCCAAUUCAUAAAAGAGCUUCCUCUUAGCCACUUGAACUGAUUUAAGAAAUCUAUCUCUGGCAACUUGAAAACAACCCAACCUAUUCCUUGGGCGCUUAUGCUUUCAACAGAGCUGACUUCUUUGUGACCAGCACUGAUGCUUCGUCUGCUGCGAUCGGACGAUCAAUACAGAUAUAGAAUGUGACACCGUCGACUCUGCUGCCUUACAUUCUAUUAAAGAAAACCUCACAUAUAUAUCAUUGAGUCAUACUUUUAGUUUUCAUGCUCGUAUAACUGUCAAAUCACUACUAAUCCUUUCUAGACAAUCCCGGCACGGCAGGCACUGGAUAGAGAUCUGACCUUAUGGAAAUGGGAAAUGCCUAUGCUUUUUCGACUCUGACUUCCCCAUAACCUGGCGCUUCGCCCGUGGUCAAUGGUACACUGGCCAACGGCACUACGGAAAAAGGUCUAGUUGAUACUAGAGAAUCCCCGCUCCAAUUUCCUACGGCACUCUUUCUUUCUGUGUGAGUGCAUACCUACUUUCCGGAUAGUUUCCCACUUCUUAACCAGCGGCAGGCUUGCCCGUCACCCCGUCACCAUUCACAUUCACCUUGGGGGCCCCAUGCUCUUCAAGACUUCUAUGUAUGAUACCUCUCCCUCUGCUAAGCUUCCCAACCCAAACCUUUCCCGGCAAGCAAAUAGAAUAGAAUCCUAUCCUAUGAAACAAGCUUCUACUAUUCAAAUCAAACCUCAGAGUCUUCGGAUGCACGUGCUUUGUGAACAUUCCAUCUCCUGCACAAGACAAACUCAGCUGUGAAGGAAUGAAUGGGAAUGGGCUUGUCGGCUGUGAAGACUAUCAUCUGUAGGCGAGCGAAGCAAAGCCCUAGUUCAAUCUAGAGGCCGUCACGAAGGGAUCCCUCGGGUCAACAAGCAAGGGAUGAGCGCUUUGUUGCUUUAUUAUCACAUUAGAGAAGCGGAACCUCCAAGCUCAGACAUCUCGAACUCAGAAACUACCCUUCUAUCCCACCCUGCUCCUCCGGCAUCGGAAGCAGAACUACCUGACCGAAGGGAGAUAGACAGGAAGGGAAGACGGUCAUACAAAGGCCGAAUAAAGCUCUCUUGAAGCUGCAUCUGAAUAGACCUAGAGUCACUCAGUACAUACGAACCCUUGAAUAAAUAAGAAUUGAGAAGUAUGAAAUGUGGGCAUCAUAACAAAAAAAGAAAAAGACCGAACCUGUAAGACUAAUGUCUACUUAUUUAUACCUUUGAGAGGUCCACUUAGACUAUUAUUAUUUUCUCUUUAGCUACGUAGGUUAUAUAAGAUUCAAUUCAAUCUAACAAGCGGACCCUUCGGCUACCACAAGAUAUUUAGAAACCAAAGAAGCUGAGCCUACUUUACGCACUUAAGGCAGCAGCAGAUGAUGAAGAAAUGGGCGGUAGAUGAUAAUGAGAAAGGGCGCCCCUUGGCAUUUCCUGCGGGGGAGUCUGAUUGAUCCAAUCACGACGAAUGAUGUCAACCCCCUCUUUUGCGCCUAACUUGACUCUGAUUCCCCCACUAUGAGAGCUGAUCCAGGGGCUAGUUCGGCUACAGAAUGGAAUUUACGAAAGCCCGUCUUUCCGACUCAAUGUAUUGCCCUUUGGGACCAGGAUCUGACGAGGAAGUGAGAGAGGGGACACCAAACAUAGGUGCGUACCAUUGCCCCAAUCCAAUGGACUAUGUCAUACAGGGAGGAACCCAUGGAGGUUGGAAAGAAAGCAGGUUUUGCUUCUGCUUCCUUCGAGCUCCCACAGCAGUCUAGAAGUCUUCCCCAGGGCGCUAAGCGAUAAUUUCUGUCCUCAGGACGUGGGGGAGCAAGUUUCGAACCCGACACAUCCACUGCACGAUCCUUUUCAGCUGUAGUUCCGGGAUUGGAUUUACAAGGGGGCGGGAAUUCUUUGUUAGCUUUAGGCUAGCAAUCCGGUUCAAAGCCAGAUUGGCCCACUUAUUCGAAUAUAAAGAAGAGGAAGACAAACUAGCCAAGAGACAGAAAAAGGUAGAGACCAACCACCGAAACAAGGGAGUAAGGGCUAGGGGUAUAUGGGCCAAGAAAGGUCCGAUGUAUCGGUCAGCUAUACCUAAUCCUUCACUUAAAAACGCAUCACACCCUUUGUAGGUUCAAGCCGAAGUCAAGCAUGAUCACCUACUGCAAACUCCAAAUAUCGUGGUCGGCGUACCUGGUCCUGAGCAGCUUUUAAUCUAGAAUAAGUUGAAUCUUCUCGGCACUCUCCUUCAUCUUCUGUGGCCCCGUCGGUCGGUACGUGCCAACCCCAACAAAUCGGGGUACGACAAAGGUUCCCGUUCGCGUGCAUCCAGCAGGAAUUGAACCCGCAAAUUUACCAAUUAUGAGUUGGGCGCUUUCACCAUUCAGCCAUGGAUGCUUAACAGGGAUCAUCGUACAUCGUAAAUAACCAAUUUUCAUAUAGAAAGACAUAUCAUAGAAAAAUGAAAUCGAAAAUAUUCGGAGAUGACUAUGAAAACACCUCUCCGGAUCCUCGAAUUGAAAGAGAGAUUGAGAGGGAUCAAGAAUCCUAAUUCUCGCUAUUUGGAAUGGAUCCAAUUCUAUUGAGUCUGACCCAUAGUGAUCAUUUCUCUUUAGCAAAGAAUGACCUUGGUUAUCAAAGGAUUGAACAACCGAGAUCCAUUUACUUAUGAUACCUAGUUGACAUUGCUAACAAGGAUCUAAUGAAUUAUGAGUUUAAUAGAUUCUCUUUAGCAGAAAGACGUAUAUUCCUUGCUCAUUAUCAGACAAUCACUUAUUCCCAAACCUCGUGUGGGGCUAAUCGUUUUCAUUUACCAUCUCAUGGAAAACCCUUUUCGUUCCGCUUAGCCCUAUCGGGUAUUUUAGUGAUAGGUUCUAUAGGAACUGGACAAUCCUAUUUGGUCAAAUACCUAACGAAAAAUUCCUAUUUUCCUUUCAUUAAGGUACGAGGGCUUCUUAUUCCACAAGAACGAAAGCACCUUUUCAUUCUUUCAUAUACUAGGGGUUUUUACUUGGAAAAGACAAUGUUCCAUACUAAAGGAUUCGGGUCCAUAACCACGAGUUCCAGUGCACUAGAUCUUGUAGCACUUAGCAACGAGGCCCUAUCCAUUAGUAUUCCACAUAAGAAAUCCAUUAUAGAAACUAAUACAAUUAGAUUAGCUCUUCAUAGACAAACUUAUUACUGCAAUGCAAUCUCGACAUGUGGAGUGGAAGAGAAGAGGAUUUUAGCUUCCAAUACCGGAUUGAUAGCUGUGAGUGGAAGGAUGGAUGUCCUAACACGAACGGAGUCAGGUUUACUCCACAAGUGCCGAUACCUCUGCCCUCGAAUGCGGAAGUUGAUUGUGUUUGUAUCAUAUCAAGCCCUGCUCUUGUUUCUAUAUCGAUAAGUGCCAGCUCUGGCAACCCAGUUUGAAGCAAGCGCCACUUUAGCGCGUGUACAGAACUAGUCUCAGAGGAUGAUUCUUGAUUCUCUAAGCUUUUCGCAGCGCAGCCUAGGAGGUAAGGUAAAAGAACCUAGGUGUUAGUUGUUCAUUUCACUCUAGAAGUUUUUGCUCCAGCAAUCUACUUCCCAUCCCAAAGGUAAAAUCCGAUUCAUUGAUUUCGAUUCAAGAAUCUCUUAUUUCUCCGGUAGAAGGUGCCAGAAACAUGGAUUUCUUGACUGUCUGCAGAAUGCGAACCUGACCGAUCUCGUUCCUCGGGGCACUUACUCUAUUGGAGCAAUCCAUCCGGUGGGGCCAGACGCAUCGUCGGCAGACUAGAGCGAGCCUUAGUGAAUCCUGAGUGGAUCCAAAAGCAUGAAGCUUCCUUUCCUGUGCUGAAUAUCUUACGCGGGGCUGCAGUGAUCAUGCCCCAAUCCUCGUCUUAUUCCGGCUGCCAGCUCUGGACCAAAGCCAUGAAUUGAGCAUGUGGAAACCCACCCCGUAGUGAAGAAAGCUCCCGGUCACAGGAAAUCCAAUGUUUCUGAAAAAAGAAGAAACUGUUUUAGACCAAACUAGCGCUCAAAGCAUGGGAUAAGCAAUCCUUCGGAAAAGCUGGAGACAGAGUGAGGAUAUGCACUCAGGCAGUCAAAGAAAAUCGAUUCAAGCAAGACUUGAUCCCUCAAUGCUGAGCUUCUUGAUUUGAUCCAACCCCUCACUCAAAGCUGGUACAACUCUUGCAAGAAAAAGAGAGCGAGAAAAGGUCUACUCGACGAGAGAGACCCACACAUACUUUAGCCCCUUUGGGACGGUUCCCUGUAUUGCCUAAAAACGAUUCCGAUUGGAAGUAAGAAUUCCUCUUUCUCUAAGGCAAGUUCACCAUUUCAUUUCUAUUUUUGAGCAGAUCGGACUUAUGAAAGAUACGAUUUCUUCGAAUUCCCUUUCCCGAUCCACGAAGGAUGCUUGCUCGUAAACUGGUGCGCAGCGAAAGAUAUUCACUCAUAUUCUAUUUGAAUCUAAUUCUACGAGCCCCUUUUCUCCUCAAGAAAGCAGAAAGCAGGAAGAAAACACGGAAUACACGGCGGAAUACACGGGUUCUCAGACGUGCCGGAGUUCUUGGGUUGCUAGAAGAAGCUCUGACGGGCGCAGUUCAUGAUUGUGCUGGCACUUCCUUAGCGGCCUCAGCUUGAGAUAUAUUUGUCACAUCCAUAAAAAACCCUCUUGAUUCCACGUUCGCGGAUGAGCCUCUAGCCUACUCCACGGGGGUGCCAAUCUAGCGGGCCUAUCUUAUCUAUUCUUCAGCGGUUUCGACGGGAGAUGCUUUCAAUUAAGAAGGCGUCAUAUACCAUAUACGAAUGGGAAUGGGAAUGGGAUUGAUUGGUAGCAGAUGUUCAACAUUCACACAAGCCUUAAUCGACCUUAAAGAGCGUAUUCCAUAUAGACUUCCGGCUUCUUUCUUCGUAUCUCGCAAUGCUACUUUAUUUCAAUGCAACACCUCAGUUACUGCUUGAACAGCUGUCUUCUUCGUCAAUGAUUAUGGAUUCUUUCGUUGAUGCCCAGAAUGGCUCAUUCCGCAAGGAUAAGUUUGCGUAUAGAAUUAUUGAGGGCCAUGGCUCUACAGGUGUGGCCUUAAGCUACGCUCCGAAAAGUUGGAUCUUUAUGUGAGAAAGAGUAUUUAUGGUCUAUAAGUGUUUCUUACUCUUUAAACCAACUUCUUCUUAAACAAAGGGAAGAGUACACUCCACGAGAUCCAAUGAGGAACGUAUAAUUACUAGAAUCGUGCCGGUCCAGGCCCGGGACCUCCUUCUUGUCUGGUUAGCUAGCCCAGUUCAUCUAGAAUUGUCAUAUAAAGUCAAGGCGCCGGGAUUCCAAGUCUAGGUUUCUUUCCUUCUGUCUUUCUUUGGCACAAGAAUGUGGGGCUAAGUCACAGAUAGUGAAGUCAAGACUCAGCUCGGGUAAGAACGGAUGACAGGUCGAUAAGUUUACUAGUUUUGCAGCUUUACGAGCAUAACUUUAGAAAAAGGAAUCCAAUUAUCUUAGUAGCCACGUGUUGAAUAACUUUAGGGAUGAAGCCUUACCAAUCACCCUAUUCCGCCGAACCAGCAUUCCUGAUACCUUCUUCCUGUGCUUAUACUCUCUGAAAUGGAGACUAGGAUCUUUUUCUUUCUUCCGGCACCUUUCUUUAAGCUAGUCGACUCUCCCUCGAUGGAAAGUGGAUGACCGGAGGAUAAUUUCUGUUUUGAUCGCCAGUCUGGCGAGUCACUCUUUGAUUCCUUUAUUCGGGGGAGUUCCACAGAUCCAUUCGACUUUCUUAUAUAUUCCCACUCCACUUUGGCAGUAGAUCAAUUCCAACAAGGGUCUCUUGGCACAGCCACUCUUAUUGAGGAAGCUUCUUACGUAGUUGAUAUUCCUCUCCUCGAGUAUUUUCUCCUCUCCCAUUCCAUUAUAGUAGUUCCCAUUAUAGUUGUGCAAGAGGAAGUAGUUUUGAAUCAACCACCAACAGGACAAACCUCUUACUAUGGCUAUCAAUGAGAAGCCCUGAGUUUUGAAGUUAGCCUUUCUCUAGCCAGAUUAGAUACCUGAUUUAUUGCACCCAUUUCCAUUGCCAACUAACGCUCAUACGUUUCCAUUGCUGGGCAGGCUACUCGUAGAAGAAUAUAAACACAGUCUAUCAGCAGAGUUAGACUGGGCUGAGGUGGAGACCAAUACAAAGUUUCUCGAGAGACAAGCAGAAGAUCUAUCAAGUCAAUUCCAAGUUUCGGCCUUAUGGGACUAAGACUCUUUCAGAUUGAUGCUGAAAUAAGAGAAUUGACGCUCUCCUUUCGAUUCGAUACGACAUUUUGAGAUCUUUGAGCGAGAAUAGCAUCCGAACGAGAAUUCCACUGGGCUUGAAGGCGCAGGCCUUAAUGAUGUGGUGGUGGCAGUUGAUUAUUUUCUUAAGUAAGUAAGAUUCCCUAAAUAAGGACUUUUAGUGGGCCCAGGUUUAUUUCAUGAUUUUCUGCUAAAGUGCCAGUCAAAGGAUAGAUUGAUAGCUUUAUCACUCAGCUUAUCAGGUGAUUCCUGUUUAUGUUGGGGUAGGCUUGAUGGAUGGCUAUAUUCCUCCAAGAGGGAGGGGAAGAGCCCGAGUCAAAGUUCUUUGUUGACCAAUCAAAGAGAAUGAAAGAAAUAUAGAAAGAAUGGAUUAGUGUCAACUCCAUGAAUCGGUACAGGUAGAAGUAGAGGGGGCAUGCCAAAAAGAAUUUGAGAAGCCUCGUUUCUGAGCUUUUACAGCAUCUUUUGAUUCAGAAGCAUCUCCCACGAAAUCACAUAACAUAAGUGAUCCUGCGGAACCGGCUUUCCUACACUCACUGAUCCAUUCAAAGGAUUUUAUUUUCUCACGACUGAUCCGCACUUCAGCUCCGAUAUUAAUAAGCACUGCCUUCUAGCCAGUCUAGUCCCGGAGACAUUAUACUCUGGGUCUGGCAUCGCCUCGCAAGAUCAUCUAGUCUAGAUUUACUCGGGUGUGCCCGAUUUCCAUGAUCCCUAUUUCAUAGCUUGGCUUGGGUUGAAGGUGAAGUCUUUAUAUUCUAGUUAGAGUCACUACUUUAGCUUUAGAAUGAGGAACGUAUCGUAUAUAGAAUGAGGAACGUAGAAUUACUAGAAUAGAAAGGCGAAUAGAAAGACUAGUUACUCGCUCUAAAGUAUUAUACGUGAACUAUUCUCACAGAGGAAUGAAGGGAGCUGGAACCAGGCUGCCCAGGAAGGAUUUCUGAGCUCUACUCUAGUAUUGACUGGCUUUCAAGGAAUGGAGCUGCCUAUAUAAAUAGAAAAAGCUUUGCCCAGCGAGAAUUUCAUUUCUUUAAGUAAGCUGCUAGGUCUUAUUUGAUGAAAAGCAAGACAAUCCACCAUGGAUCGGAGGGGGCUAUAUACGAAACUGAGGAGCUCUUACCUCUAUUUAUGAUAAUAGAAUAGCUUUGGGUGGCUUCACUUAUCUGAUAGCCAAUGAGUCACUAUUCCAAUCACCGCCCCUCGCUCGUGCCCAUCCAUUAACGGAACGGACUUACCGUUACUAAGCUCGUAAAGAGGAGGGCUAUCUUUCUUUGAGGUUGCGUAUGAUUCUUAAUUUGAAAUGAAUGAAUCUGUUCAUAAGAUUUGGAUCGAAGAAGCUGCCUUACCUUCUUCUCAACCCCGUCUUCGAAAGAAAGCGAGCUGCUACUUUCUCUAUCCAUACUCUAUCCAUAUCUGCCACUAACAUAACUUUAUAGCAUAGCUGGAUUGGAUCCUUGGUAGGAAAAACCAAACUAAGGAACAGGACUGGAUCCUAAUGGUCAAUCACCCCGGCAGCACUUCUAUUUCGGUUAUCCCCCGCCCGCAGAAGCUGAUUCGAUUCAAAGAUAUGCGAACGAAAGGAACAUCGAACACACGAUAUGUGAUUCGAGAUGAGAUUGCCAUCCCAAUAGGAAUAGUCAUAGGGAGCUACCAGACCCCGGCCAUACAUAUCCGAAUGAGACGAACAAGCAUUCCUCCGUUUUAGGUCACUCCCUUCUCAGGAUACAUACGACUAGAGCGUAGAUACUUUACCCCCCUUCCAGUAAGGGAUCCUGCCAGAGGAAUUCGGGGAAGAGAGGGACAGCUAUGCAUCGAAUUUGGAUUCCUCUCCUCACAUUAUACGUGUGGGUGCCAAAGUCAAUAAAAAAGAGACCUGGAGAAAGGUGGUCCUGCAAGAAAUGUUUUGGGACUGGCCUCUGACUUUGAGGGACUAAAAGAUUAUUUUAUUUUAUAUCUAUUUGGAGAAAUGUCCCGGCACUUUUAUAGGUUGAGGUUCAUUUUCACCCGAUCAACCUCGUCGAUCGCAGGCAGCUCAAAGAGCGAGUGCAACAGUCUUUCUUUCUUACCUGGAUAAUGGAACAUGCUCUAGAAGCCCGCUUUUAGAAGCUUUAUCCGUCGUUCCAUUCCAGCCCCUCUUGGGAUAAUGAAUGUAGCGUAGGAUAUAAAAAGUGAGUUCUAGGCCCGAUUCGUCUAUAGAAAAAGGCUUGUCCUUUUAGAGCUCAUUGGAUAGGAGAGAAGAGUUUUCAAGGCAUUUUUCAGGACAUAUUUAUUUAUUUACUCUUUUUAUGACUGGCCUAAGCGCCCCCGAGAACUUUUAAGGGGACCAAGAGUUGCAAAAGAUCGAGUGGAGCUUGGGAGAGUAGAUUUCCAAUCUGAAAAACCAGCAUCUGCUUAUGGUGCAAAAUCCCAUAUUCGCUUUUCAGCUAACUAAGUAGAGUGCCCGCGGAUAUAUAUGUUCUUUUCAGGGAUACGCUUUUUAUGAAUAUGCAGUUCCAGAUCUUGGUAGGUCUGUUUUUUCUUUUAUUGGCGCCUGGAGGACUAGCCAACUACCUUGGGAGGGUCAAUUGUUUUGAAAAAAGGUUGCAUCUCCACGGAGUCAAGGGUGCUAAAGCGCUUUUCAGCCGGGCCAUGGAAAACUUUUUACUUCUGAUUUCUAUCCUUAAAACUCCGAUUUUUCGAACUCUUUGUCCCGAUCUCUUAAGUAAAAUCCGGUUGAUGCCCAAAUUCCCAUUGAAAUGCAGAAGUCGAAAAUCCAUUUGGGUUAGGAGAUAUGAAGUAAGCAGUAUUGGAUGGAUCCUUAGUUCGGGGGCUACUGGGCCGGUUCUUGGAGAUCAAAAAAGUUCUCCGUUUUCUUCUAAGUGUUGAUGGGAACAGUCGUAAAGAUCCUUUCUAGUAAGAAGAUCCUUUCUAGUGGACCUCGGGAAGUAGUGUAAAGCAUGAGCCCAUCUCUUCUCCCGAUAUCACAAGAAAUGCUUCUACCCGACCGGAUUUCAUCCAAGUAGAUAUCCGAUACUUGACUCCUAAGCGGUAGGACAUCCUUCCAGUCACUGUUCUCAAAGGACAGGCCAGAUCACCGAAUACUGCCAUUGGUAGAUCCUGAAAAGGAUGAAGCGAUAGAGCCUUCUCGUAGAGCGAUAGAAGACAGAUAAGCCGAACCCUAUGCCAGCCGGGUCAUGCUGUUAUUGUUGAUGAUGCCGGUGAUCAUCUAGCCCUAGCCAUGGAUUGUGAUGUGCCGGAUCUAGAUGAGUGAGCCUUUACGUUCCGUCCCCAGUUGGUUCUUCCAAAAGGGAUGGAAGCCCGCGCUAUAACAUGAAAUCAUGAAAUAGAGAAGUAAGUCUAGUGGGCCCCGUUCAAAUCAAGUUCUGCUUACCGCUGAUUCCCCACGGGCUACUACUGAUUCUACAGCUCUAGGCCCAGGCCAAUCCAAUAAUACGAGUAGAGAGGUGGUAGGAUAUGAGUUCCAAUCUCACCCACAAGGGUAUGUGCUCCUUGGUUAUCGAACUAUUCCAAAUAAAUCUACAUAGGUAGAGAUACAGUGCCAAGUUCGUGGGAUUUGACUUCCUUGUCCAUGCCGUGCUUCCCUGACUCGAGAACGGAUUAUUCUUCUACCUCUCAGAGCGGAGCAGCUUUCUUCCUCGCAUCGCGAAACAAGACAGAUCUUCGUACAGUCCAAUCAAAAGUCUAUGCCGAAUCCUCAGAUAGGUAGAAGGAAUUCACCUCCCCUCAAUAAUCAAUAGCUCCACUCCAAAGUUAUUUUAUUCGUCACAUGGCGUAGUUCCUCAUUGGAUUCAGGAUUGCAUUGCAUUCAUCCUUAGCUUUGCUCAGCUCCAAAGUUAUUUUAUUCGUCACAUGGCGUAGUUCCUCAUUGGAUUAGAUACUGUUCCAACAGAAAUGAUACCCUUCCACUCACUUCAUUCUACUUCCAAUACGGGACAGGAUGCAUAUUCCAUAACGGAUUAGAAUCCUUUUGUUUCCAUGAAACCCCACCUACAAGGUUCGUUUUCCCACUUGUUGGGAUGGCCUUCCCGGGUUGCCAGAGCUAUUUAAUGAUUCCAGAAAGAAAAGAGUCACUGUGAGGAAUCCAAAAAUAUCUGGGUGCCUGUGCUAUUCAUGAUUUCGACUAGUUUAGUUCUCUUAAGGCCUAUGGCCCGCGACCUAGAAGGAAGUGUGCUGCGUUCCUUCAUCUCGUACAUGGAUGAAUACCAGAUUUUCCCUUACUAAUUCUGAUUAUGAAAGCAUCUCCUCUUCUCGAAGCAGAUAGAAGAACUAUUUAGGGUUGGCCCGGAACUUACUUCUAGUGAUCUCUAUGCCUUUACCCCAGACUAUCAAGUAGAGCUUAGAGCGCUUUUAUCCCUAAAGCAUUCGUGCUAGCAAUCAUGCCAGAACUCACUUCCAUGGACUGAGCUAUUUCAUGAAAAAAGAAAGAUAGGUGUCGACCCAACUCAAGAACAAGUAUUUCCAGCAAGUAGGAGUGACGGUAUCAAAUGAUAUCAAGUUGAGCAUAGCCGCUGGGCUAGCAUGAAAGAAUGAUGUGCUCCAGAAUCUCGUACUAGAGACGGUAAGGUAGCACGGAAUUCAUUGAAAGGUGUGCCAGAGAGAUAAACGGUGUGUUCAGUCUCCCGCGCAUGUUCGCGUUCUCCACAAAUCUGGCUUUCUAAGGGCUCACCUUGAGUGGUAGUUCCCGAUCUUAGUUCUCAUAGUGGACUCGCAAUGACAUAUGGAAAUGGAUCUUCUCUUCUCCCUGGCUAUCAACGGAAAAUCUCCUAUCAUCCAAAAACAAGGGGUUUCUUACUUCGGGUGGCCAGUCUGCUUUCAAGACAGUUUCCUCUGCAUAGGUUGAGGGGUUAGUCUUCUUGCUUGAAAGGCGGGGUAUCUAAUUUCGAAUAGAGUUUCCUUGCUUGCCGCCUAGCUGAUCUUGAAGAUUGUGGAAGACUCCUACUGCCAUCUAAUGGUUCUUACCAAAUCCCACUGUCCUUCUUUUGGGGUGCCGGGCUAUCUACUAUGGUAUGCAAGAAAUCAGCCAUCUCUUCUAUUGGAACCUUAUGGUGACUAUUUGCUCGCUCGGAAGUAGAUCUGGAUCUGGAUAUUUACUAUUAGUAUCUCUCUUUCUGGAGUGCCGUUCUAAGGUUUCUCUUGACUCAAGAAUAGUAGGUGCGGGUCUAGUAGACGUAGACAGACAGUGGCAUGAUUCAUAUUCCGGACUUUCAUAUUCCUCUACCUAAGAUAGAUCCGCGCUCGGUGCGCUAUCGCCUAUAUAAGUUAAGUUAAGUUAAGUUAAGUAUGGAAAUUGGGAACUCUUUAUAGGAGUGAGUUGCUCAUCGGAAACUCAAAGUCAGCAAGCAGUUCUUGGAUUGGCCCGAGAAAUCUCCAUUUGCUAGUGCUCGUCCCACCAUCAGCCUCAUAGCAUUGAAAGGACAGGAUGGCAUCGAUUCCAUUCAAAACUGGAAGUGAAACAAAGUCAAGUAGUCACAGACCCAUUUAUUCUUUUUUUGUCAUUGGAUUGGAUACGUUACAGGGUUCGUUCACGACCCACACUCGAGACUGUUCAUUUCAUUUCCAUAUUCAAUAGCAAGCACACUGUUAAGGCUCAUCUUUAUGCGGGUUCUAAGCUAAGCUGGCACAGAAAAAUUCUUGGAUUAUGGACACGCUACUGAUCCUCAUUGAUCGACUCGGGCCUGCCCCUAUAUAUGUAUUUAUUUGAUCAGGGCCUAUUCCCACUAUCACAACAAAAAUAGAAUUCCCCGGGUGUCUACGGAGCUCACUUCUGAGAUAGAGCUGGCUUCUCACUACCGGCACUCGCUAGAAGAGAACUCUCUCUUGACUGAUCCUGAUCCCAUUCAUCGCAACAAGACUGGUACCAAUAUGGACUUGCUUCCUACCAAUCCUUCCUAUAAUGAGUUCCCAUUAAAGUAAAGUAGAGUUCCCACCUCCGCCUAGUCCGUUUUCCCGUGAUUUUCGCUAUCAACCAGAUUUUCCCUCGUACGAGAGUCUGAAGAAAAGAAUCAAGUAUGGAAUCCCGGGAUUUUCGUCCUCAAGCCUUUUUUAUUAGCGAAAUGGGAUGAUUUCAUGCCAAAAAAAUGGACUUUCGCCGUAUAGCGAGAUAAAGAAUUUGAAUUGUCAAUCGACUCUCUAGAGGGAAAAAGCGAGAAUGAACAUUUGCCGUAUAGUGAGCAUCAAGUUUUUCAUUUGAAAUUGACUCGUACGAGGGAAAAAGCGAUAAUGGACGAUUUUCCCAUUGAGACUCAGUUUUUUCAAAAGAAAUCUGAUCCUCCGGCCAAGCCGAAGUUCCUGGAACAUAUGGAUCAAUCAAGUGGUAAGCCGCCCGGAAGAAACCUUUCCCUUGCCUCCCUUACCGAAAUCAAAUCAGGGCGACCAAUCAAGCUAGGAAGAAGGAUACCGACCUUCUCCAUUGAUCAUAUAGAAAUGAAUAACGAACUGGCUAGAUGAGAACCGGCUGAAAAGCAAAGAGACUAUUUCAACCAAGCAACCAUGGGAACACAGACCCGCACCCACGAUAAGAACUCUUUUCGGAGGAAGCUUCACCUUUAUAUGUAUGCCAUCCAUUUCUGAGUGAGGCAGGCUAUUAUCGUUCUCCGCAAGGAAUCAACCUUCGAGAAAAAAAGGGAGUCCAUCUUUAAAAUCUUAUGCUGCCCCAAAAUGAUGGAACCAGCCACUAAAGGCAAGCUACAUCUCUUCUAAAAGAGGAAUUAGGAACGGGAAGUAGGACUCAUUUCACAAUGCAAAACACAUAAAUGAGAGCACUUUGCUUAAAGCUGAACCUACGAAUCUGUACUUGCGCUUUUUCACUUGCUCCCCUCAGAAGAAGUUAGAGCUGACAUUUAUUCAGGAGGAAGUGUUGUUGGCCAUGUAGGUUAAGUCUUCCUUGCUUUCAGGGACUUCUUUUUGUUGUCAUCUACUUGGUUUCAGGGAUCUCUGUAUGUGUGCUGUGCAUAUACUUCCCUAUACCCUCACUUCAUCAGGAAAGCAGUCGAUUCUCAUCUCAGAAGAUCUUACUAAAACGCAUCGCUCAUCUACGUAAAUUCCAGUCAAGUCAGGGAAGUUGCUGAGUUGAUAGGUCAAAAGUACUACUUUUGCCACUAGGUGAGAUACACUUUUUUGUCAAUCGAGCCUGCCGCCCAAGCGAAAAUAGGGUUCCGUGGUUUUCCCACUAGGGGAGAUAGACUUUUUCUUCUCUUCUCCCUGUGGAAAAUAGGCUUGAGUCAUUUUCCAGCACAAACAUUUUUCAAAAAGAAAUCCACUUUCCCAAGCUAAAAUAGCAAGUACUACUUUGACAGCUAUAUGAGAUAGACUUUAUCUCAAUCCAUCCUCUCUUUUACGAGAAUGAAGAGGAACAGGAAUUUGGGAGUUAGUUGGUUUUCAAAAGAUAGGAGUCAUUAGAGUUGAUACCGCAUCCCUUAUUCUUAUUCGAAGGAAGCAAUCCCACUACAGGCUAGCAUUACCGAUACUUGUACCAAUACUUCUCUUAGCUUGUCAUUUCUCCUAUCUUUUGAAGAAGGAAAGGAAGAAGUAGUUUUAGUUAGAAAUUAGGAUUAGGAGAGUGCUGCGCUUGUGUUUUUGGAAGAAAAUGCAGCUCUAUCCUGGAUAGAUCCUUGAUUCACCGCCAGCGGAGGGCCAGAAAUAAAGAACUUUGUCUCAACGGAGAAUCUCUUCUGCUCAUCUCCGCGAAGAAUGAACCCGUUACCACUACAAAGUGAGAAAUAAACCGCCAAGGAUAUACCAUUUUUGGCUUCCAUAUCUGCACGGGGCAAGGGAAGAAAUAUAUCGUAGAAAACAUCCUCUCCUCAAGCUAGGAAGCAGGAUUGGAAAGCUAUGGUUAUAUGCUGCCCAGGUCUUGCGGUAUAGGACUUUACUACUCUACUCGGAUGCCAGAAUCAGAAGAUAUCAUAUUCUCCCAGUUGAGGUAAGAACCAAGGUCAUCUAGCCUCUCAUAUCUUAGCUUAGGUAUGGCUCGGUGCUGCUUACUCGAAAGGAAAAGAGAACUCGACUGUGUGUGCUACUACUAUCUCCAUAUCAGGGUCGGGGGUAUCCUUUAAGGAGUUGUGAGAUGAGAAUAUUUCCAGAUCUAGAUCUCUUUCUUUGUAAGUGGACACCAUUCCAGAUACGGCUAACUGCUUGUUUUUCUUUGCUUGGCUUGAAGGUUGUAUCUGUUUCCAUCCAUUGAUACGUUAAUAUUUCCAUCCUUUCCUUUAAGCUACUCUCUUUCCUCAAGGUUGGUCCAACUUACUGAUGUCGAAUUCAAAUAGUCAAAGCCUUAUCUUAUAGUUCUAACGUUGAAAGAGCUUAAGGAUGCAUUUCUUUUGAAGGAGGAAGGAAAAGGAGUUUCGAUGCAACUACUUAAUUCGUAACGUAUAUAAGUCGUGGGGACACCAAAAUACCUCUCUUCUCUGUCGUCGCAAUAGAGCAGUUACGAUACUGCUUCCAAGGAAUACUCUUUUCACCAAAAGCAAAAAUCCCUUUCGUGGCCGGAGGAAGAUAAACGGCGAUACAGUCUGAAAAGAUAGUUGGUCGUGUGCUAGUGGAAAACCUCUUUGAUAGAGCAGGGGAAGUCCCCAUUGGGCAUAGUAGCUCACGUUGUAUUGAGGCAGAUUCUCCAUCCAGGAAUUCCAGUCUUUGACUCGGGAAACGAAGAAGGCCGCCCUUAGACCGGAGUCCUUGGGCACCCUAUAUACCCACCCCCGAAUGGACAGGUAGCCAACCAACCUGGCGGGAGUCGGCGGCAGAAGUGCCUGCUUGGUACGGCUAAACACUUCUCUUUUCUUAUUUUUUAUCCACAAUUCCUGGCUCCCUUUCUUAAUUGGGUAGACUUGGGCCAUUGUGCAAUUACCAUCCUUUGUGCGACCAGGCCCCACGGGAAUCGCCUUGAAGAUGUCCACCCCUUUCUUAGAAAAAUGGAAAGAAAGGUGCUCAGCGACGACUGCCCCUUCUACCUUUACUUUUUUGCCACUCUGUCUCUUUGGAGCAUCCGUUUCCUCAUAUUAUCGAUUCAUAAAGGUCCAUGAAAGGAAAGAAGACCGCUUUCCCUUGCUUCGCACCUCGUCAUAGCCCUGAAAAGCUCACCCGGAGUUCUAGUUAGAGAAUGGGGUAUGAUUCACUACUUGCCUACUGCUACCUGGGUCGUGAGAUCGAAGAAGGUAUACUAUUAGACAAGGUUCAUUCCAGCUUUGCUGCUCUUUUUCUUUUGAUUCUUUCUGUUUCUGUUUACUUGAGCUAAUUCUUUACUUGCUUUCGAGCUAACUUGGCGGAAUGGAAUCACAGCAAGAGACAGGGCUAAUGGUUGGUUCUGUCUACUAUAUUUAGUAUGAUUUUUAUAUCUUCGACCUUAAGAGGCGGUUUACGAAAGAGAGAGAGCUCGUGGAAGACUUGAGAAAUGGAAAUAUCUUUCCAUUUCUUCCUAACAGGAUGCAAUGCAGGUACUGUUUAGUUUAGUAAAGAAGGAACAAUCCUCGUAUUGGAACCGGUCGAGGAAUAUCCCUCACCCUCGUAUUUGAAAAGAAGUGAAUCAAAUACAAUAGUAGGUAGGAAAGAAAAGCCAUCCUUUGAGUAGUAACUUUACCAACCAAGGUAGGGAUAGUCGAGAGCAGGAUGCCGGCCUUAUUCUGUUUAGAAGAAAUGAAAUUGAUUCACCGGCAAAGAAACGACUACUGCGAGCAGGAGCGAUGCAACCGACGGGAGGACAAUCCUAAUUGGAUUGGCGGACUAGUGAAAUUCAUGUAAUUUAGAGUUGGCAAUGGGAGCUGGUGAUAAACAGGUAAGGAAGCACUCGACGAAUAGUGACAUUUAUGAAUGCAAAGCGGGGCCAAGGCAGAUAUACGGAUCAGGGGUAUAAGCUAAAACAAGCAGAAGCAAAGCCGACUUCGAACGGGGAUAAUCGAUAAGGCAAGGCAGCCCUCCGGUCAUAGGAUUAACGGAUUAGCUGGAAAAGUCAUAUGCCUCGGAGAGCAAGGGUGGUACACCAGGAACUCGGAUUGCGAUGCUCCGGAGAAAGUCAUAUCGGUUUAGUUUCGAUCAUAUAUGAUAUUUAAAAGAAAGAAGGAUCUGCCAAUGGUACAUUGGUGCAUUGGGGAUUUCCAGGAAGCAGGUCGAAUCGGAGCGGAGCUGAGGCCCCGGAUGCUGAUUAGCGAAAACAAGAACUAGCCCCGCAGGGCAGGACCAUAUUUUGUAGUAGUAGCUUUUCUCACUGGUAAAGCUGGAUAGGUUAGAGGAUGUGAGCUAGCAGCAGCAAGUUAAGUAAGGGAUAAGAUUGGUCCCUCUGUGUCCGGAAAGAUACCUUUCUGAUCGCGACUUCGGUUACGCACAAGAAGAUGGGAGCUAUUGGCAAAGGUAACCACCAUCACUAGGCAACCAACAUAUGCUUUUCCAAAGCCAGAACUAGGAUAGCGAGCUGGAAAGGAGAAGUGAACUGGUUGAGAGGAAGAAUCAAGUAGAACCGAUAGAAGCUCUUGUUGCCUUAUUUGAAUAUGGACCAAUCGACAACCUUUUCUUUGAAAAAAAAGAGGAAUCAUGUUUCCGACCUUGCCACCGGACUGUUUGAUGGAGCGGGGAGCCUGUAACAACUAGAACAGACAAGAAGGCUUGCCAAGAAUAGACGAAGGCCCUUAGCCGAGGAGCAAGAAAACGGAUGUGCGAACAGAGAACCUCUUAAGGUCUCUUACAGAGAAGAUUCUUGCCUGGGUCUUCGGUUCCGAUGUUAGUCCAGUGGCAGUUGCCUGUCAUAUAGUGGGUUCUUCCAGCGAGAGAAUUGAAAAGCAAAGUGAAGUUUAUCCAGAAGUUGACCCAAGUUUUGUCUGCUCGUGAGAAGACGGAAGAGGAACUUUCUGAACUGCUCGGGCAGGGUCACCAGUUGGCAAAUAGCAUUCGCGCCUCCCAUCCGCACGUGAGAACUUGGAAAGCUCAACUGGGCUCGAAGCACACUUUCGCAGACUGAUCUGCUUAGACUUCGGGCGUUGGGGCUUAAAGGGAAACCACGCAAAGCUCCGGUGAUCCACUCUAUUCUAUGGCAACCUCCACCUCCUGGAUGGAUUCAAGUUAAUACAGAUGGAUGCUCGAGAGGUCAGCCAGGACCGGAGGAAUCUUUCGAAACUGCAGAGUGUACAUGGAUGCUUUGCGCUUUCGUUGGGCAGCGGAUUCGCAUAUCAGGCAGAGUGGGUUGGGGACGGCUAUCGCUAUAGCACACUCCAAGGGCUGGAAAUACCUCUGGAUCGAGUCAGAUUCAACAUAUGUUGUUUUUUUAUUAAUAUUAAUAAGUCAAUGGCAUCUAGGUAAAUUGCUUACUCUUGCUGUGACUAAUAGUUGGCCUAUUCGCCAACUCGAUGUAAAUAACGCGUUCUUGCAGGGUUCUUUAACUGAUGAAGUAUUCAUGGAACAACCACCUGGGUUUUCAGACUUUUUGACUCCUGAUUAUGUUUGCAAGUUGCAUAAGCCUAUUUAUGGCCUUCGGCACUCGUGCUUGGUAUAACGAGCUUCGUACCUUUUUAGUAUAUGAAGGAUUCCUCACAUUCCUCAUUGUUUAUACUUAACUCCCCAUUUUAGGUUAGGUUAUUUAUAUACUAGUUUAUGUUGAUGAUAUAAUCAUCACUGGAUCCGCAGCAGCUGAAGUGAAUGCUUUUAUCUCUACUCUUGCCAAACGAUUCUCUAUAAAGCCAGCUUUCUUAUUUCCUUGGAGUUGAAGCUCACUACACUGCUAAUGGCUUGUUCUUAUCUCAAAGGAAGUAUAUCAGUGACCUCUUGCAUCGACUUAACAUGGCUGAUGCCAAGGCUGUCUCAACGCCUAUUGCUACUACUGAAGUGCUUAAAUUAUCAGAUGGCUCGCCACCGGCUGAUCCAAAAUUAUACCGUCAAGCUCUUGGGUCCUUACAAUAUCUCUCUUUGACUCGUCCUGACGUCUCCUUUGCCAUCAACAAGCUCUCUCAGUUCAUGCAUUGCCCAUCCACACUUCAUUGGUGUGCUGUAAAACGCCUCCUCCGAUAUCUAGUUGGCACUCUUGACUAAGGUCUCUUGCUCCGUAAGAAUUCUCCUCGCACUCUUCACGCAUUUGCAGAUGCCGAUUGGGCCGGUGAUCCUAAUGAUCGAACUUCCACUUCAGCUUAUGUUGUUUUCCUUGGAGCCAAUCCUAUCUCUUGGAGUUAUAAAAAGCAAAAGACAGUUGCUCGAUCCUCCACCGAAGCCGAAUAUCGGGCCAUUGCCUCCACUGCCGCUGAAGUCAAUUGGAUCAUGAAUCUUCUUCAAGAGCUGAAAGUUCCAAUCUCACCCACUCCAGUCAUCUAUUGUGACAAUGUAAGUGCCACUUAUGUUUGCGCCAACCCCGUGUUCCAUUCUCGUAUGAAGCGCAUUGCCAUUGACUUCCAUUUCGUUCGAGAUCAAGUUGCUACUGGUAAAUUGCGUAUUUCUCAUGUUCAUACUUCUGACCAACUUGCCGAUUCACUUACUAAGCCCGUGCCUCGCCGGCACUUUUAAACUCAUCGGAACAAGUCCUCAAUGGCCAGCCAAUCUUGCGGGGGCAUGAUUCAAUUCUAAGCUAAACCCAUUCAACUGCUGUAAAAAGGUCUGAGCCCUGCGUUGAUAGAAAGAGCGCUCUUUUCAUGAAACUAGAAAUCUCGUAAGAGAAGAAGUGAGAAAUCGGAUCGACAAAGCACCAUUUCCUCCGCUCAAGGAAAAUCAAUGCCGAAGACUGACAACCAACAUCGAUAGGUAUUACAGUGCCUCUGAGUUAUCUCGUACUCGCGGUUUGACCUACCCAACCAGCAACUGAAGUGGAAGACUGACUGACUCAGGUGUUGGCUUUUAGCUCACCUGCCAGUCAAUAUUCUUAUUAGACCCGUGUGACAAUGGUGUUUCCAACACAAAAAGUAUGGUAUACUCAAGUAAAGUACUAGCUUCACCGGAAAAACAACUGUAACUCAUGUGUGAUCGCGGAUUCCACGGUAACUGUUUGUUGUAGUUCCAGCUCUACAUUAGGAGCAUAGGGGCUCUAUCUACAUACAGAGUUUGACCCACGGUACGGCUGAAAAAGGUAAGCCGGUUAAGUGCUUUAACCAUUUAGUCAAAGAGACUGAGCGAGUGAAUUGGUUUUCUGUUUUGUCAGCGGAUCUUACGAGCUUUCAUAGAAAGCAUACUAUACUAUAUAUUUUACCGCGUACAAGGACAAGUGGUGGCACGACACGGAAAGUAGCAUCCCCAUAAGGAUGAAUUGUUGGUUCAAAUCGGAUAAUCAAUCAAUAGGGAAAAAGGAAGGGAUUACUGUAAGAUGGAAUGCUCGCGUCGGAAUUCAUUCUUCUCGUUACGGUAGCCUAAGAGCAUUCAAGAGCUCAGUUAGAGCCUCUCAAUUGAUAGAGGCAUGUUCAUAUGAAGCGCUACGCAUAUCUUAUUUUACCAAAAUAGGGUGGGGCUGGUAAUUGAAGAUCUGGGAUCUAUCAGUCAAAGUGGACUACUAAAAAAAACUUCUGUUGCAAGGUAAUUUUUUUUUAAGUCUAUUUAGCUUCUUCGUAGAAAGAAGGGAUUUGCUGCUUUCUUAGUAACAAUAUUCUUAUGCUAUCUGGCUAUCGAGAAGAAGAAUGGUUAAAAAAAAGGGAAGAUAAACAAACAAUUUCUCUCCCUUCCCCUAAUCUAAUGGAAAACUUUCCCGAAUCUAAAGGAACUAGCCGUAAGAUAAGAUAAAGAGGUGGUCGAAUACGGCCACUCAUCCGCUUCCUAGCCGUAACAGAUGGAAUUGGAAUCUCACUUAAUGAAAGAUGCACUAUGCUUCAUUCAAUUGGACAGCUUUGCCCGUCUCUGGACUGUACUCUUUCAGAUUCGGCAAUGGAUCUUUUUUUUUUACCCUUCUGGGGACUAGUCUAAUUCUUAAUUAGCAAUCUAAUCUUGAAUAAUAUCAAGCAGUGUUCCACAAUAGCCUGUGCCGUGACCCAUCCUCCUGUGACACUGACAGUAGCAGGAAUUGUUUUCAGCACCUGGAAAAGGUUUUUAAUCGGAGUCAGGCAACUCGAGAGCUCCAAAGGACAUAAGAACUUCAAACAACUUUUCAGUGUGAACGAGAUAGAAAUUGUACUUCUUUUGCUCUUUAUGUUCUUUGCCCUUAUUCUUCAUCUACUGUGGUUGUGGUACAAACUUUUUUGAAACGUCUGUCACGACUUAGUUUGAGCGGAAUGAGAUAGCUUUCACCUCUUUCUCCAAUAUCCAUAAAUUCUGAAGCUCGUUCUAUUAACUGCGCAAAUGUCGUUAUCCCGACAGGAGCAAGAGGAAUUCGAAAUUCAUAAUGCAAUCAAAUAGAGACUUGUUUUUUGGGAAUAGGCUCCGAACAUUGCAUCGCCAAGAGUCUGAAUCGAGCAAUGAACUCCUGGGCUUUCUCUGUCGGUUCCUGGAUGCAUUUCCUCAAGUCGUCAGUAGUGACUGACUUCUUUCUUUGGAAGGUCGGAAUCCGCCUGAAUAAAUCGCACAUAUGCUCCCAGGACUUCACGGAAUUAGGAGGCACAGAGGUAGGUAUACCAAGAGAAAGCUAUGUGGGUAAGCGACGAGGGUUAAACCUAAAUAACAAGUUUUAGUUUCCAGAAGUAUCUCCACGCUGAGCGAUGAACCUCGCCAAAUGCUCUUUUGGUCCAUCUUUUAGGUUCAAUUUGGGCAAUAUGUAUCCCGUGGCUCGUAGUCAAUCUCUGGAGGAUAUGGAGGAUCAUAGGCUAGGUAACCUUUUCACUAUUCAUUUAUAAAGGUACCUUCAAGUAACCAGGUCUCUUCAUCCUUAUUGGGCACUCCCACAAGAGACAAUUCUUUUUAGCCUCUAAGAGACAACAAGAAGAGCCUAACCAGGACCUUGAGAUAACAGCCCAUAGGGUAGCCCCUACAGAGCAAAAAUCUAAGGCCGGAAUACCGGAGUUCUUUCUUUGCUUCCAAGAACAUAGAUUCCUUCUUCAACCCAGGUCAUGACCGAGGGCGGGUAUCUCACUCGCAUAUCUAGAGCCCAGCAUCUCUCCUGAACGACACCUUCCGCAGACUCUACUGGUGGUAUUUCCCGAGGCGAGGGGUGCAUCCAUAUCGGUCAGGAAACGACAAUGACUCUUCUUCUUCCGGGUCCGGGAAGCUAUGGGCACCUCACAAUUCUUAGACGACAUUAGUGGAAGCGAACAUUCGUAGCAUUCAUUGUCACCGAUCAUUGAAAAAAGAAGCCGUACGAGGUUUAGAUUUGGCGGCUAUAGACUCAAAGGGCACAGACAGGCUGCUGGUACAGUUUUUUUAGCUAACUAAAGUCCAACUUCCUUUGCCGAAAGAGGAUGAAACGGAUCAGCCGAUUCAACUUAGCAUUACCCGACUCGUAACUUCAAGCACAACCAUCCAUCUCAAUCCAAAAUCUCCGAUCGUCUGUGAUCCCUCCUCCGGUUUUGGAUAUAUAGACAGUGCCUGCUCUCAAACCAACCAAGACAGCAGCAAGUUCCUAUCGAGAACAAGACGACAGAUCAAUAUGACCAAUUUAUCUAAGGUGAAUACGUGAAAAAGUGUUGCUUAGCUCAGUGAAAUGGAAUAAGGAAGAGAAAGUGUAGUGUGAUAAGGGAAGAAUUUUUAGGUUUUCAAGCAGAUAGAUAUACAAACAAGAAGAAUUCACAUCAGAACCCUUUCCUGCUUCCCUUUUUUACCCAUCGGACUCACAUUUUGAUCUCCUACGCUUGCUUUCACAGUCCCCCUACGAGCAGCCCGGAAUCAAUGAAGGAGUUCAUUCAGCACCGAGCCGAGCGAGCGUAGAUUCAAUAUGUUGAUUGUACCGAACGAAGGAUUUGCCUUAUCACGAAAGCCACAUUCGUUUCGUUUGAGGAAGUCACACGUCCUGUUCCCUAUAAAUAAGGAGAUUCAUUCUUUUUUUCAGAAAUCCCCUCUUCUUCCUCCUCAAGCCCCUAUCACAAGACCAAGCGGAUCUCAUCCUGCAGAAGACUCAGAGCGGAUCUAUCUAAUGGCAUGGCUGGCUGUCGGAUGUGAUCUAUUCUCGUGUCACAUCGCUUUCUUUCUUCUCCCUCCAUUUUCUUCACUACUACCGCUCCUACACAUAAAUCAAAGAAGCAUUGUGGAAUAGUGGCAUUUCGUUAAUGGCGAAAAUUUUCUUAGUGAAAGGGUUGCCUGCGGCAAACUCAGAGCGGUCUCUGAAAGUGAAUAGGAGCAUAGCGGUAUCAUCCAAGCCAAACACGUCUCCUCAGUCAAGGGUCUUCUCGCGCAAAGAAGAUCAAAAACAUAACAACUGAUUUCGCUUAAUGCAUGUCACCCACCCGCUCUCAAUACAGCAAGUGACUCUCUCUCACAAGACAGAGAAAGAUUACCGAUUCACCCAAUUUGAUCAGAAGUGAGUUCAUUGUUGUUGUAUAGCGAAACCUUUCCUUGACAAAACCAUUCUCAGCUAAUAGAAGCCGAGCUAUCUAUCGGUUGAACGAAGCGAAUGGAAAAGCCAAAGAAAACAGAAAUCCAUUGCGAUUAGAAACCUGUGACUCUACAGCCAGGGCUCGAUGGCGAUGUAAGAUAGAAAGAAUGGGGAGUUAGGGCUUCGGUUUCCUCUGUGGCCAGUUCCAAUUCCAAAUCAUUUGCCGACAUGCGGACUCACUUCUCUUUUAUGGGAUGAAAGCCCUUGUCUAUUUACGUGGGUGAAUCAAGUACAACAAGUCAGGUCAGAGCUUGUGGUAGAAGAUUGGGCUCUGCUACGCAGAUCCACUCAACUAGGAAAGAAGUACGCAUUGCUGACUGACUGUUUGAACGAUCCUAGUUACUAGUAAGUAGCUAAUCAAGUCAGAGUAGGGUGGCCGAGAAGCUUCUUGCCGGUGCCCCCCAAAGCAAAGCACAGACUCUACUCACCCACGCGUUUUCCACCUACGGAGGGAGAAAUCAUCGAAAUAUCCUCAUCCCCUGAAAGGGAACCCGAAAACAGGACGAGAGUGGAUAGGGUGACUAAGGAGGUAGUCAAAAUUAGUAGUGAAUUUUGGAAAGAGAAGAUUACAAAAAGGCGAGAGCAGCAUAAUCGUUAGUUAGGGGUAAGAGGGGACGGGCCCGUAUAGAAAGUAAAUCCUUCUUUUUCCGAUAUGCCGCUCCGCAAGCAAGGAGUGCCACGCACGAGCGGAGCGAAAACUAAGCAAGGGGAAUUCCGGCAUUCCAUGGAAAGCAUGCGAAAUCCUUUGAUUGUUUAUAGAAUCAAAAUCACUAUAUAGUCUUUCUUGUUCCACUUGCAAGGCAAGGAAAAAUAAAAUGUCAGUUUCGUUAUUACAACCUUAUUUUUUUAUGUCAAAGACAAAAAGCUACGCGCAAAUUCUCAUUGGAUCUCGGUUGUUCUUAACAGCGAUGGCUAUUCAUUUAAGUCUUCGGGUAGCACCACCAGAUCUUCAACAAGGUGGAAAUUCUCGUAUUUCGUAUGUACAUGUUCCUGCGGCUCGGAUGAGUAUAGUUAUUUAUAUCGCGACAGCUAUAAACAGUUCCUUGUUCCCAUUAACAAAACAUCCCCUUUUUCUUCGCUCUUCCGGAACCGGUACAGAAAUUGGUGCUUUUUCUACUUUGUUUACGUUAGUGACUGGGGGGUUUCGGGGAAGGCCUAUGUGGGGUACCUUUCGGGUGUGGGAUGCUCGUUUAACUUCUGUAUUCAUCUUGUUCCUUAUUUACCUGGGUGCACUGCGUUUUCAAAAGCUUCCUGUCGAACCGGCUCCUAUUUCAAUCCGUGCUGGACCGAUCGAUAUACCAAUAAUAAAGUCUCCAGUCAACUGGUGGAAUACAUCGCAUCAACCUGGGAGCAUUAGCCGAUCUGGUACAUCAAUACAUGUUCCUAUGCCCAUUCCAAUCUUGUCUAACUUUGCUAACUUCCCCUUCUCUACCCGUAUCUUGUUCGUUCUGGAAACACGUCUUCCUAUUCCAUCUUUUCCCGAAUCUCCCUUAACGGAAGAAAUAGAAGCUCGAGAAGUAAUACCACUAAAAACCUAGUUCGCUCUCAAAUAAAAACCUAGUUCACUCGCUAAAGCAUCCAUGGCUGAAUGGUGAAAGCGCCCACCAACCUAGAAAGGCUAAAUGGGUAAAAAAGUAGGUUCGAUUCCUGCCGGAUGCACUGCCUCUUAAAGACAGAAACAGAGGAGGGAAAGAAGGUAGUAUAGGGAACUUGCUUUUGGAUUCUUAUCGAAAGUGAAUCCCUCUAACACUUCAGUUAGUGUUUUAUGAUAAAAUCUUUGACACAACAAGUGUUAAAAUCUUAGUCACUAGGCAAGAAUGGAAAGAGCUUCUUUACCUGCUUGAGAGGGGAGUCAAACAGAGUCUGAGGAAGCAUAGCUAUAGCAACGUAGUGUUUGAGAAAAGUGUGCCUGGAGUAAUAGGCCUGAGAGCUACCCGCGCAACUUUAAGAGUUAACUUCUAGAAUAACCGGGAAAUUUAUUUUAGUAUAACUCUAAUUCUAAUUGUGGGUGGUUCGUUACUUUUUAAGUGGUAAGCAAGUGAUCCUCACAAUUCGUUUUACCUGACUCUACUCUAAUUGUAAGAUAACUAGAAAUAGGAGAUGAGAAAGUCGAGUAGCAGCACUGAUGGGAACAUUUUUUGAAACUAGAAUGGUUGAUAAUAGGAGACUCGCGUUGUAGGUAAGGCUUUUCAAAAGCCUCGACUUGGCUAACGCCCUUUGGUUUUUAGGAUCAAUUUGCCCGUGCUUGCUGGUGUCAGGGUUGCAGAUAAGUUGUUUCGGUGCCAUUUCCUUUGUUAUGAAUGAAAUUUUGGAGCUCAGUUGAUACCGAAUUUGAAGAUAAGCCCUUCCCUCUCGUGAACACCUUCGUUUAGUAGAUCGGUACGGUUCCAUUCAGAAGAAACUAUUAUACGUGGUCCCGUGGAGUACGAAUAAGGCUUUAAAGUCUUCCUUCAUAUUGUUUGCUAGCUUCCUUCUCCUUGUUUCCUGCCUUUCAUUCUUUAUGAAAUUCUUAUUUAUUUUCUUUGCUGACUGACGUUACACCAAGAAUUUAUUUAAUAGCGUAUAUAUAGCCUGGGCAUCGAUACCAGCCUUCCGUUCGCAUGAUAUUAAGAAAGUGCCUACUACUCAAUUUCAAUUCAAUUUCGCAUUGGCAAAUCCUUCCACUUGCUAUCUAAUGUAGUAUAUGAAGCCUUUCUUUUCUAUUUCUUCUAUUGGCUUGGCUGGUCUGGGGGAUGCGGAUCACGCGAAGAUCUAUAGUGUUUAAGUACAUCUUUCUCUUCCUGCAAGCUACUGAGAUAUGCCUCAGCUGCAGGUGCUUUGUAUCUCUGGUCAAGAGUUGGCAAGGGAUACCAAUGUUGUCGACCACCUACUUUUGAGCAUAGCUUUUACCAUAUUCCUCCCUCGAUUCGCCAUUCAUUCCUUCACAGCUGAGUCAAUAGCUGUGUCACUGACUGAAUGUAGUUCUUUUUUUUAAAGAACGAGGCCGCUAAGGUCAAGGGACCUGAUCCAGAACAUUGAAUCCAACCAUCAGCAUUCGCAAGAAAGAGAAAGAACUCGGUUCAAAGAAUCGCUUCGGUCUAAAAACGAGUCUUCCGAGAUCAUGUCUAUGCGAAGAGCUUGAACCAAGCGUUCACACGCAUACGCCCUCGCCCCUCAGAAGAUUGGAAAGAAUCCAUCAGCGAGGAAAUAGAGUUGUAGCAGCAGUGUCUCCACUAUUUAUUUAUAAAAGUCCCACCCAAGUAAAAGAGUCCGAAGAAAGGCCUUAUAGGAAAGCGUUACCAGGGAUUAGAGUUAGACCACUUAGUAGCACCUUCAGGCUUAUCCAUCCACGCAUGGAAGAUUUAUAGAUCGACGUUCCGGAAUGGUAGAAAACAAAUCAAUUCUAAGUUCUUCUCGCUCCAUUCAUCCACUCGCUGGGAAGGCUAUUUUGAUGCCUCACACAGGCAACUCCGCUAGGCGGCUAAGCAGAUAAGACGGGAUUUCACGUUGAGAACGAAUGUAGAUUCCUAUCAUCAAGAAAGUCGGCUACAUCAAUGAAUUACUUUCCCCUAACAUUGCUAUUCUUAACAACCUAAAUCAAAAAACCUCCUUUAAAGAGCAGAAGAAUCCUUCUUAGAUAAAGCAGCCUGAAGAUAAAUAAGAGCAACUCCUUCAAAGAAAAUGAGAAGGGCCUCUUGAAAUGCCUAUAUAUAAAAGAAGGAAACGUUGUAACUACUUACAAGAAUUAGCUGCGUAUGCAGGUGCAUGCAAUAGUCUUUUAGUAAGGAAGAACGACGGGAUUCCUUGGAAAGCUGGUAGUUCAUUUCACUCUGUAUCGAAAGUCCCAGUAUAUUAUAUAUCUGUGUACAUCCAUCAACAAAUCUAACAUUUCUUAUCUUACAUUGAAAUCGAUAAAGACUAAUAAGAUGCAAAACCAGCAUAACUUGUUCUUUGCGAGUACUGUGGGUAGACCGAGGGAUCGAUCGGCAUUUCACUAACCUUUAGAAUUAAUCAAACGUAUGGCUAACCGAUUCCUAGGUCAUAAUUUAAAGCUUCACUUUUCUAUAGCCUUCUAAUUCUAUCGGGCUAACCUAUAGAAGGUUUAUAAAAAAGGUACGGUGCAAUCAGUAAACCUCUUACUGACCGGGCAGGGCAGACCAGAUGAGCGAGAUUGAUUGAAAGCGCUGUGCCAACUUGCUUACAAGAUUUUGAGACUUUAGUUUAGUUUAGUUUAGUUUAGUAAAUCCUCUUCAUAAGUUAUUUCGUACAGGCUAUUCAAGGUCUAUUGGCUUUAUUGCUUAUGUGGUACUUCGACCGCGAAGCCCCGCUUAUGCACCGAGAAAGAUCGUAGAUAGGAAAGAUCUGUUAUGCACCAACGACGGCCCGCCCCUUCUCUUUACCUUUAUCGUCUCAUACCUCAGUCCAUUGCUGGCUUGAAUGCUGUCUCUCUUCUUCUUUGCUCGCGAGAGUGAAUAAGAGGACGACCCACCGGGGGGAGGAUGGAAUGAGUCGGCAAGGGGAUCAACAAUCUUCUUUCAGUAAAGGCCCACACAUUCUCCUUAAUAUUGGGUGGGAUAAAAGGACUCUGAAGAAGGAAACUCUCUUCCCGUCUUGCGUAACUGACCACUGCAAAUCAAGUCGAAAGUGCUUAUAUGCUUAACACGUUUUUGUCUCAAUGACAGGCCGCUCGAACAUUGUCUGAUUUUUUUUUGAAGAGACUCGAUCUUAUGUAUCUACUUAUUGUCUUUUUGCCUUUGCUCGGUAGUUCCGUAGCCGGUUUUUUCGGACGUUUUCUAGGAUCUGAAGGAACCGCUAUAAUGACCACCACGUGCGUUUCAUUUUCUUCGAUCUUAUCUUUGAUUGCUUUUUAUGAAGUCGCACUGGGAGCUAGUGCUUGCUAUCUCAGAAUAGCUCCAUGGAUCUCAUCGGAAAUGU